ACGGUAGUCGACGGAGACGACGACCGCGGGCGCGGCGGCGGCUAGGGACGCGGCGUACUUGUGGUAGAUCGGGGAGGCCGCCGUGUGGACAACGAACGCGCCGCCGUGGAAGUAGACGACGACGGGGAACUUCUUGCCAGGCUCCGCGGCGGCGGCGGCGGGAAGGUAGAGGCGGGCGGAGAUGCUGGCCGCGGGGUCGAGGACGACGUCCUUGGAGGCGACGCCGUUGGCGGGGUCGCCGGAGGGGGAGGGCGGGACGGUCUCGGUGCCUCGCAAGCGCUCCACCCGGCCGCUCUUGUGGAUGCGUAUGAAACCGGGCAUGUCGUACACGAUCUCGGAGCUUGGGUCCAUGACGGCGGACGGCGGACGGCGGCCUUUGGCUUCGCGGCGUAGUGAGAGAGCUUCCCAGGUUCUGUGAUGGGUUAUCGUAGCAGAGCUGCAGCUUGCUCGAUGGGUUACGAUAUACUACUCCGUUUUGGUGCACCGGUACCGAUCAAACACGUCAGCUCGCAGUCUGGACGAACCAUUUUAUAAGGAGUAAUCACACCAUCCGAUAGUUAUUUAAUUUAUCUGCAGAUAAAUCUUCUUUGCAGUGGUGGACUUUUGGUAUCAAUCACACCUUGCACUGAACAGGACAGCGCGGGCCAAGACAGCGAGCGAAGCACAGCGGAAGGCUCCCUCGCCUCGCUUUCUCGCGACUCAACAAAUAUGCGUUUGGUUCGCAUCUCUGUUAUAAGCAUUUUGCAUAUUUGUUUUAAUUAGGUUUGUCUAAGCAAAUAUAGGCUGAAAAUAAUAUUUACAUAUAGUUUGGUUGUCUGCAUUAAGCUUUCAAAGGCACGAACUACAUAUUGUCAGUGCUAACCUUGAAGUAUCGAUAUCACUUUGGGUACGUUCGAAUCUUAUUAGCCGUCUGGCCGGUUGAUGACAUGAUUAUCUCUUCUUUGAGUUCCCCCAACAUCAUAGAGCACUUGCCUUAAGUAGCUGGAGAUGGUCUUCAUUUGUCUUCUGAAGGUGCUGUGCGCAACCUAAACCUCUAGUUAUGACCAAUAACAUAAAAAAAAUUGGUUACUUGCUCUUCCACAGUGGUGUGGAUGCUAUCCUGUAGCAACCCUCUACUCCUAAAGGUAUGCACAAGCCUGACAAAUGAUGCGCUUUUUAAAGGUUUGCACAAGCCUGACAAAUGAUGCGCUUUUUAUUCCAAGCAUCCAAUGAUGAAAAUGACCGUUUGAUUUUGGGUUGUAUGCAGCCUACCAAAUGCGUCAAGCUUCCAGAACAGCCGCAACGCAGCAAUCCUCUCUCAAUUUUCUUACAGCAAUCCUCCCUCAAUUUCUUAUACUCUGCAGGUCGGGGCAAUUUGGAUAACAAAACAUAUGUAAAAUGUCACAGAAAAACAUGAAUCAAAGAGCUAAAAUCCCAAAUCUGACUUAAUAAACCGACCAGAGGAAGUAGUGAUACUGUUGAAUUCACUCCCUCUAGAAUUAUCUAUUACUCCCUACGUUCCUAAAUAUAAGUCAUUUUGCUCAGUAUGUAGUUCAAAUUAAUUUUUUUGAAAAUAUUUAUAUUUAAAAGCAGAGUGCUAUUUUAUAAUAAAUCAGCGAUAAUUAAUAUGGAUCAGAGGGAGCAAGAGUUAACUAUUUUCUCAAUCCAUCACACUCCAAUAGCCUGAAAGUGAAGAUAUGGAAGAACCACACAACACCCGCAGCAUAACAACUGGAACAACGAAAUCAAAACAGGCACUUGAAUAAGAGGAUAAAUUCACCACAACACAAACACAAAUGAUGUAUACACUAAAUACAUAAGAUCGGGCAUUUUUUUUACUGCACACACCAUCCCAUGCAUCCAUAUCAUCACCUCUUGGCGCCCUUCUCUUCAAACAGAAUCGCACAACAUCGGAUGCAGCAGCAUCCCUGAUCCCUCUCAGGAGCUGGUGGCAACUGGCAUGCAACUUAACCAGCACAAGUCCAAAGGGUUCACCCCAGUUGAACAUAAGCCAUCAAAUCCUCUGGGCUGCACUUAAGCACUGAAGCUUUAGGCAGUGGCUAAAGCAUUACAUAUUGUACACUUAAAGCCUAAUGCUCCAUUAAAGCCGCAUCAGUUUCUGAUAAUGGUGCAAGCAAGUCCUCGUAUGCGUACGUGUCGUGGAACAAGGAAGGCUCCAACAUAGGUGGCGGGGAGAACACUUGAUCAAGAGCAUCAUCCGUCAUAAACGACCGACCAUUGACUGGAUCAAAGAAGUUUGCAGCAUUGCUUGGAUCGUCAUGGCCAUUCAGUUUACCUGACAGAGCUGGGGCUGCAGGCAUUGGGCUGUCAGGAUUGAAGUAAAGGUCACCUGUGCUCUUGGGCAAUUUCGACUGUGAUGACGGUAGACCUGUCCUUUGUUUUCUUCGAUUUGCCACAGCACCCACAUCCUUCCUUGAAGCAACUGUUGACAGGGGAAUGAAAAAGUGCUCUGAACCAUCAUCGCUACUCUUGUCUUGUGGACCCUCCAUGCUGCUCAAUGGCUUUGACAGAGCGGCUUCACGAACAGAACGUCUGAUGUCAUGAGCAAAAUAACCAUCAUUUUCGUGCGCUGAACCAUUUGCGUGAUCUUUGGUUGAGGGGUGAAUAAGUGCUUUCUCUUCCGGCAUAAUUUCUUUGCUAGGUUGGCGUGUUAGGGCAUUCCGCCUUUGUGUCUGUAUUCCUUUUCCAGAAGAACUUGGAGUCAGGCUAAAUAAAGGAGGAAGCUUCAGAGCAGGACUGCUCCCAGCCUUGUCAAUGUGUAUUGAAGAGAGCUUAGAAGUCAUCUCUGAAACUUGGCUGCUGCUUUCUUCUGAUCUUCCGAGCACUGUAUUUCGCACAGACAACUGUCUAGAGUUUGUUUGAUCCAUUGGAUUACUCGGUACACUAUUCACUUCUUCUGAAAGUUCUGCUAUUGACUGCUGCAUUGCUGGAAUAGCUUCUUUGAGUUGGUUAAUUAGACCCUGAAUACUGACUAAAUGCUGGCGAUGUUCGGCCAACGUUGCAGUUAAUGAGUCAGCAUGGCUACUAGUUUCGCCGUCAGACACACUGCGGAGUAAUUCUGGCCCCUCCCCAUCAUUUGCUUUGGCCAAAUGAAGAGAUUGUUUAUGAAUACGCUGCAAAGCAUGAGUCCAACGUCGAAGAAUUUCAGCUACAUCCACAGUUUGUUGGGCACGCCCAUUCCUAUCAUCUAAUCUUGAAGAAACGGCUUCUUCCUUUCCCUGGAACAGAGAUAUCUGCUCCUGCUUGUCCAAAUUUAGAGAAUGUGGAAGGCUUGAACCCAUAUCCAUUGCUGCUAGCAACUGCGAUCCAGAUAUACGGUACCUAUGCUCACGAUGUGCUAUAAGAUCUUCAAUUGGCCCGGAAGCUAAAACUUCAUGCUGGCCUUGGCGAGCCAAUAUCGAUUCCCACAAACGUGUCGCCUUAGAUACCAGAUGUGAAUUCUGUCCCGACGAGCUUGAGAUGCGUUCAUCCCACAGCUCACCCUCUAGCUUGGCUCUGUUUCUCAUAGCUUGCAGCUUCUCUAACUCCUGCUGCAGACAUGCCUCUUCAGCGCAUAGACUUCGGAAUUCAGCAGUCAUUUCAUGGGCUAAAUUCGACCAGGUUGCUUGCCUUUGAACAGCAAUAUUUGCAUUCUCCAGAAAUUUCCGCCUCUCCAGAGCAAUCCUUGCCUUGGUUACAGGAAGCAAUGCGGCAGCAUGAAGAUAAGAGACAUCUGUGAGCGCUGCCGGCAGCGGAUUUGAUGCUGCAUCAGCCGGAAACGUCCUCCUGUGGACCUCCCUUAAGGCAUGGACAGAGAGCUGCCACAAAAGCUCAACGAACCUCGGCCCGCAGCAGGUGGCGAGGGACGAAACCCUGGAGUUGCUCCGCGGCAGCGCCCCCUGCUGCUCCAGCUCGCUGAUGACGCCCUGCACGAUCUUGCGGAACUCCCUCGACUGCGCGGAAUCAAAGAUGGGCCACACCUUGUCGAAGUCCUUGGCGGACUGCGCGGGGCCGCGGAGCGAGGACAGGAGGAAGUAGAGGAGCUGCUCGCCGAGGCGAGGGUUGGAGUGGCGGAAGAGGCCGACGCGCGUGGGGACGGCGCCGGCGGGGGAGCCGAGGACGGCGGGAUCGAGGCCGAGGAGGAGGCAGUUGGUGUACAUGGCGCCCUCCAGCUCCGCCUCCCGCUCCUUCUCCCGAUCCGUCGACAUGGCCGCCGGCUUCUACUGGGUGGCUGGGUUGGGGCUAGGUUUGGGAGGAGCGGGAGGAGGCGGGCGGCAUUGGAGUCGGGAGAUCUCGCGAGGGGGAGGGGGAGGGGGAGGUGGAGGUGGGAGGCGAACAAACAAACAAAGAAAAGCAGGCCAGCCGGGUCGAGUCGAAAUGGCAACCAUUUUCUUCAGGGCCGGCUCGGGCUCGCUACGAAGAGGCCAAUCUUGUCCUUGUUCAGUCCGGUACCAAGGAUAGGAUGCCGAAUGGCGCAAGGUGAAGUGGACGCUACUCAUGUUGUGGAUCUAUGUGGGACAAGAUUUUUCAUUUUAUCUAUAAUUUCUAUAUAGUUUAUUUCCAUUAUUUUAUUUCUCACGCAUUCAUAGGCGUCGGCAUGACCGAUCUAAAGUUUGGGCCAUUUCCAUUAUUUUAUUUCUCACGCAUUCAUAGGCGUCGGCAUGACCGAUCUAAAGUUUGGGCCGGUCACACCCUAGCCGACGGAUGCUAGUCCGGGUCGUUGGAUCUAGCAAAGAAAAAAAGAUUCGCCCCAUAUCUUCUUCCUCCUCAUGCAUAUCGCGCUCGGCUAGCUCCCCUGCACCUCGUCGUCUCGUGCAGCUUCCCCCCGAUGCCUCAUGUCCCUUCAGUGGUCGUCCUCGUUCGGUCCUUGUCUUCGUCGGCCGUGCUCGUCGCUCCCUCGACCCAUGCAACAGUUGCACUUGCGGUUGCAGCUCUCAGCAGCGAACAAACAAAGAAUCAUAAAGCUUUUUUGACAUUGUCAUAGUGUGGAAAAAUGUCUUACAGUUUAAUACGAAGGUAGUGUUUUUUAUAGGAACAACUACAUGCAUCUCAAAACCUUCCUAAAUGUCGGACAACGAUAGCCAUUCAAUAAAAUGCUUCAAACAACGGACCAGUUCAGAACUUUAAAAUCCGCUAAAUCCCACCCAAACAUGGGGAUCUUUUGGGUGCGCGAUAAUUCGCUUGGCCCACUGUCAGUUGAAUUAUACUCUCUUCGUCCUAAUUUUUUUGUUUUAGCUUUGUCUAUAAAUGGAUGUAUCUAAAUACUAAAACUUGACUAGGUACAUACAUAUCUAAACAAAUCUAAGAUAAGAAUUUUGAGACGGAGAAAGUAUGUUCUUACAACUCAUUUGUUUUUUUCUAUGGGUCUGAGCAGCCGAGUCUGGCCCACCCUGCUAUCCAGAUUUGAUGCAUAUGGUUGAAUGACAAGCUCCUCUACCACUGUCCGCGGACACGUCCGAACGUGUUUGUAAACAUUUGAUUUGUCUGAUUUGAUGUCGCCGUUUAUAUCUGAUUUGUGAUGUCGUGGAUGUUUGAUUUGAUGUCGUUGUUGAACAAACAUUAAUCUCCGAGCAUUGCAAGGGUUGAGUUGUGCUUAUCGCACUUGAGCACCACCCCUGAGUCGAAAAGAUCAAAGACGUUCACGUCGAAAGUAUCUUCAGCCACGACCUUGAAGGUGAGCAACUAGUCGAUCUUCACUGGUGAGUGAUGGUGAAGUCGUCCCACCCUUAAACAAACGACAAGCUCUUGUUGAGAUCCCGAACCUUCAACCUCAAGUUGCAGUUCCUGUUUGUCUUGAGACUGAUUUCUGGGGUGAUAGUUGCCAUGUGCUAACUAUGGCACACCAAUUCAUUUAAUUGGUUCUAAUGUGUACUAGCCCAGAGAUCAUAUCAUCUAGAAAACAUUCACUUGAUAAUGGAAAUACCAAACCAUAAUAUAUUAUUGAUACAAGACCAUAAUUUCUGAAUAUUACAACAAUAGUGUGGUGGUUGAAAGUUAUACAUGGUAUCUCAACAUCUAUACACUAGUUAGGCACAGUAAGCCUUGAUGAGUAGUAAACUCUUAAACGAGAAAAGAAAUGCAAUCAGUAGUAGGACUCCAAAAAGAAUGGAUACUCUCGAGACACAUCUUAGUCAGCGAACUCAACAACAUCCCCCACAAGCAUGCACAUCAUCUUCAUUAUUUGGCCAAAUCGACAAGCCAGAUGAAUACUAUGAAAGUAGUCGCAUGCAAAUGAAACCAAGCAACAAGAUGGACAUUGAAUCCACACAAACCGGCAAAUCCAAGGAAAACACCAGAUCCAGAUAAAAGUAACGCAAAAGAAAAUAAAGCAGUGUGUUCAACUAGAUUACACGUUUAAUGCAACAUCUCGAGUAUGGGGCAUCACUCAAUGCAUGAUUUAAAUGACAAGCCAGGGUCAACAUAAACUAAAGGGAAGGUGGGAGCAAUGUCAAAUAACUGGGAAGUUGGGAACAACGUAAGGUAAGCAACUUAUCACCAAAUUAAAUGGGGAUCGUUACAAUUUCACUGGAUUUGGACUUCAUUGUUGAACGUAAUUGAACUGGAAAGUAAGAAUCAACCAAGAGUACAGAAAAGAAACCAAUGAAUCAAGCAUUGUUAGAUACUACAGGUCGAAUGGGAUCACAAUACAAUAUAUUUCAGAAAGAACAAUUGAAAUGAGGGUCUUUUAACACUUCAAAAUUCAAUGUGAUCACGCUAAUAUAUUUCAGAUCGAACCACUGAAACAAGGGUCGUUGGACUUCAAGAAUUUAGUGGGAUCAACAGAUUUUUUUACCACACUUGUAACGGCUUACACCAUCACUAAUGGAACCAAGAUCUUCUCACUCACUAUCACUGAGUGACAUUAUGCAAGGAUAUUAGACCAGGUACAGUGAUAUGCAAAGCAAUAAGGUGGCAUGGAUAACCCACAAAAUAUCAACCAAUUAAACCGACACAUUGACCAAGAAGCAAAAGAAGAAGUCCCACCACUUUUUGAUACAACUUACGGUGGAGAUUUAUUUUUACGUGUUGAUUGUUUCCUAAAUUUUAGCUUAGAUCAAAAGUGUGAUUAAUCCCGACACCGUCGAUACCAUGGACACGGCUAUUCAAAUAGUUUUUGGGUUUGAAUAGGUCGUACAUUGCACCCAUGUGACGAAAACCUUUCUCGGAGAUGCCUCACCAAGAUAAACCCUAAGAUCACAAAUUUUACUACUAUACCAGUAAGGACUUAAACCUUACAUUGAGAGUGGGAGUGUACACUAAAGGGUCAAUAUGAUCAUAUAAACCACAUGAUCAAAUAAAAUCAUAUAAAAUGCAAGUAUACGAAAGCUUAUUCUAGCAUGAAAAUAUUACCAUACUUUUAUUCAAAAUUCAUAUGAAUCAAGUAUCAAAAGAAACUAUCUUUGCAAACAUUUUUAUAAAACAAGAAUAUGCAUUUAUUUCCAUAGCAAAAUGAUACAAAAUAUCAAGAUCCAUCACAUGUCAUAAAAACAUAGGUUUAGAAGGAUUACCUUGACCAGGGGGGUUGUAAGGGUGGUCUAAUCGCUCUAAAAUAUAUAAUAGGGUUGUUAUUCUAAUAGCAUACACACAAGAAAAGGAAAAAUAAUAUUAUAAUGUGCAAGAAAAAUUCAACAACCAUACUAAUAGAAAGAUAAUUUCAAUACCAACCAAAGGCAAAAAAGAAUCAAUUCUUGUAGACAAACAAAUUUAUCUAUUUAAAUUUAAACGGAAAAUCCAGUGUAUCGAGGUGAUGUCAAAGGCAUAAAGCGAAACUAGCCUACCAUCAAAGGGGUAAGCCUGUGUGAGUUAUCAUCCUUUCAGUCACUAAUAGGUGGGGUGACUUAUUUAAAUGAAGAGUUGUGUAACAGAGAAAAAAAUGACGACAAAUGCUUGCUACUUGGUGUACAUGUUGGGGUUUCCUUGAAUAGGAAGGGUGAAGCAGUAUAAUAGCAGAUAAUAUUUCCCUGAGUUAAGAACCAAGGUUAUCAAACCAGAAGGAGACGACACAUAAACAACAUAAAAAAUACCUGCACACACACACACAAAUCAAAUGCUUGCACCCAACGAAGGCAAAGGGUUGUCAAUCCCCUUGUUCUCGUUGAUUGCAAGGAUUAAAUGUGGUAUUGAUAGUUAUAUAAAUAAAAUAAAAUAAAAUAAUUAGGAAAAUAAAACAACGAGAAAUUGUAGUUUUUAGUAUUAAUGGAGAAUUUACCCAGUGGGCAUAGCGUUCACUAGAGGCAUCUCUCUAAAAAGCAUAGCAUGAGUAGGUAAACAAAUUAUUAUUGAGCGAUCGAUAAAAAAUGACAUAGUUAUGUUUAUUCUUGGUGGCAUAAUUCAUAUAUAGGCAUUAAGUUCGUUACAAGUAGACCAUCAUCCAAUUGUAUCUAGUAAUAUUACUCCACGCUAAGAACACUAUCCAACAUGCAUCUGAAAGUAUUAAGUUCAUGACAAACAAAGUAACGCUUUAAGCAAGAUGACAUAAUGUAGGCAAAGUAAGAUCAAGAAAUGUGUUCUAACCCCAUCGUUUAUACUUAGUAGAAACAAUAAAGUGCAUGCCUUGCAACCCCUUCUAUCAUAGACUAAGGACACCACAAGAUUGAAGCCACUAAUAUGCACCACUCCCUUUAAUGAUCUACUCAAUAACCCGACAAGAGAAAACUCGUAGACAUACAUAACUAUAAAAUUACACAUAACAUAUCUGAAAAUACUCAAUUAAUUUCAAUGAAUCAUCUCAACAUUAACCCACAAUUUAUAUGAUCCCAACAAACGCACCACAACAAUUACAUCAAAUAGAUCUCCAAGGAGAACAUUGUAUUGAAGAUCAUAUAUAUAUAUAUAGAGAGAGAGAUCUAGCUAUUGUUAUGAACCCAUAGGCCCCGAAGAAACUAUUCACACAUCAUCAUGGACGCAACAAGGUUGAUGAAGAUGCCCUAGAUUACCGAAAAAGCCUUCAUAUGGGAUCAUGGAAGAACAAAGGCUGGUGGUGGCGACAAAAUUGUUUUGGGUCUCGUUACGAGGGUUUCUGUAUAUAUGCGAAUUUAUAGGAGUAGUUUUAGAUUAAACACAGCCACAGGGGGCACAAGGCACCUUGGCGCGCUCUUGCCUUGUGGCUCCCUUGUGGAGCGUCCGUCCUUCUCCUCAUGCUUCCAGGGUCUCUUUUUGUCUAGAAAAAAUUGUCAAAAAGGUUCGUCGUGUUAGGACUUCAUUUGGUAUGGAUUUCCUAAAAAACCUAAAACAUGAAAAAAACAUGACUCGUACUAGGCACUGAGUUAAUAGUUUAGUCCAUAAAAACAAUAUAACAUGAAAUAUAAAGGAUACACGAUUGAUAAUAUAAUAGCAUGAAACAAUUAAAAAUUAUCGAUACAUUGGAGAUGUUUCAGCAUCCCCAAGCUUGAUUCCUACUCGUCCUCGAGUAGGUAAAUGAUAAAAACAGAUUUUUUUGAUGUGAAAUGAUACCUAACACAUUUUAAUUAUGUAAUUAUUUGUGGUAUGAAUAUUGGAAAGCGAUUUAAUUGUUAAAUAUCAAAAUGAUAAUGUGCAAGAAUGCUAGAAAGUAAUCAUUACCUUUCAAAAUAAAGGAAGCUAAAGAAUGCUAUUCCUAAUUAUUUAAUAAUUUAGGCAUGGCAUAGCUCGGCCUUCCUAACAUAAAGUAUAAAUCAUGAGCACCCUCAUGCCAAAUCAAGCACUUGUAUCAUACUUUUUUUCGCUUCAACCUUUUCAAUUUCACUCAAUACAUGAGCGUGAGCCAUGGACUUAACACUUUGGAUGGCAAAGAGAAUGAUGAUAUGGGUUUAUAAGCAAGAUAAAGAGUGUAGAAAGUCUCACAUCAAUGUGGCAAUGGAGAGGCCUUACGAUCGAUGCCAAUGCGAGGAGUAGGGAUUGCUAUGCAUGGGAUGUACUAGAGCUAUAAGUGUAUGAAAGCUCUCCUAAUGCAACUACGUGGUGUUGGGGAACGUUGCAUGGGAAACAAAAAAAAUCCUACGCACACGCAAUACAUAUCCAUGGUGAUGAUCAUCUACGAGAGGGGACAGUGCAUCUACGUACCCUUGUAGAUCACUAAGCGGAAGCGUAUAUAACGCGGUUGAUGUAGUGGAACAUCUUCGCGAUCCAAAUCGCAGCACGUCCCGCGAUCUCAUCACGAUCCGUCCCGUGAUCCCAUCACGAUCCAUCCCGAUCUAGUGCCGAACGGACGGCACCUCCGCGUUCAGCACACGUACAACUCGAUGACGAUAUCCGCCUUCUUGAUCCAGAAAGAGGGGCAGAGAGGUAGAUGAGUUCUCCAGUACGACGGCGUGGUGGUGGUGGAGGUGAAACUAUUCAAGCAGGGCUUCGCCUAAGCACCGCUGAAACUAGACUAGAGGAGAAACAGAUCCAGAGAGAGAGGUCAGCACGUGGCUAUUUUUCUAUGUCUCAAAACCCUCAAAAAACUCUAGUAUAUAUAGGAGGAGGGAGGGAGGAGGUUGCGCACUAGGGCUGGCUCCUUUCCUUGGCGCAAGGAGGAGAGGAGGAGUCCUCCUCCAAUCCAAGUAGGAUUAGGACGACUCCUCCUUCCCACUUGGAAACUCCUUCCACCUUGUGUUUUUUAUCCUCAAACCUCAUGGGCCUUAGUGGGAGCUUAUGUCAGCCCACUAGGGGCUGGUGUGUAUCCUCCCACAACCCAUAAGGCCCCUUGGGGCGUGACACCCCUCCCGAUGGUCCCUGGUACCCUCCUGGCACUCCCGGUACACUACCAACGAGUCCGAAACUUUUUGGAUGACCAAAGCAGGACUUCCUAUAUAUCAAUCUUUACCUCCGGACCAUUCCGGAGCUCCUCGUGACAUCCAAGAUCUCAUCCAGGACUCCGAACAACCUUCGGUCACCAACACCUAUAACUUAACUAUACCGAAACAUCACCGAACCUUAAGUGUGCAGACCCUGCGGGUUCGAGAAUUAUGCACACAUGACCUGAGACACUCCCCGGUCAAUAACCAAUAGCGGUACCUGGAUAUCCGUAUUGGCUCCUACAUAUUCUACGAAGAUCUCUAUCGGUUGAACCUCUAUGUCAAGGAUUCAGUUAAUCUCGUAUGCUAUUCCCUUUGUCCUUCGGUAUGUUACUUGACAGAGAUUCAAUCGUCAGUAUCUCCAUACCUAGUUCGAUCUCGUUACCGGCAAGCCUCUUUACUCGUUUCGUAAUACAAGAUCCCAUAACUAACUUCUUAGUCACAUUGCUUGCAAGGCUUGUUGUGAUGUUGUAUUACCGAGUGGGCCCCGAGAUACCUCUCCAUCACACGGAGUGACAUACCCCAGUCUUGAUCCAUGCCAACCCAACAGACACCUUCGGAGAUACCUGUAGAGCACCUUUAUAGUCACCCAGUUACGUUGCGACGUUUGAUACACACAAGGUAUUCCUCCGGUGUCCGGGAGUUGCAUGAUCUCAUGGUCAUAGGAACAGAUACAUUGACAUGCAGAAAAUAGUAGCAAUAAACUGACACGAUCAUAUGCUACGUUUAUAGUUUGGGUCUUUAUCCAUCACAUCAUUCUCCUAAUGAUGUGAUCCCGUUAUCAAGUGACAACACUUGUCUAUGGCCAGGAAACCUUGACCAUCUUUGGUCAAGGAGAUAGUCAACUAGAGGCUCACUAGGGACAGUGUGUUGUCUAUGUAUCCACACAUGUAUUUGAGUUUCCAAUCAAUACAAUUCCAGCAUGGAUAAUAAACGAUUAGCAUGAAUAAGGAAAUAUAAUAAUAACCAAUUUAUUAUUGCUCUAGGGCAUAUUUCCAACAGUCUCCCACUUGCACUAGAGUCAAUAAUCUAGUUCACAUCACUAUGUGAUUGUAAUGAAUCUAACACCCAUACAGUUCUGGGGUUCGAUCAUGUCUUGCUUGUGAGAGAGGUUUUUAGUCAACGGAUCUGAACCUUUAAGAUCCGUGUGUGCUUUACAAAUCUCUAUGUCAUCCUAUAGAUGCUGCUACUACGCGCCAUUUGGAAUUAUUCCAAAUGACUGCUCCACUAUACGAAUCCGGUUUACUACUCAAAGUCAUCCGAAUUAGUGUCAAAGCUUGCAUCGACGUAACCCUUUACGACGAACUCCUUAAUCACCUCCAUAAUCGAGAAAAAAAAUUCCUUAGUCCACUAGUUACUAAGGAUAACUUUUGACCGAUGUUCAGUGACUCAAUCAUGGAGCACUCUUUGUACCGCUUGACAGACUCAUGGUAAGGCACACAUCAGGUGCGGUACACAGCAUGGCAUACUUCAGAGCCUACGACUAAGGCCUAGGGGACGACCUUUGUCCUUUCUCUUUCUUCUGCCAUGGUCGGGUUUUGAGUCUUACUCAAAUUUGCACCUUACAACACAGUCAAGAACCCCUUCUUUGUCGAUCUAUUUUGAACUCCUUCAAAAACUUGUCAAGGCAUGCAUUUCAUUGAAACUCUUAUCAAGCGUCUUGAUCUAUAUCUAUAGAUAUUGAUGCUCAAUGUUCAAGUAGCUUAAUCUAGGUUUUCCUUUGAAAAACACUUUUCAAACAACCCUAUAUGCUUUCCAGAAAUUCUACAUCAUUUCCGAUCAACAAUAUUUCAACCACAUAUACUCAUCAGAAAUUCUAUAGUGCUCCCACUCACUUUCUUGGAAAUACAAGUUUCUCAUAAACUUUGUAUAAAACCAAAAGUUUUGAUCACUCAUCAAAGUACUUAUUCCAACUCCGAGAUGCUUUCUCGAGUCCAUAGAAGGAUCACUGGAGCUUGGAUACUUGUUAGCAUCCUUAGGAUCGACAAAACCUUCUGGUUGUAUCACAUACAACAUUUCCUCAAGGAAACCGUUGAGGAAACAAUGUUUUGACAUCCUAUCCGCAAGAUUUCAUAAAUAAUGCCAACUGCUAACAUAAUUGCAACAGACUUUUAGCAUCGCUACGAGUGAGAAAGUCUCAUCAUAGUCAACUCUUUGAACUUGUCGCAAACAUCUUUGAGACAAGUCGAGCUUUCUUAAUGUUGACUUGUCACCACCAUCGCCCGUCUUCCUUUUAAAGAUCCAUAUGUACUUAACAGUCUUAUGACCAUCAAGUAGUUCUUCCAAAGUCCACACUUAGGUUUCAUACAUGGAUCCUCUCUCGGAUUUCAUGGCUUCGAACCAUUUGCCGGAAUCCGGGCCCUCCAUCGCUUCUCCAUAGCUCGUGGGUUCACUGUUGUCUAACAACAUGACCUCCAAGACAGGGUUACCGUACCACUCUGUAGCAGUACGUGACCUUGUCGACCUACGAGACUUGUAGUAACUUGAUCCAAAGUUUCAUGAUCACUAUCAUUAGCUUCCACUUCAAUUGGUGUAGGCGCCACAGGAACAACUUCAUGCGCCCUGCUACACACUGGUUGAAGUGACGGUUCAAUAACCUCAUCAAGUUUCCACCAUCCUCCCACUCAAUUCCUUCGAGAGAAACUUAUCCUCGAGAAAGGACCCGUUUCUAGAACAAACACUUUGCUUCCGGAUCUGAGAUAGGAGAUGUACCCAAAUGUUUUGGGUAUCCUAUGAAGAUGCAUUUAUCCGCUUUGGGUUCGAGCUUAUUGAUGACCCACAAGUAUAGGGGAUCAAUUGUAGUCCUUUCAUUAAAUAAGAGUGUCGAACCCAACGAGGAGCAGAAGGCUCUGAUAAACGGAUUUCAGCAAGGUAAAAACUGCAAGCACUGAAAGUAGCGGUAACAAGUGAUUGUGUAGCGAGGUGAAACGUAGGAAGCAAAGAGUAACAAGUAACAAGUAGUAGCAACGGUGCAGCAAGUGUCCCAAUCCCUUUUGUAGCAAGGGACAAGCCUGAACAAAGUCUUAUAGGAGGAAAAACGCUCCCGAGGACACACGGGAAUUUCUGUCAUGCUAGUUUCAUCAUGUUCAUAUGAUUCGCGUUCGUUACUUUGAUAGUUUGAUAUGUGGGUGGACCAGCGCUUGGGUAAUACCCUUACUUGGACAAGCAUCCCACUUAUGAUUAACCUCUCUCGCAAGCAUCCGCAACUACAAAAGAAGAAUUAAGACAAAGUCUAACCAUAGCAGUAAACUAGUGGAUCCAAAUCGGCCCCUCACAAAGCAACGCAUAGACUGGGGUUUAAGCUUCUGUCACUCCAGCAACCCAUCAUCUACUUACUACUUCCCAAUGCCUUCCUCUAGGCCCAAAUAUGGUGAAGUGUUAUGUAGUCAACGUUCACAUAACACCACUAGAGGAAAAACAACAUACAUCAUAUCAAAAUACCGAACAAAUAUCAAAUUCACAUGACUAUUAUUAACAUGACUUAUCCCAUGUCCUCAAGAACAAAAGUAAUUACUCACAAGACAUAAUCAUAAUCAUGACCAGAGGUGUAAUGAAUAGGAUCAAGGAUCUGAACAUAAACUCUUCCACCAAAUAAUCCAACUAGCAUCAACUACAAAGAGUAAUCAACACUACUAGCAACCUUACAAGUACCAAUCGGAGUCGCGAGAUGAAGAUUGGUUACAAGAGAUGAACUAGGGAUUGGAGAGGAGAUGGUGUUGAUGAAGAUGUUGAUGAAGAUGCAUCCCCUCCGACGAGAGGAGUGUUGGUGAUGACGAUGGCGACGAUUUCCCCCUCCGGGAGGGAAGUUUCCCCGGCAGGAUCGUCCCGCCGGAGGUCUAGAUUGGAUCUGCUCAAGUUCCGCCUCGUGGCGCCGGAGAAACCACGAAAAAGCUCCCUAUUGAUUUUUUCCAGACCAGGACGCUUCAUAUAGCAAAAGAGGGGGGCUAGUGGGCCUUCAGGCAGCCCACAAGCCUGCCCUACGCCACCAGGGGGUGGUGGCGGUGGGCAAGCUUAUGGAGCCCUGGUGGCCCCCCUCCGGUAGUUCUUUCGCCCAGUAUUUUUAAUAUAUUCCAGAAAAAAUCCACGUAAAUUUUCAGGGCAUUUGGAGAUGUGCAGAAUAGUGGACUAGGAUUUGCUCCUUUUCUAGUCCAGAAUUCCAGCUGCCUGAAUUCUCCCUCUUCACAUAAUCCUUGCAAAAUAAGAGGAAAAAAUGCAUAAAUAUGGUACCACAAGUAAUAUAACAUCCCAAAAAGCAAUAAAUAUCAACAUGAAGGCAUGAUGCAAAAUGGACGUAUCAACUCCCCCAAGCUUAGACCUCGCUUNNNNNNNNNNNNNNNNNNNNNNNNNNNNNNNNNNNNNNNNNNNNNNNNNNNNNNNNNNNNNNNNNNNNNNNNNNNNNNNNNNNNNNNNNNNNNNNNNNNNCUCCUCCUUCUCCUCCUUCUUGAUUUCUUCUACUCCUCCUCCUCCUCCUCUUUCUUCUCCUCUUUCAUAUUAUCCUUGAUUUAAUUUCCCCAAAAAUGACAUAAUUAGCCCAUUUAACUCCAAAAUGCCAUAAUAAGCUCAAAAUGGCAUAAGAACCUUGGUUAGCUCAUGAAUAUUAUAUACUUAGCUUGUUUUUCUCUAAAAUGGGAUAAUUAGCCCAUUUAGCUCCAAAAAGACAUAGUUAGGUAAUUUAGCUCCAACAAGAGGAGAAGAGGAGAAGAAAUAGGAAAAAUGAAAAGAAAGAAGAAGAAGAAGAAGAAGAAGAGAAGAAGGAGGAGGAGGAGAAGGCCAAGGACCUUCUAGUCCUUCUCCUCCUCCUCCUUCUCCUCCUUCUUGAUUUCUUCUUUUUCUCCUCCUCCUCCUCCUUCUUGAUUUCUUCUUUUUCUCCUCCUCCUCCUCUUUCUUCUCCUCUUUCAUAUUAUCCUUGCUUUAAUUUCCCCAACAAUGACAUAAUUAGCCCAUUUAGCUCCAAAAUACCAUAAUAAGCUCAAAAUGGCAUAAGAACCUUGGUUAGCUCAUGAAUAUUAUAUACUUAGCUUGUUUUCCUCUAAAAUGGGAUAAUUAGCCCAUUUAGCUCCAAAAAUACAUAAUUAGGUAAUUUAGCUCCAACAAGAGGAGAAGAGGAGAAGAAAUAGGAAAAAUGAUAAGAAAGAAAGAAGAAGAAGAAGAAGAGAAGAAGGAGAAGGAGAAGGAGGAGGAGGAGAAGGAGAAGGUCAAGGACCUUCUAGUCCUUCUCCUCCUUCUUCUUGAUUUCUUCUUCUUGUCCUCCUCGUCCUCUUUCUUCUCCUAUUUUAUAUUAUCCUUGCUUUAAUUAACGCAUUUAGCUCCAAAAUGCCAUAAUAAGCUAAAAAUGGCAUAAGAACCUUGGUUAGCUCAUGAAUAUUAUAUUCUUAGCUUGUUUUCCGCUAAAAAUGACAUAAUUAGCUGAAAAACAUCAUAUUUUGUUUUUCUUCUGACUUUCUUAUUCACAUUUUUACAGAUUGGAUAUACUACAUGCAUGGAAGCUGGCAUUCAUGGAGUUGAACAAUGUCGAUGGAUGAACUUUAUAUGUAUAUCAUCUAGUUUUCAUUUGAGUUGAUGAACAAUGUCGAACUAUAUGUAUAUGUAUAUAUGGAUAAAUGGUGCAAUACUUUGUAUGUUGGUUCUUUCGAUAUAUGGGGAUGUACAUUGAUUUAUAUGUAUAUCAUAUAUGUGUGGUGAAUUAUAUAUAUGUGUUGGCAAGUAUAUGUGUGGUGAACUAUAUAUCAUAUAUGUGUGGUGAAUUAUAUAAAUGUGAUGUCAAAUAUAUAUGUAUAUAUAUAUAUAUAUGUGUGUNNNNNNNNNNNNNNNNNNNNNNNNNNNNNNNNNNNNNNNNNNNNNNNNNNNNNNNNNNNNNNNNNNNNNNNNNNNNNNNNNNNNNNNNNNNNNNNNNNNNAGAAGAAGAAAUCAAGAAGAAGGAGGAGAAGGAGGAGAAGGAGGAGGAGGAGAAGGACUAGAAGGUCCUUGGCCUUCUCCUUCUCCUCCUCCUCCUCCUCCUUCUCCUUCUUCUCUUCUUCUUCUUCUUCUUCUUCUUUCUUUUCAUUUUUCCUAUUUCUUCUCCUCUUCUCCUCUUGUUGGAGCUAAAUUACCUAAUUAUGUCUUUUUGGAGCUAAAUGGGCUAAUUAUCCCAUUUUAGAGGAAAACAAGCUAAGUAUAUAAUAUUCAUGAGCUAACCAAGUUUCUUAUGCCAUUUUGAGAUUAUUAUGGUAUUUUGGAGCUAAAUGGGCUAAGUAUGUCAUUGUUGGGGAAAUUAAAGCAAGGAUAAUGUGAAAGAGGAGAAGAAAGAGGAGGAGGAGGAGACGAAGAAGAAAUCGAGAAGAAGGAGGAGAAGGACUAGAAGGUCCCUGGCCUUCUCCUUCUCCUCCUCCUCCUCCUCCUUCUACUUCUUCUCUUCUUCUUCUUCUUCUUCUUCUUUCUUUUCAUUUUUCCUAUUUAUUCUCCUCUUAAAUGAGCUAAAUUACCUAAUUAUGUCUUUUUGGAGCUAAAUGGGCUAAUUAUCUCAUUUUAGAGGAAAACAAGCUAAGUAUAUAAUAUUCAUGAGCUAACCAAGGUUCUUAUCCCAUUUUGAGGUUAUUAUGGCAUUUUGGAGCUAAAUGGGAUAAUUAUAUCUUUUUGGGGAAAUUAAAGCAAGGAUAAUAUGAAAGAGGAGAAGAAAAAGGAGGAGGAGGAGAAGAAGAAGAAAUCAAGAAGAAGGAGGAGAAGGAGGAGAAGGAGGAGGAGGAGAAGGACUAGAAGGUCCUUGGCCUUCUCCUCCUCCUCCUUCUCCUUCUUCUNNNNNNNNNNNNNNNNNNNNNNNNNNNNNNNNNNNNNNNNNNNNNNNNNNNNNNNNNNNNNNNNNNNNNNNNNNNNNNNNNNNNNNNNNNNNNNNNNNNNCUUCUGUUCCGAAAAAAAUCUUUUUGGAGGUUUUAUUCCGUUUGGACUCCAUUUAAUAUUCUCCUCUGAAAAGGGUCAAAAACACGGAAAAAACAGGAACUGGCACUUGGCACUGAGUUAAUAAGUUAGUCCCAAAAAAUAUAUAAAAGGCAUACAAAACAUCCAAAGUUUGACAAGAUAAUAGCAUGGAACUAUCAAAAAUUAUAGAUACGUUGGAGACGUAUCAGCCAGCAAUGGAGUGGCACGCACCUGAGUGGCCCGGAUAAGCAUCGUUCUUGUAUAAGAGGUGCUAGGACUGACAUCGGACGCCCUUGCAUCUUGUAGGAGCGCAAAGGGUGAUGGGCCCAUGACCCCUGUGCGCUUAGGAUUUAGACCGACGGGCUGGCCUCUCUGUUGAGCUUAGGUAGGGCUGCGACGUGUUGAUGUUCCGACGCCGGGCAUGACCCGCGAAAGUGUGUCCGACCAGAGUUUAUCAAGCAUGUUGGGUACUGUGGUGCAUGAUACGUCUCAAAUGUAUCUAUAAUUUUUGAUGGUUUCACGCUGUUAUCUUGUCAACUUUGGAUGUUUUGUUUACCUUUUAUAUCUUUUUUGGGACUAACUUAUUAAUUCAGUGCCAAGUGCCAGUUCGUGUUUUUUUCUGUGAUUUUGACUCUUUUCAGAUCUGAUUUUGGAACGGAGUCCAAACAGAAUAAAAUCCUCGAAAUAUUUUUUUCCAGAACGGAAGAAGAUCGGAGGACAUGAGGGCCAAGGCAGGGGGCCCACAGGGAGCCCACAAGCCCUGUUGUCGUGGCCAGGGGGCACGCGGCAACCAGGCUUGUGGCCUCCCUGGCGCUCCAUUGCCCCAGCUCUUUGGCCUAUAAAUUCCCUAAAAUCGCAGAAAAAAUCAGGGCAUCCACAAAAACACUUUUCCGCCGCCGCAAGCUUCCGUUUCUGCGAGAUCUCAUCUGGAGACCCUUCUCGAUGCCUUGCCGGAGGGGACUUUGGAGUUGGAGGGCUUCUACAUCAACAUCAUCGCCUCUCCAAUGACUCGUGAGUAGUCCACUUCAGACCUACGGGUCAGACNNNNNNNNNNNNNNNNNNNNNNNNNNNNNNNNNNNNNNNNNNNNNNNNNNNNNNNNNNNNNNNNNNNNNNNNNNNNNNNNNNNNNNNNNNNNNNNNNNNNGGUCCGGGCCGUCUCGCGCUGGGCAGUCUGCUUCGUCCGUUUUAUCUCAAACGGACGCGCACGGAUAUAAUGGGGUCGCGCGGCGGAGUUGGCCUAAGAGAGGCAUGCACCGCAUCUAUAUGCCUCUCGUACCGCCCGAGAGAGGAGCUCUCGAGACGCAUUUGUGUUGUGCUUCGUCGCCACCCUUCGGUUCCACGCGUCGUGCUCCACUGCCGGUAACCCGAGGUCAUCCUUGCCUCAUGCUCGCCGACGUCUUCCUCUCCCACUCUAUUCCACGUGUGUGGCCAGCUAAGCACCGCCCUCGCCUUCGAUUUACGCUUGUAGGGGCUUCGUCGUUGGAAAGUUUUAUUUUUGUUAGAGUAAAACAAGAUUGAAUGGAAGUGAAUGGACCAGGAGUCCUCUUUCUAUUGAUUCUCAAGUAUAUAUACAUCUGGAACAGGUGCGAAGAAGAGGUGUAUGUUCGGAGGCAUCCCUCCAGAACAGGUGCCUGUUGGCAAUAGACACAAAGAGGAGACACGACUGUUCGGGUUGGACAUAUCCCUUGAAUUAAUCUACUAAUUAAUUUCUAACACUCCCCCUUGUACAACACCGCUCCUUGAAUGUUUCAUCGUUGAAAGCUUCUUGCAUAUAGAUCUUUCAUCUUGAUAAAUCUUCCAGAUAAUCUUGAGAGUCUCCCCAAAAACCCCGUGGGAAAAAUAUGAGGAGAAUAGAGUAGAUAUGUUGCUAAAACUCCUUUAAACCCAGUGGGGAAAAAUAUGGAGAAAAUGAUGCAACAUAUGAUGAUUAUUGUCUCUUGAUAACUCAUAUGAGGAAAACCUUUGAAGAAGGAGAAAACUCAUUGAUAAGUUUAGAGAACAAUUAAUAUGUCUUGAGUACUUCCUUUAAAAACCCUGGUAGGGAAAAUAGAAAGUAUGACAUAUGAUCUUUGAGAAGAUAUUGCCUCACUAAAAACCAUUAUGAGAAACUUUGAGAGAAAACUCAUAAGGGAAAAGAGUGCAAUCGUAUAUGCCAUUGAAAACUCCUUUAAAACCCAAUGGGAAAAAUACAAGGAGAAAAUGAUAUGGCAUAUAAAGACACUUGUGUUUAUAUUGUCGCGUUAAAAACCUUUUAUGAGAAACCAAUAGGGAAAACUCAUCAAGGGAAAAAGAGUACAAUAUAUGCAAUCUGAUGAUUGUUAAUAGGUUAUAGUUUGGGAGAUUACUCCCCCUGAACUUUGCAAAUAUGAAGGAUGUCUCAUACCAAUUCCAUUGACAUGAACAUGAGAUUGUGUAUAAUCUGUUGGAUUAUAACAGUAGUUUGUUUGCAAAUUAUUUCCUCACUUUUCUAUAAUUCGUGAGGCUAAGUAAUUUCCGAGCAAUGUGAUUUAUGAUAUUGCUCUUCAUAUAACCUAUAGGUAUUGAGUAACACAAGUGGAAGUAUCUUGAUAAAUCAAGUUAUGUGAUUGUGAUGAAUCUCAACCACAUGAUUUUGAGUGUGGUUAACCAUUCUACUAAGUUAUGCAUAUUUUGCAAUGCCUUUAGAUAAAGCAAUUAUGUUAGAAUGAUAACUGGAAAUAACCACUAAAAUCCAUUUAUAUGACUUCCAUGUGAAGGCUAUUCCAGCAAAUUCAGUCAUUGAUAUGGCAUCGUUGGGAUCAAAUAAAGAGCCAAUAUCAUUACAUCAUAUCAUGGUCAUAUCUUCUAUUUCCUGAUGGAAAUAUCCAAGAUUUACUGUAAUCUUCAGAUAUAAGAUGAUAUUACUUAUAUCAACCAUAUACCUUUUGUUGGGGAUUGCACUCUGAAUAAAGAUAGCAAAUAUAGUGUCAGGCCUGACGUAGUUUGCAAGUAUAUGAGUGCUUUGACAUUAGUGAUAUAUAGAACUUCAGGUCCUAGUAUCACUUCAUUAUCACCCCUAGGUAUGAAUGGAUUUGUACCUUAUCAAAGGUAGUAUGACCAUACAUGUCUUUUAUUGUUAUGAUAUAUUCACACUGAACUUCUCGUAUAUGUUUUGGAUAUAUGUAGACUGAUACUAAUUCUUGAUAGAAUGCUCAAGUUGUAAACUUAAGCUAAAUUUGGUUAAAUCCAAAUUUUUCGUCUUGAGAUGAUUUUGUGUAUGUUUAGGUCUUGUAGAGACAUUGAUGAUGAAAUCAUCGAUAUACACUGAGGUGAUAUAAGGAAUUCAAAUUUGGGAUUCCUUUGUUAACAGAUAAACAAUCAUCAUUCUUUGAGUAAUCCUUCGGAAGAAGAAAGUCACUUAGUCGGUAGUACCAUAUGAUUUCCGACUAUUUCGAGCCAUAGAGUGACUUCUGAAAUUUUACACAAAUAUGUUGCGAUUUAUUUUGGAUUUGGAAUUGUAAGCCCUUGAGAGACUUCGUUAUAAAAUUCCGAAACAAGUGACCCAUAUGAGUAUGUAGUCACUACAUUCAUUAACUGCAUGGAUAAUAUUAUUUGUACUGCCAAUGGUAUUUAUUAUCGAAACAUAAUUCCAUUCAUACCAAGAAGGUAUGUUACAUCAUAAUCGAUGUCGGGUCUCUGCGUGAACCCUUUUGCUACAAGCCUCGCUUUUUCACCACCUCAUUGACUUUGUCUAUGAAUGAGAAGUUUUUAGUAUUCCAUAUGGAAGAUACUUAUGAGGAGUAGAUAUUGUUGUGGUAAAUACAAUUCGUUUGUAGAGCGAGUGCUAUUCUUCAUGACUUGCUUCCUUUUAUGUGAACCAAUAUGAGUACAAGAGGCACUCUACCAUGGAUUUUGGUUCAGGGCCCAAAAAGGUUUUAGCAAUUUGGAGAAGAAAUAUAUGUCGACAAAUGUAGACUUAUGUUAUAUGAUUAUGGAGAAAUCAAUGAAAUUUGUGGAAAUGUAUUUAUUCCUUUUAACUCCUUGUAUUUCCUACAACAAUGGAGUCAAGGUGUUUCGAUGUCCCGACACCAAAACAUUUGUGCACAUUUAUGUCGGGUUUUGGAUGAUGAGCAUCCAGUGAGGUGUCUUUCAACUCGAUGUUGAAUUACAUUUACUAGUUGAGGAUUUGAUUUCCUCUAUUUCCGCGGAAGCAUAUGUGAGAUUAUAUCUCGUGUGGUCAGAUUUCUCCCCCUCUUGCUCUCAUUUUGGGAGAGGAGUGGUUUAUCAGGUACCUCCACUCUUUCUGACACUUUACUGCAGGAAUAUAAAAUUGAGUGACACCUUUGUCAUCAGUAAAUGUAUGUGGCAGAUUUGCAAUGUGUUGCAAAUAUGUGAUUCUAAACUUCUUGUUCAGAUCUUUGAGUACGUGGAUAUAAAGACUGAAUGUGAAUAACAUUCCUAAUUUAUUUCUUGGCAUUCUUUGUGGUACUUAUCUCCCCCUAAUGCCAUAAAUGUCCUUAUUGCUGAUGCAAUCAGCAUACGGGCUAUGAAUAAUUUUGAUUGACGGAUAAAUUAUCAUUCCUCACUUAGAUCCCUAAUUUUCUGUGAGAGCCCAUUGAUGUAUGCUGGAGUGGUGAUAUCGGUAUGUAACCGAAUUAUCGCAGAGAGGAAAUAAUUUGUUGAUUUCCACAUAAUUACUAAAAGGGGAAAGUAGUAUGCUAUGCAGUUGGUAUGAUUUAUAUCAUACUUACGGUGUGUAAUGACGUAUUUGUCUAGCAUGAGGCUAGUAAAUCAUGAUUCUAUAAGUUUGGUCAUAUUAUUAAUUUCACUAUCUUUGAUAAGAUAUUGAACUAAACCAUUUUGGAUAUGUACAUAAAGUAUUAUAUAUAAUCAGAUAUUUCUUGUGAAAUGAGUUCAACAAAGUUGUCCGUUCGAAUGGAUUUAUCCCUUGUUUAGGAUAACUUGCUCUUACUUUGAGAAUUUGAGCAAUUGAUUUAGUUAUAUCGUUCACGGUUUGUGUGACAAGAGACACACUAGAAAUCAUUUUAUAAAUGAUGUUUCCAUGAGUACCAUAAAGUAUCUAUAAAAUACCACACAAUGGUUGAGAAUGCACGUAUCUUCUGAAUGUGUUCAAGGAAGAAUGAGUUGGCUCAUUUAGAAUUGUAAGGUGAGAUUUCCUUAAAUUAAUUUCCCUUAUGGCACAUGUGGUGCACAUAAAAUCUGAUGAUUUGGGAAAUUUUGCAACUUGUUAAGUUGUGACCAAUAGAAUUGUCAAUAAUUUUCUAAACAACCCCAAACCUGGAUUGUAAGGCUUAAAACCAAAUAUUUUGCAAGAUUUAGAAAAUUAUUGUGUACGCAACAAAACUGAGUAUGAAUUGAUUCAUACAUGCAAAAAUUAUCAAAUAUAAUGUCCAAGAAAUAGGAUAUUGGACAUUUAUACUACAUGUAGUAGUACGACUAUAGGCAAACAAUAUUUUGGGAAUAAUCGGGAUAUUACAUGAGGUUUCCCAUAUUACGGAAAAAUGAGUUACGCAAACAUAUCAUAGGCACAAACGAAUUGAUCAUUAUUUUAUUGCACUAUAUUUUUGGUUCUCCUUCAGAUGAAGAUUCGAGAACAUCAUUUACCAGAAUAGUUUCUGGUCGUAUGUUUGCAAAUUUUCAAAUACCACAAUGAACUUAUUUGCCUUUUAAUAAACUCAUGGUGUGGUUUGACCAUAUGUUUGAGGGUUUGGUAAUCAUAGGUACGAUAUUCAUGUAACCACACAUUUGACAAACUUGAGAGUUGUCUUUGUAAUCUUUUUAAAAUGAUCAAUUACUAAUUAAAAGGUAAUUAUGUCAUUGGUUGUCUUUAUCCUCCACUUUACUUUGAAUGCCUCAUUGUUCUAUUUUGUGACCACUAACAUGCAUAGUAUUCUCAAUGCUAGAAAAUAUUUGAAGCACCCGUUGGGUGAAUAUGAUGAGUUUAAGAAAUAACAUGUUUCUUUACCAUGAAAAUGGUAAUACCAUCAUAAGGAGAUGUAAAGUGUAUCAAGGGUUUUUCAACCUGAUCUGCAUAUGAAAAUGUGAGAUCAUGAGAUCUCAACUUCAAGUUGAUUUUAUAAUUACCAAAAUUGUAAGUUGCGAUAGACUUGAGAUCUUGAAAAAUUAUUGGGUGAUCAUUCCAAAUGUGCUCGGGGCAGCAUGUUUCUCUUAAGGGAAAUAUUCAAGGUGAAUAAAUAUUCAUCCAUUAUGUACUUAGUUUGAGAACUAAGUGAAGUUGGUGAGAGAUGAAAUACAUAUGAUCAUACUUAGCUAUUAAGAGAAUAGCCAUGACACAUAUUCCGUAGGUGAGGUUAUAGUAGCAAUAAUACCUCGGGUGGAUACAACGACUGCUGGCGUAAAUCAUCUUGCAAUAAAUAAUCUCACCUAACAUGUACUUACUGUAUUUGGAAAUGUGAGCCAUGCGUUACUUGAAAAUGCUAAUGCAUUUAUUUAAUUUACUUCUAGGAGUAAGUGGCAUCUAUAAAUAAAUGAUUUGUUUGAGAACAAUCAUGGUCAAGAUGAUCCUUGGUGAACCUGGGUGUAUCCUUCAAUAUAACACAUGUGAUUAAAUUAUUGCUAAUGUUUUGGACUUCAUUCUUGAGGAAGUGUGUGACUUUAGAGUCACUGCCAAAACGUAUAGACUUGCAUGCUUAACAUUGGUUAGUCACUAUGAAAUUAUAACCACGAUGUCCUGUGGACCUUGCGANNNNNNNNNNNNNNNNNNNNNNNNNNNNNNNNNNNNNNNNNNNNNNNNNNNNNNNNNNNNNNNNNNNNNNNNNNNNNNNNNNNNNNNNNNNNNNNNNNNNGCAUCCCGAAGCCACGCCGAAUCGUCGACGAUGAAGGAGAGAGCGCCGAAGAAGAUCUGGUGACCCAUGCUCGAAUCUCCACUGGACGACAUGACGAAGGAAAGUAGUCGCAAACUCGCCGGAAGUCGCUUAGACGCCUGCCCCAUGGUGGGCGCCAACUGUCGUGGGUAUAAGCCUGACAAUAGAUGUGUAGGGUAUGAAAAGGAUGGGCAUAGCCUUAGCUACGGCGAGGUUGUAUGAGUUCAGGCCCCUCUGCGGUGGAGGUAAUAGCCCUACGUCUCAGUGCUCUGGGAGCUUGUUGUCGAGUGGAAUAUGGAAUACAAUGAGUUGCUAACCCUCGCACCAGUGGAGGAGGGUGACUUAUAUAGAGUGCGCUGCCCUCCACAACGGUUCGGUGCACAGGGGUGGAGUAGUGGCGAAUAAAUGCCUACGUUACAGGUAACGUACGUCUUAAAUGCUAAUAAAGGCGUGUGGAAACGUAUGACCGUUUCCCCCCAGGGGGGUUACGAUGCACAGAGUGAAAUCCAGUCGGUUAGUUUGAUACGCUCCGAAUGCUCGUCUCCGACUAGACGAUUGAAGAUCUGUCACCGACUGGAUGAUGGGAACAUCUUAGUUCAGUCGAAACUGACUAAGGGCCUUGUCCCUUAUGAAGGGUAGUCCUUGGGUAGGACCUACAGGGCAGGCCUAUGACCCUACCCUAGGACCAUAACCCCAUCAACGGCGAAUUACCAGGGUUGAAUUGUAAAAGGAGUAUAUAGGCUUAGUUUGGCAACAUGGUAAUAGACCAGCUAAUCAUUUUAAAAUGUAACAGAUAUAGAGAAACCGGGAGCAACAAUCCUGUUUUCUAAUAUGUGCUUCAACGGGCUAAGAGCUCUCGUCAACACUUGAGCAAGAGCUAGUUGGGUAUGGAAACUCCUGUAUUCUUACCACUCGCAAUGGACAAAUAUGGCACGAACAAGAGCUACAUCAGCUCAUCUUUGCACCCCGCACGUCUGGGUAGCAAGCUCCACCACUAAAGCAACAAAAUAAGAACCAUAAGAGAACCAAAAAGCAUGCUAUAGUCAAGGACACGAUCAGUGUUGAUUGUUCUGUUGACAACUGCAGUGAGGAGCAGGUUCUGGUGACAACAGUUUUUAAAAAAGAGGUCUCAUGUUGUUUUUUAAAACUGAGAAAAUACCACAGUUUUCGUAAUACCACAUGUUUUAAACAAAGAAAAUCCACCAGCCAGUGUUGAUUGUUCUGGUGACAACAGUAAUGCUUGUCUUUCUUUCUUAAGGGAUGUCUGUUCGAAAGAAAUCAACAAUGUCCCAGGUACACAUCCAUUUUUACAUUUUUCCAAAUAUAUACUUUUACAUUUUUCCAAAUAUAUACGUCUAGUCUCAUCUAAACAGUAUGUGCAUGCAUUGUAUUCCUUGUUUGUGUGUCUUGAAAGGUUACUAAGAACAGGCCAACCAUUGAUGGUUACAAACAGCAACGCUCAUAAGUCAAAUUCCUGUUGUUUGUGCUCAUCCCACACACGUACACCUUUUAUAUCCCACAACUAUAAAAGUUCGUCAACUAAUGACCUUAGGUACACAUCAAUGUCGUUGCCGGGUUGCUUUAGGCCUUGGAUGAGCACUGGCAUCAUAAUGAACUUCCACUUCAUGCACAAUCAAGGUGGAAGGUUAUAGAUACAUAGAGCCAUAGGCCAGGUGCUAUGAUUGAUGUUCUGCUCCCAAAAGGAUUAAUGCCAUAUACACUUAUACCAAACUUUAAGUUCCUUGCGUCAUCCGCAAACUCCGACCACUUUCUCUUGAUUUUUCUCCACUACUACCCAUCAACGGGUACUCUCAAUAUCCCUUCUUUCUUACGGUCUUCUUUGUGCCAUCGCGACAACUUUGUAUGCUCUUUGUUUCUAAACAAACGUUUCAACCAUGGUAUUAUAGGCACAUACCACAUCACCUUGGCAGGAACCCUCUUCCUGGGACGCUCGCCCUCAACAUUGUCACCAGGGUCAUCGCGUCUCAUCUUAUACCGCAAUGCACCGCAUAUCGGUCAUGCAUUAAAAUUCUUAUACUCAUCACUGUGGUACAGGAUGUAAUUAUUAAGGCAUGCAUGUACUUUCUGCACCUCUAAUCCUAGAGGGCAGAUAAUCUUCUUUGCUUCGUACGUACAGUCGGGCAAUUCGUUAUCCUUUGGAAGCUUCUUCUUCAUUAUUUUCAGUAACUUCUCAAAUCCCUUGUUAGAUAAAUCAUUCUCAGCCUUCCAUUGCAGCAAUUCUAGUGUGAUACCGAGAUUUGUGUUGCUAUCUUCGCAAUUUGGGUACAACCGUUUUUUGUGAUCCUCUAACACGCGAUCGAACAUCAACUUUUUCUUUUCACUUUUGCAUUCUCUCUGUGCAUCAAUAAUGACCCGGCGAAGAUCAUGAACGGGCACAUCUGGUGCCUCAUGAUCUUCAGCUUCCCCUGCUGCAGUAUCACCGUAUUCAGGGAACAUAGGAUUGUUGUCAUCAUCCCCUUCUUCUUUAUUGUCUUCCAUCAUAACCCCUCUUUCUCCUUGCUUGGUCCAAACAUUAUAGCUGGGCACGAAACCGGGUAAUAGCAGGUGGGUGUGAAGGAUUUUCGACCAAGAGUAAUCCCUUGUAUUCUCACAGACAACACAUGGACAACACAUGAAACAAUUCAUACUGUUUGCCUUAGCCACAACCAUAAAAUUAUGCAGGCCCGUAAUAUACUCGAAAGUGCAUCAAUCACCGUACAUCCAUUGUCGAUUCAUUUGCAUUAUAUAAUUAAGUAUAUCAAAAACCAUUACAAAAUAUCAUGAAUAGAGUAAUGACCAAAUUAAUACAAGUUCAUCACAUUAAAACCAAAGUACAAUAGUGAUCAAAUGUUAUUACUGCAAAAAUAAAUACAUAAAGUUCAUACAUAAUUCUCAUAAAAAACAUACAACUAUCUAGAGCAUCUAAAACAUACAUUGAAACUAACAUACAACUAUGUAAAACAUCAAAAUGCAACAACAAAUGCGAGAAAAUCACAACUAAGGUAACAAUUGAUCCAAUAACAUAAUGAUACAAAGCCUAUUAUCAAUGACAUAUUUUCUAAUUUUUGUAAUUUUCAAGUGCAUUGCAUCCAUUUGGAUCUUGUAUAAAUCGAAGACAUCGGCAACAUGCAACUCCAAUUUCAUCUUCUCUUCUUCAAUUCUUUUAAAUUUUUCUUUUAAAUAAUUGUUUUCUUUUUAAUAAAAUUUGAUAUCUCGACAAGAGGCUCGGUUUAAUUUCCGGUUCACAUACCUCCUACAUAAAAUAUCUAUGUCAAGUUGGUUCGCGUAAAUGUCAUAAACACUAAAUGAAACAAAUAUUUAUAAAAGAUAAUGCACCACAUCUGAAUCAUAGACCGGACGAGAGCCGAUGGGGGCGGAUAUCAAAACCAUGGCACUAUAUAAUAACAAACAAUAGUGUAAGUAAUAAAAUUAUACAAGUAACUAUAUCUAAACCAUACAAGUAAGAUUAUUUAAGAAAAGAUAAGAACAAGAGGCUCACCACGAUGGUGCCAGUGAAAAGAUUGGCGCGGGUGAUCGACGAUGGUGACGACGGGGAUGAGAACUUGGAGCAAGAACAGAGGAGGAGAAAGAGGAGAAAGCUUAAGUGUUGCUUGGACACCUCAUAUCAAUGACAUCAUCCUCUCAGACAUUUCAUCGGAUACCUCUUGUGCAUAGGAAAAGAAAACAAACUAACACACACCUCACACCUUCUCUGAGGGAAAACAGAGUAGAAGGGAGCAAGGACGAGGGGAUAUAUAUAGACAAUUUUUUAGUUUCGGUUGGUGUCCAAAACCGGUACUGAAGACAUGUCUUUAGUCCGAGUUCGAGACCCCUUUAUUUCCGGUUGAUAUCUCAAACAAGUACUAUCCCACAACCUUUAGUCCCGGUUUGUGUCUCCAACCGGGACGAAAUAAUGUCCUAUUCAAACCGGGAUUGAUGCCUUCCGAGCCCCGUCCGGUGUUCUCACCGUUCGAACUAGGACUAAUGCUCUCAUUAGUACCGGUUCGUAACGCGUCCGAAACUAUUGAUCCGAUCCGUCUAGAACUGAAAACCUGUUUUCUAAUAGUGAUCCAGACUCAAACUACUGCAAGUUUAGUUUCAGUUAUUAUAUAAUCAACGUUAACAAGUGUUUCCCGCAAAAAAAAAGUUAACAAUUGUUUACUUAGAAAUAAUCGAAUUUUCUCCUAAUCUUUGAAUUAGAUGGCCGACCCGGCUUUGGCCGUCCAUAAAGUUCGUUCGAGGUCCGUCCGACACGGACCAGAAUUACCAUCUAAACCCAAGACAAACUUCUCGACAAUAAACAGGCCUGGGCGUCGAUGAAGAGCAAAUCCUGCGUUGCCUAACUCACAGUCGCGUCAACCUGAGCCGCCUUCUUCCCUGACGCAGGUGACAACCAACUUCGCUGCCCAAAGUGGUCGCGUUCUCCAUCACUCUCUUCUUUUCGUUCGCUGCGUUCACUAAAUGUUUUCCUUAACUGAAGCAGCUGGUCGCCGAAGCAAGCGUAAGUGCGCAUUCUUUUUAGUUGAUCACCAGACUCCACCAAGAAACAUGUCGGGCAAGAGAGGCGCCACGACCUCGCUCAAUCACCUUCCAAAGGACAUCAUCGACGGGAUACUCAUCCGGUUGCCGCCCAAGGAUAUUGGCCACUGCCGUGCUGUCUGCACAUCGUGGCGCAGCGUCACCUCCAUGCCUGAAUUCAUGUCCGAACACCAUCGCAGCCAGCGAUCGCUCCCCAUCGUCGACGGGGACGGGCGGCCAACCAGCAUCAUCGUCGUCCGCGAUGCCGGUGCGAGAACCACCAAUCAACAACUCUGGCCUUUCGUUCCGGGUUUCCAACACCGUGAUAAGAUUUGCCUUCAAGCCACCUGUGAUGGUUUCGUCAUCGUCUACAGGAGAUUGGUACAUAAAUUCUACAUCUGCAACCCAGUUAUUCGCCAUCAUGCUCUCCUAUCGCAGCCCCCAGGCGGGGCACUCAUCCACAACUAUGUAGUUGGUUUCUACACGCACUAUCCAACGAAAGAAUACAAGGUGCUUGAUACGUCUCCAACGUAUCUAUAAUUUUUGAUGGUUUCAUGCUAUUAUCUUGUUAAACUUUGGAUGUUUUGCAUGCCUUUUAUAUAAUUUUUUGGGACUAACUUAUUAACUCAGUGCCAAGUGCCAGUUCCUGUUUUUUCCAUGUUUUUGACCCCUUUUAGAGGAGAUUUUGAAACGGAUUCCAAACAGAAGAAAAUCCCCGAAAAGAUUUUUUUGGAACGGAAGAAGAUCGGGGAGCUUGGGAGCCAAGGCAGGGGAGCCCCAGGGGCCCCACAUGCCUCCACCUCGCGGCCAGGGGGGCCGCGCCAUCCAGGCUUGUGGGCCCCCUCGACUCCCUUUGCCCUAGGUCUUUCGCCUAUAUAUUCCCAUAAAUUCCAUAAAAAAUCAGGAGAUCAUCGCAAUCUCUUUUCCACCGCCGCAAGCUUCUGUCUCCGCAAGAUCCCAUCUGGGGCACGUCCUGGUGCCCUGCCGGAGGGGGAUUCAGACACGGAGGGCUUAUUCAUCAACACCAUGACCUCUCCGAUGAUGCAUGAGUAGUUCACCAUAGACCUACGGGUCCAUAGCUAGUAGCUAGAUGGCUUCUUCUCUCUCUUGGAUCUUNNNNNNNNNNNNNNNNNNNNNNNNNNNNNNNNNNNNNNNNNNNNNNNNNNNNNNNNNNNNNNNNNNNNNNNNNNNNNNNNNNNNNNNNNNNNNNNNNNNNGAUUCGGACACGGAAGGCUUCUCCAUCAACACCAUUGUGACAGCCCGAGACCGACGUUCCAGAAGAUUCCCCCUUUAUUUCCGUUUCCGUCGUGUGGUUAUUUUAUUUCGUGGCCUCAUCAUUUAGUUUGCAUCGUCGCAUCAUGCAUGGCAUCUUGCAUCGUCUGUCGCGUGUGGUGUUUUGGGUGUAUGUGCUUCGAGUGCUCACCGAAUCUUAGUGCGAUAGUAACUCCCCUCCUCUCUUCUCUUUUAUUUGUUUUGGGGUUGCGGAAAAGUUUCCAUUUUACACCUUUUAAAAAUCGUCUUCUUUUAAAACUCCUUUUGUUAAAAGGUGGGGGCAACCCCUUGAGUUUUUCUUUUAUUUCUCCUCUUGUGUUAUUUUAAAACAGUCUCAUUUUCUUUUCUUCUUUAAAGAGCUUUUAUUUUGUUCUUUAAAUAAAAGAGGUUUUAUUUUAUUCUUCAAAAGGGUUUUAUUUUUAUUUGUUUAAAAAUUCCCAAGCUAUUUUUUAGUUAGGGUAUAAUUUUCAAAGGAGCAAACGCAUUUAUUUUAUUUUAUUUUUGUUAAAAAAAAUUCUUUGUUUAAGAUUUUUUUCUGUUUUAAAAGUAAAAAAACAAAUAGAGGGAGAGGAGCCUGCCAGGCCCAAGGCCACCCCGGGCCUCCAACCCUAGCGCCUUUGUCCUGAUCCCCUUCUCUCCCUCUCGUCUCCUUCCUCCCCCGAUCCCCUCUCCCUCGUCCCUCUCCUCUCCUCUGCCUCGAUCCCCUCCAGGGCUCCGAUUCCCUCGCCCUAGGCCGCCGUGCUCGACAGCCCCCGCCGGUCGCCUCCCCGCCGCCAGCAGCUCUCCCGCGCCGCCUCUUCCUUCCCCCGAGCUCCUCCCAUGUCUGUGUCCAUGGCAGCCAGCCGCCGAGCCCAUUGCGCCACCCCUGUGCCUGAGCCCCCCCACCCCCGUAGCUCCUCUACGAGCCAUCGCCCCGCCGGCGUCCAGGUCCCCCUCGCCUCGCGCCUCCCUCUCCUCCUCCCCUGCCCUCGAUUUCUUCCUCUCAUCUCCCUGUGUUCUUCUCUGUGUGCAGGAGCCGCCGACUCGAUCUCCUCGGCCACGGUGCCGACGAGCAGCCCGUCGGUAGGAAUGGAGAGCUCCUUUCCCGAUCUCCUCCUUCUGCCUGCUGCCGUGUAGUUGUUGUGUGCCUGCCGCGGGUUGUUGCUCGUGCUGUUACUGUAGGUGCCGUCGGCUGUGCGGGUUGGUAGCCGUUGUCUGUGCCUUGCUGUUGCCAAGCUGCCUUGCUGCUGCCGAGUCGCUGCUGUUGCCUGUUGCUGCCUGCCGCCGGGUGUCGCCGAUGCUGCGCUGUUGCCGCUGCCUGUAGCUGCUGCUGCUGCUGUAGCGUAGAUGCUCUUGCCUGCUGUCGAGUUAGAUGCUUCUGCUUGCCAUUUUGUUGCCUGGCUGAUGCUAGCUGCCGCUGCUUAUCCCUGUUGUUGCUUGUUCCUGUUGCUGCUUGCUGCUAGGUUGCAUAGUGUUGUUGCCGAUUGCUUGCUGCUAGCUGUAGUUGAUUAGGCUAAGUUGUUAGCUGCUGUUAGUAGCUGCCGUAGUUGCUUAUUGCUAGCUAGUUAGUAGCCGCUGUUGUAGGUUGCUGUUGCUAGGUAGAUUUUGCUGCUGCUUGUUAGCUGUAGCUGCUAGAUAGAUUUAGUUGCUUGCUUGCCCUGCUUGCCGUGUUGCUAGCUUGUGCUGCCGCUUGCCGUCGCCUCGUGCACCAUCCCCGCCUGUCGUGGGUCGACGACGAGCUCGCCGAGCACCACGUCGUCCUCGAUGACCCCCGGAACAUGUUCGACUACCGACGCCGAGCGAACGACUACCGUCGAUGAGACCGUGUACAACUACUUCCACGACGACCACGACUUCCACGACGUCCGCUACGAACCGAACCCCUCCGAUUCGCACGCUUCGAAGGUAUACCGAUGAGACGUGUCGUGACGAAUGCAUGUGAUGUAUGAGAUGUAUCGUUUGUUUGCACCUUAUGUUUGCCCGUUGCACGUUGUACCUCUUUCGUUGAGCCUCGACACAUGGGAACCCGGUAACCAGGAUCACCCCAUCUUUAUUUAGCGUUCCCGCACACACUUCCUAUACGUUGGCACGUUAUCUCGAUGAGCUAUCGGGAUAGGAACGUUGCCGUGGCAUCGUUUCCGUUUUGCCGCCAUGGUUCCCUUUCGCUCACCGUGGUGACACUUGUUUCUUUCUCUCCUUGCCCGUGUUGUUGUGACUCGCAUGCAUGACGCAUUCAUGGCAUAUAUCUUUGGUUGCAUGUCUCUUGUACGUAGCUCCGCUCUAUGUUCCGCGUGUUAACCGUCUAGGAUGACAUGUAGGAUCACUGCUUCACCCCUUGCCAUGUUAACAACAAUUUAAUAUUGUCGUGUAAAUAACCGAGAGUGAAUUAAAUAAUUAAGCGUGGAGUUUCAUCGAUAUGCAACUCGUUGCAUAUCGAGCUUCACUUAAUGUGUAGUGUUUGCGUGAGGUGAAUUGCCAUGCCAUCCCCUGCAUUUUGUUCUGAUCAUGCAUCAUAGUAGGUUGUGCUUCGUGUGGUGAAUAUCUGUGUUGAUGUUUGUUUCCGGUUUUCUCCGUCUCGAUAGAGUUCCGCAAGCGUGUCGGAAUGUGAGGACCCGUUCGUCUACGUGGGUUCACCGACUUCUCGGAGUUGUUCUUCUUCCAAGCGGGAUCUCAGGCAAGAUGACCAUUUCCCCAGAUACCAUUACUAUCAUUGCCAUGCUAGUUUAUCACUUCUAUCGAUUAUGUCUCGUUGCCUACCACAUGUUAAAUUCAGCCUCUCAACAAUGCCAUGAUAACCUUCAACCUGUUCGACCUAGCAAACNNNNNNNNNNCGCUUGCUUAUCCAUGUUGUUAGCGUUGCUAGUUGCAGGUGCAGUUGCUUCCAUGUGAAAACAUGGGUUCCUUGUUAUAUCACCAUAUUAGAUGCUAAUUAAUUUAAUGCACCUAUAUACUUGGUAAAAGGUGGAAGGCUUGGCCUUUCUAGCCUGGUAUUUUGUUCCACCUUUGCCCCCUUAGUUUUCAGCUACCGGUGUUAUGUUCCAUAAAUGAGCGCUCCUAACACGAUCGGGGUUGUUAUGGGGACCCCCUUGAUAAUUCGUUUUAGAUUAAAGCUGGUCUCCCAAGGCCCAACUUUGGUACUACAUUUGCCUAAUAACUAAUGAACUGCAUAGGGAGUAAUUUACCCGAGGAAAUUUAAUCAACCCCCGGGCCAGUGCUCCUCAUGAGUGUUGAUCCAAAAUGGACAGACUGCGGGGCCACCACGGGGCAACUCGAGGAUUGGUUUCUCCUAGUGUGACCCAUCCGUCAUGUCCUGAGAACGAGAUACGCGGCUCCUAUCGGGAUCGUCGACACGUCGAGCGGCCUUGCUGGAUUAGUUUUACCUUUGACGAAAUAUCUUGUGCAUCGGGAUUCCUGUGAUGCUUUGGGUAAUCUCAGAGUUGAGGUUUUCCACUAGGGAAUCCGACAAGAUCGCGAGCUUCGUGAUUGAGGAUUUCUAUGCGGCUUGUGGUAAUUUGUGAUGGACUAGUUGGAGCACCCCUGCAGGGCUAAAUCUUUUCAGAAAGCUGUGCCCGCGGUUAUGUGGCAACGUGGAAACUUUGUUUAACACUGGUUCUAGAUAACUUGAAGUUAACUUAAUUAAAAUAUGCCAACUGUGUGCAUAACCGUGACUGUAUCUUUUGUGAGUUCCUUCUCCGAUCGAGGACACGGUGGGGUUAUGUCUGACGUAGGUAGGUGUUCACGAUCAUUCAUUUGAUCAUCAGUAGUUCACGUCCGAUAUGCGUAGAUCUUCCCUCUCUUAUUUUCUUGUACUCGUAAGUUAUCCACCAUAAAUAUAUGCUUAGCCGCUGCUGCAACCUCACCACUUAACCAUGCCUCACCUAAUAAGCUUUGCUAGUCUUGAUACCUUUGGAAAUGAGAUUGUUGAGUCCCCUGUGGCUCACAGAUUACUACAGCACCAGUUGCAGGUACAGGUAAAGGUUACUCGACGCGAGCGCGUUGAUUGUACAUUUGGAGUUGCUUCUUCUUCUUCUUCAUCGAUCUAGGAUGGGUUCCAGGCCGGCAGCCUGGGAUAGCAAGGAUGGACGUCGUUCUUCUUUUCUCGUUUGUUUUCAUUCGUAGUCGGAUCUUGCUCUUACUCUGGAUGAUUAUGUAAUGUACUGAUGUGACUCUCAUGUAGCUUGUGGUGAGUGUAAGCCAAUUCUGUUAUAUAUCUCUUCUUUUCAGUACAUGUACUUGUAACGAUAUCCAUUCUUGCGACCCGAUGAGAUGCGCUUCUAUCCCUAACGAGGCCCUCGUGCCAAAUUGAGGAUAGGGUCGCAUCUUGGGCGUGACAACCAUGACCUCUCUGAUGAUGCAUGAGUAGUUCACCAUAGACCUAUGGGUCCAUAGCUAGUAACUAGAUGGCUUCUUCUCUCUCUUGGAUCUUCAAUACAAAGUUCUCCAUGAUCUUCAUAGAGAUCUAUUUGAUGUAAUCUUCUUUUGCGGUGUGUUUCUCGAGAUCCGAUGAAUUGUGGAUUUAUGAUCAGAUUAUCUAUGAAUCUUAUUUGAGUUUCUUCUGAUCUCUCUUAUGCAUGAUUUCAUAUCCUUGUAAUUCUCUUCGAGUUGUGGGUUUUGUUUGGUUGACUAGAUCUAUGAUUCUUGCAAUGGGAGAAGUGCUUGGUUUUGGGUUCAUACCAUGCGGUGACCUCACCCAGUGAUAGAAGGGGUAGCGAGGCACGCAUCGUGUUGUUGCCAUCAAGGGUAAAAAGAUGGGGUUUUCAUCAUUGGUUUGAGAUCAUCCCUCUACAUCAUGUCAUCUUGCUUAAAGCGUUACUCUGUUUGUCAUGAACUCAAUACACUAGAUACAUGCUGGAUAUCGGUCGAUGUGUGGAGUAAUAGUAGUAGAUGCAGAAAGUAUCGGUCUACUUNNNNNNNNNNNNNNNNNNNNNNNNNNNNNNNNNNNNNNNNNNNNNNNNNNNNNNNNNNNNNNNNNNNNNNNNNNNNNNNNNNNNNNNNNNNNNNNNNNNNCCAUGCUAUUAUCUUGUCAACUUUGGAUGUUUUGUAUGCGUGAAUAUGCUAUUUUAUAUCUUUUUGGGACUAACCUAUUAACUCAGUGCCAAGUGCCAGUUCCUGUUUUUUCCGUGUUUUUGACCCUUUUCAGAGGAGAAUAUUAAAUGGAGUCCAAACGGAAUAAAACCUCCAAAAAGAUUUUUUUCGGAACAGAAGAUACGCAGGGAGCAUGAGAACCAAGGCACAGGCCACCAGGGGAGGCCACAAGCCCCCUAGGCGCGGCCAGGGGGCCCACGCCUACCAGGCUUGUGGGCCCCCUAUGGCUCGUCUGCCCUACCUCUUCCGCCUAUAAAUCCCCAAAAAAUCCAAAACCACGGGAGAGAUCCACGGAAAUACUUUUCCGACGCCGCAAGCUUCUGUCUCCGCAAGAUCCCAUCUGGGGCACGUUUUGGUGCCCUGCCGGAUGGGGGAUUUGGAUACGGAGGGCUUCUUCAUCAACACCAUUGCCUCUCCGAUGAUGCGUGAGUAGUUCACCAUAGACCUUCGGGUCCAUAGCUAGUAGCUAGAUGGNNNNNNNNNNNNNNNNNNNNNNNNNNNNNNNNNNNNNNNNNNNNNNNNNNNNNNNNNNNNNNNNNNNNNNNNNNNNNNNNNNNNNNNNNNNNNNNNNNNNCUGGUUCGAUAAACCUUACAGUCUCCGUGUAAGGGAAACUUGCUGCUGACUACAUCUCCACCUUCCACAUGGGGUAACCAACGAGGGGCGAAAAGUAUAUCCAUCAACUCGUCAUCAAGCAAGUUUCGGGCGCCGUUGCCGGGGACUCCAGCCUUCAAGAUAGGGAAGUUGCACACCAUCUUUUACCUUUGCUUUUUAUUCUUGUUAGUUUGCUUUUUAGUUUUUGCUUUAGAGUCUUAUACCAAAAACCACAAAAAAUUAGUUACUUUGCUUAAUUUGGUCAGUAUGCCCAAGACUUUGGCCUUUGGUGUUGCACCCGAAGGAGAGAUUCUCACCUUCAAACAAAGGGUUGGAGAAAGUUUGAAAGAUGCUUGAUAUAGAAUUAAAAAUUCUCAAGAUAGAGCCACCAAGAAGCAAUCCACCACUAUUUUGCUUAGAAAUUUUUAUGUUGGUAUUACUUCUUGGCAUAGGUUUGUUCUAGACACAACAACAUGAGGGAAUUUCUUGGAAGCUCCCGUUGGGGAAGCUCUUAACGUUAUGGAAAAUCUUGUCGGAAUCCCAACUAUUGUUGACAUAAAGGAUGAUAUCACUUUAGCUCACAUUAUGAGUAAACUUGAGAAGAUAGAGCUAGAGAUGCCAAGCAUGAGUAAAAUAAAUGAAGUAGAUUGUAGGAUUCAAGUGAACUUAAAUAGACUUGAUAGCUCCAUGCACAAAAAUUACAAAAUUUUGGAGACCCUUAAAUCCCAUGAUAUGGAUCCUUCUAGGAUUGAUAAGAUCCAGGAUAUUAUUGAAACUUUAGGAACUACUCUAUCCUGCAUCAAGACUAAAAAGGUAGAAACCUUCGCAAGGAAGUGACCUAGGUUCGUUAAUGUACCCAAGGUUCCUCAACCCAAAACGAGUAUACCUAUUGCUAGGGUUGUUGAAACUGUGAAGACCUUGGAAGAGAUACCUCUUUUAAAUAGAAUUAGAAAUGAAAUUCCAAUUGGUCUUACUACCUUUGCUUUUGUUCCUAGAAGUGUUUCCACUCCUCUUAAGUUUAGUUGUACUAUUGAAGAGCUUUUUGAUGAUCUUUGUGAUGGCUCAAUUAAUACAACUUGAUCUUUUUUGCAUCAUGUCUAGUUCAAAGGCAUAAAAGAAAGCGCUUGUUGGGAGGCAACCCGAUUCAUUUUUACUUUCAUUUUUAGUGGUCUUGAUGCUUGUUACUACUGUAGCAACAUCAUUGUAUCUUUAUUUUCAAGUUUUGUGCCAAGUUUUAGCCUCCAAUUGCAAGAAAGUUCAAAAGUUGUGACAUGCUGUCCAGAAACAAAUUCUGUCUGCUUGACGAAAAAAUUAUCCAAAAUUCACCUGAUUAUCUUUUUGAUAUGAAUUGUUUUGACAGCAUUCUCUAUAUAAUUUCCUUUCCGGCAUCUAUUCUGAGUUUUUUUAUUUAAGUUGCAGAAGUGCCCCGAAAAAAUUAUUUACUACGUGUUGUUCUGUUUUUCACAGAUUGUGCCACGUUUUGCAUUUUCAUCAUUUUGCAAAUCUUAAGCUAGCUUUUUUCCUUUGCAUAAACCUUUUGGAAAUCAUGAGAAACAGUAGUUGUUCAUGAAAAUCUUUAUUUACAGUAGGGAAUGAAUUAUUUUAUCAUGGGUACUAACCACUCUAAUCAGCUUAUGAUGAGUUUCGUAUGAAGGGAGUUUUCAAGUAUGCGAUGGAAGAUGAUGAAAGAAGAUACAUGAGUGUCAAGCGCUCAAUCUUGGGGAUGCCCCCAUGAACCCCAAGCAAUAUUGAAGGAUACUCAAGCAUCUAAGCUUGGGGAUGCCCCCGUGCAUCCCCUUCUCUAUGAACAAUCAUCAGUCCGUCCAUCUCCAUGCUAUAUUUUUAUCACUUCAUAUGUUAUGUCUAUACUUGGAGCAUCCCGCUCUUUACUUUUUAGUUUGUUUUAGUUUUGCUUGCUGUUCAUAGCAAUUCGGAACCUAGCCUUCUUUGCUUGGUAGAUAAACACGCUCCAUUCCACUCUAUAACACAACAUAGGUUUUCAUGCUUAUCUUUUUGUGUGUUCUUUAUCUUUUCAUAGCUGCUGAUAUGCUUAGCUCUCAGUUUUCAUGCUAUAUCUUUGUAAGAGCUUUUAUUUAGCUUUCUUUUGGAACUCUCUUGAGUUAUCAUGCUUAUCUUGUUUAGAGAGUUGGCUUGUUGCACUGAGUUGUGUGUCUUGCAUGAGUAGGUAAUUGAGGUUGCUAUUUAAGUAUAGUAGUAACUUGCAAUAGUUUUGAGGUAUUGAUUUGAGUAAUUUUUGGACUAUUGGUGCCAAGAGCUUGAGCCUAUUAGUGAUAGGUGUUGUAUUUUGGGAAAACCGUGUGUUUUUCAAAAACUAAAAAAUUAGUUGAUAACUCUAGCUACCAGAUUGAUCGCUAACCUCUAGAGGGGUUGGAAUAUAUAGAGUACGCUCACGUUACCAUGGGUCGAGGAUGCGCAAGGAUAACCAAACCCCCAAACACUCCUCCUCGGGGUACUUGUCUCUUUGCGAAUUUCCUAACUAGAUAGAGAGUUACCGAUAAUAAGUGUAUGAGUUCUUCAGACUAAUGCGAGUAUUCGAUUGUUGGUACUUCCACCAUCCAUAUUUUGCUAGCCUCUUCGGUACCGUGCAUUGCCCUUUCUCAUCUUGAGAGGUUGUACAAACUUCGCCGGUGCAUUCAAACCCUUGGCAUGAUACGCUCUGUCAUCAUAAGCCUCAUUAUAUCUUUCCUCAAAACAGCCACCAUACCUACCUAUUAAGGCAUUUCCAUAUCCUUUCCGAGAUACAUUGACAUGCAACAUCCACCAUCUCAUGACUUGAUCUUCAUGUCAUACAUGCUUUUUCUUGAUCGAGGAGCCGCAUGAUAGUUGGGCCUUGCCCUUAUUAUUGCUACAUGACGCGCUAGUUUCAUCGCAUAUCCUACUACACUGGCAGAGGCAUACAUUUUCAUACAUCAUGAUAGUUUUCAUUUGUCUUUAUGUGAGUACUUCUUAUAAAGUUUGAAGAUCUUCUUUUUAUUCUUGUAAAACAUAGAGUGUUGCCCUUAAGUGAGGAAAAUAUCCCAAAGAGGACAAAUUAAAAGAUCCCAAAGAGGACAAAUGAAAAGAUCCCAAAGAGGACAAAUGAGAGAUAAAUAGAAAGAGCCAAAGAGGCCACAAAAAAAUAAAAAAGAAAGAUAAAAAAGAAAGAAAUAAAAAGAGAGAAUGUGGCAACACUACUAUUCCUUUUGGAAGAUCCACACUCGUACUCCAUUGUUAUAUUUGUACUCCAUAGAUAUUAUCAUUCAUGCAUAACUAUGUGGGAACCCUUACACUAUAGAACUUGGCUUGUAUAUUCCAAUGAUGAGCCUCCUCAAAUGAGCUCUAGGUCUUCAUGAGCAAGCAAGUUGGAUGCACCCCCACUAGUUCCAUUGGAGAGCUUACCUUAGCUCAUAUGUGCAUCCGUUGCAUGGCAAUCCCUACUCCUCACAUCAUAUCUAUCAUUUGGCUUUCUCUCGCCUAUGGUUGUCCUCAUUGAUGUGAGCCUUUCACACCCUUUAUGUCUUCCUUCCCCAUCAUUAUUCUCUUUGCCAUCCUAAGUGUCAACAUAUCUUGCUUGCGCUCAUCCAUUGCAUGAGUGCUGAAAGUCGAAAGGGAGAGGCUCAUUUUGACUUGUGCCUGACUAGUGGUCUGGGGAUGGGUCAAAAUAAGAUUCCGAAAUAGACCAAGUGUGAAGUUUAGUAGAUUGAGUUCUCAAUUAAAAAAAUAUUUUUACUCUCGACCCAUCUCCCAUUUCUUGCACGCAAACACCAUUUCGAGACAUUCGAGCCACGGACAGCGAGAGCUCUUGCACCUUUAUGUUCUUAUUUUCCUAAUUUUAAUAGUAGAUAUAGACUCUUGCUUGUUAUUGUCUUGACUUGAAUUGCAUAUCUUACUUGCUUUAGUUUGAAGUUCUUAUAUGUGUGUUAGCAUGCCAGCACAGAAAUUAUUGUGUUAUCAUUUACCUACUCGAGGAGGAGCACGAAUUAAGCUUGGCGAUGUUGAUACGUCCCAAACAUAUCUAUAAUUUCUACUUGUUUCAUGAUCUUUUGGGUGACAUUGUUAUAUGUUUUGCUACACUUUUAUAUCUUUUUACACAUAUUUGGACUAACCUACUAACUCAGUGCACCCAGUGCCAGUUUCUGUGUGCUGAUGUCUUUUUUGCAGGGGCUUCUACCCAAAUUUCGAGAGCCCCAAAAAUCCCGAGAAAAAUAUAUAAAAAUCAGUGUGACGGAAGCUUCCAGAUCACCGAAGAUGGGCCAGAGGGGAGCCAGGGUCUGCCUAGACAACCUCCUGGCGCGGCCUGGCCCCUGGCCGCGCCCACAGGCCGCCUGAGUGGGCCCCACCUAUUAUGACGCCCNNNNNNNNNNNNNNNNNNNNNNNNNNNNNNNNNNNNNNNNNNNNNNNNNNNNNNNNNNNNNNNNNNNNNNNNNNNNNNNNNNNNNNNNNNNNNNNNNNNNUUUGCGCGGUUCUAUAAAUUGCUCGACAGUAAUUCGUUCACCCACCGUAAUACUUGCUAUCAUGAGAGAAGCCUCUAUUGAACACUAUGGCCCUCGGGUCUACUUCACAUCAUAUUUUCAGCUCUACACUUUUACUUUGUUCCACUUUCCACCUUCAGAUCUCACCUUGCAAUUAAAUCGUGAAGGGAUUGGCAAUCCCUUUAGCGUUCGGUGCAAGUUUGUUUGUUUUUGCGCAGGUACUUUGGUGACUUGUGUUGAUACUCCUACUGGAUUGAUACCUUGGUUCUCAAACUGAGGGAAAUACUUACUGCUACUGUGCUGCAUCACCCUUUCCUCUUCAAGGGAAAAACCAACGCAAGCUCAAGAGGUAGCAACUAUCAAUUACAUCAUUCACAUUAACUCUAUAUCUAGAGUUAGUUCUGUUAGUGAGCCUUCCUAUAAAUUCUAUGCUUACUAACAAAUUUGUUCUUUAAAAUCUUCAUAGCCCUUAGUUUGGAAACCAAAACUCAUUUUUCAAUAAAUUCUUUUACAGGCAUCAUUAGGUCUAGAGCUAUAUAGGUUAUUAGUCUAUUUUCAUUCAUGUCCCCUUCUAAAAAUCCUAAUGCUGCUUUAUCUAGUGAUUCCCAUCUUCGGUCUAAUAGAGUUAUGAGCACCUUUGCUCCUAAUUUCUUUCUUGUCAUCCCUUUAACUCUUAUGAUAUACAUACCUUGAUGAAUAUAUUUGUAACCACAGUAUCUUAGUUCAUUUUCAAUAUUUUUGCUUACUAUUCUUAAAUCAACUCGGUGUGUUAACACACUUAUUUCUACUUCUCUCGAUAUUCAGUACAACCCGCUCUUACUCUCCAACAUACCCCUGUGAUAUACUUGUUGCAGUUUUAUUUUUCUUAGGGUAUCCUUUUGAUAUCUUUCGACGUCUCUUUGAAUAUCUAUAACUUCGUCAAUACUAUCAAUAUCAUCGGCUUUACAUGAUAAUCUAUGCUUCAUUGCAAGUGGUCUUGAGUCUUGCCUUACUAACUGGAGGGUUUUAUCUCUUCUAAGAAAGCCUUUAGAUAUGUCCAUUUUUCUGAAUUAAUAUUUCUUGAUGAUGUUAUGAGUCCAGAUGACGAUAGCAUAAUUUCUUUGUUGUUUUGAACACUUUUUAGCUUGUCUAGAACUUGGAUUAAUAGCUGCAGAAUUGUAUUAUUUUGUCUUAUUAUAAUUUUAGAGUCUUCUUUUGGUGAAUCGUGAUCAGAAAAUCUAAUAAGAGGUGACAAGUAUUUGGUUACUUCGUUUAAUGCUUGGCUAUAUUCAUUCAUAUAAUUAUGAGACAAUCAAAGUUUUAACUUCUUGCAACAACUUCUUUAUUUGAAGUAUAUCUUGUCUUGCUUCUAUGCGAGGCAGUGAGUCUUUGCCUUUACUUAGGUAAUGGCCAAUUGACAAUACUUCUUCUUUAAUAUAAUCGUUAUUCUUGCAAAGUACGUUCUAUCUGGCCUUUGCUUCUUCUAGCUUAUGUAAGGCCAGAUCAAUUUUAUUAUUUAGACCAAAAUAUUUAUCCGCAAGCUUUUGAUAUUCUUUGAAUAAACUCUCAAAUUUUUGGUCUAAAUUAUCUUGUCUUUUCCCCCAAGAUAGUGAAAUUUAUAUAUCAAAUCGACGACUGUAUUUAGCUGGCUAUGAGUUGUAUGCCACGUAUGUUCUUCAGACGGAUUUAUUCUGCACCUUAUAUUAAUAUUUUCUUUAGUAUUUAUUACUUUACUAGCGCUAACUUCUAAGUUUAAGUACUUUAACCUUUCAAUGUUUAAAAAGCUCGACAUGAUACCAAAUAUACAGGAUUAUUUAAAUUAUUUAUAAUUAAUGUAAACUAUAUUAGGUUAUAAAUUCAGAUUUUGAUCUUAAUAUAUGUGAUUACGCAUACGAGUUAUUAAAAUAAAUAUGAUUUUGUUUAUUUUAUUUUUAUAUUAUUUUUAGUAAGAAGUGUUUUAUAUUAUUUUGCUUAUUUUGCACGAUCUUUGAGGGGCUCUCGAGGCCAACAAGACGACUGGGGUGUACGCAGUGGUGUAAUAUCCUACUCAGUACUCACCAUAUUUAUUAUUAUGUUGUUUUAGAUGUAGCUAAGUUCGUUCACUUGAUGUUUUUAGUUGCAAAUUUAUGGAGUAAAUUCCUAUCGUCUUCCCAGGCAGUUCCACCCGAAGGAAACACUUCUGUACGGCCAUAAGGUUCUCUUUCAAAUGCCAUAAUAGGCUACACAGAGAACUACCGGUAGAGUUUUUUCCUAUAGGAUCCCUAGCAUAAGAACUCGUUCCAUAAAUCCAUAAAGAAAAAUACCAAGUGAAAACACGAAACUACAUCAUUUCCACAACAUAAUUUACAUAUGGUAUUCCCAUUCGGGAACCCCGAAAGGUUUACACAAGGGUAAAAUAAAUUACCUUCUAACUACCUUCGCGAGAUCACAAAUGCUCUCAAUAUUGUAGCUCUUAUUACACGAUGAAGAAGUACUACUACUACAUCGGGACCACGAUCCUAAGCCAUAGGAAUCCAGCCUGUAACACAUCGCAUCUCUUUGCGGUCUCACACACGGUUAUCCCCACGGCUGCAGCCUUACCUUAGCCGGGACCGUUUGCGCCUUUUGACUCAUGUAUGCAAUUGUGUCGCUAGCAAUCCAAUGUCAAAGAACCCGGAUCGACAUCUCUAGUCAUAAGCUAAAGCGGCAGUUCCGUACAGGGACAGGCAUACAAGACCCAGCAAAGCAGGUGUCGGUCAUCAACGAAUGUAGACGAGUCGUAGCAAGCUACAAGGACUCUAUUACAUACGCGUGACAUUUCCCAAAGGGACAUACACAACAGCUAAGAAGGACGCAUGCCGGUCAACCAAUGUGUCCGGAGCAGUAGCGAACUACCAUGGCUCGAUGGAAUCACAAAGGGGCAUUUCCCCGUAAGGAGUGCUACUAAGGCAUACGACUAGGCAUUCGAACCCCAUACAUAUCAAGUACAACACAUGGUGGGGUUAUAGUCCCAGGGUAGGGUCAUACGUCUUCCCUAUAGGUCCUACCCAAGGACUACCCUUCACAGAGGACAAGGGCCUUAGACAGUUCCGACUGAACUAAGGACUCCCCCAUCAUCCAGUCGGGACGAGCACUCGGAGCAUAUUUAACGCACCGAAUGGAAUCCACUCUGUACAUCGUAACCUCCCAGGAGGGCAACGGUCAUACGUUUACAUACACCAUUAUUAACAUUUAAGGCUUACGUUACCUGUAACGUAGGCAUUUACUCACCACUAUUCCACCCCUGUCCAUUGGUGCACUCUAUAUAAGCCGCCCUUCCCCACUCGUGCAGGGGUUGGCAUUUACUAUAAUCCCAUAAUCCACUCGACACUAAGCUCCCAAGAGCACUGAGACGUAGGGCUUUUACCUCCACCGUAGAUGGGCCUGAACUCAUACAUCCUCGCCGUAGCUAAGACUNNNNNNNNNNNNNNNNNNNNNNNNNNNNNNNNNNNNNNNNNNNNNNNNNNNNNNNNNNNNNNNNNNNNNNNNNNNNNNNNNNNNNNNNNNNNNNNNNNNNGCAAUAAGGAAGCUUGAGAAGAAGUUUGAAGGUCUAGAACUUCAUCAUGUUCCGAGACUGAAGAACUAAGCAGCUGAUGAGUUGGCAAAACUCGGAUCCACUCGGAGACCAGUCCCGAGUGACGUCUGCCUCGAGCACCUUCACCUUCCCUCAGUCAAAGAAGAUCCUUUCACGGAGGAACCAGUACAACCAAAGAGUUCCACAGAUCCGACUGAAGUCGAUGUACCUACUGUGGUUGAUCUGGUCAUGGAGAUUCUUGCUGUCAUCCCCGAUUGGACUGUGUCGAUCAUUGCAUAUAUCCUGAGGCAGGAACUACCAGAAGACGAAGUCCAGGCCAGGCAGAUAGUUCGCAGGUCGAAGUCAUUCACUGUCAUUGGCGGCCAAUUGUACAAGGAAAGCGUGUCAGACGUUCUUCAAUGAUGCAUCUCCCCAGAGGAGGGGCAGCUAAUCCUGGAAGAUAUUCACUCGGGGACCUGCGGUCAUCACGCCUCUUCGAGAGCAAUCGUCGCCAAGGCAUUCAGGGCUGGUUUCUUCUGGCUGCAGGCAAACGAGAUGGCUAAAGAUAUGGUCGACCGAUGUGAGGGCUGUCAGUUCUACUCCAACAAGUCCCACAAGCCGACAUAUGCGUUGAAGACAAUCCCUCUUGUGUGGCCGUUCGUGGUAUGGGGAUUAGAUACGGUCGGUCCAUUCAGGACAGGCCAAGGAGGAUACACACAUCUGUUGGUGGCAGUUGACAAGUUCACAAAAUGGAUUGAAGCCAAGCCCAUCAAGAAGCUCGACGCCCUAACAGCCAUCAAGUUUGUGAGGGACAUCAUCUCCAGAAUCGGUGUGCCUCACAGCAUAAUCACGGACAACGGAACAAAUUUCGACUCGGAUAGAUUCAAAGGUUUUUGUGCAAGCCAAGGUAUCCGAGAGGAUUUUGCUUCCGUAGCACAUCCUCAAUCCAAUGGACAACCAGAGCGGGCGAAUGGACUUAUUCUGCAAGGUUUGAAGCCCCGACUCCUGCGAUAGGUGGGUCAUGCCACUAGCGCAUGGGUCACCGAGUUACCUUCAGUGCUUUGGGGUCUCCGCACAACCCCGAACAGAUCUACAGGGCGAUCACCGUUCUUCCUUGUUUAUGGAGCAGAAGCGGUCCUUCCGAGUGACUUGCUUCACAANNNNNNNNNNNNNNNNNNNNNNNNNNNNNNNNNNNNNNNNNNNNNNNNNNNNNNNNNNNNNNNNNNNNNNNNNNNNNNNNNNNNNNNNNNNNNNNNNNNNGGGUUGUCAAUCCCUUCAAGAUUGUUUGCAAAGUGAGAUCUGAAGGCGAAAAGUGCAAUGAAGUAAAAAGUGUAAGGCUGAAAAUAUGGUGUGGAGUAGACCUUGGGGGCCAUAGUGUUCACUCGAGGCUUCUCUCAAAAUAGCAAGAAUCACGGUGGGUGAACAAAUUACUCUCGAGCAAUUGAUAGAACCGCACAAAGUCAUGACGAUAUCUAAGGCAAUGAUCUAGCAUAUAGGCAUCACGUCCGAGACAAGUAGACCGAUACUUUCUGCAUCUACUACUAUUACGCCACACAUCGACCGCUAUCCAGCAUGCGUCUAGUGUAUUGAGUUCAGGACGAACAGAGUAACGCUUUAAGCAAGAUGACAUGAUGUAGAGGGAUGAUCCCAAACCAAUGAUGAAAACCCCAUCUUUUUCCCUUGAUGGCAACAACACGAUGCGUGCCUCGCUACCCCUUCUGUCACUGGGUGAGGUCACUGAUACGUCUCCAUCGUAUCUACUUUUCCAAACUCUUUUGACCUUGUUUUGGACUCUAAUUUGCAUGAUUUGAAUGGAACUAACCUGGACUGACGUUGUUUUUAGCAGAAUUGCCUUGGUGUUGUUUUUGUGCAGAAAUUAAAGUUCUCGGAACGUCCUGAAAAUUUACGGAGAAUAUUUCUGGAAAAUAUGAAAAAUACCUGNNNNNNNNNNNNNNNNNNNNNNNNNNNNNNNNNNNNNNNNNNNNNNNNNNNNNNNNNNNNNNNNNNNNNNNNNNNNNNNNNNNNNNNNNNNNNNNNNNNNUUCUGCUGACAUCCCGCCCAACUUCCGAUUGGCGACGGGAAUCAGCAAGUUUACAGGAGAGUCCAAGCCAGAAACGUGGCUGGAUGACUACCGAGUGGCAGUCCAGAUCGGAGGAGGGGAUGAGCAUGUCGCCAUGAAGCACCUCCCUCUGAUGCUCGACGGCUCGGCUCGAGCGUGGCUGAAUCAGUUGGCCCCCUCAAGCAUCUACAGUUGGGCAGAUCUGGCCCGAGUGUUUAUCAAGACCUUCAAAGGGACGUGCAAGCGCCCUGCGGGCCUCGUGGAGCUCCAGCAUUGCGUCCAGAAGCAGAACGAGCCCCUGCGUGACUUCAUUCAGCGUUGGACAACUCUCUACCACACGGUAGAGAACGUCACCGAGCAUCAAGCAGUCUACGCCUUCAAGGCAGGCGUGCGGUACAGAGAUAUGUACCUAAAGUUCGGCCGAACAGGUGACAUCUCCAUGAGCAAGAUGAUGGAGAUAGCAGCUCGCUAUGCAAAUGGCGAAGAAGAGGACCGCAUCCGAAGCGGAAAACACAAGACAGUCAGUGAUGGAGACGGGAGUAACACUCGGAAGCAGAAGCAGAAAGCUCUGUCCACUCUGCAGGCAGAAGCUGCAGCCGUGACCAAUGCCAAGUUCAAAGGCAAAGGGAAGGCGCAGUUUACCACCAAGAAGAAGCAGUUCAAUAAUCCCAUCCUGGACCAGCCUUGCCCGGUUCAUACGAAGAUGGACGAAGAAGGCAACCCCAUAUAUCCAAAACAUACCACUCGACAGUGUCGCGUCCUGAUCCAGGGGUUCGGCGAAGGGCAACCGAGUGAAAAAGACAACGAACAUGAUGAGGAGGAUAAGGAGGAUUCGUUCCCCCAAAUCCAUGCAACACUCAUGAUUUUUGCUGACGUUGAGAGCAAGAGUCGACUGAAGCUGGUGAACAGGGAGGUGAACAUGGCCACGCCUACCAACCCCAAGUUCCUCAAAUGGUCUCAGAGUGUGAUCACCUUUGACCAGUCGGAUCAUCCAGCACACAUACCCACCUCGGGGAGACAGGCUCUGGUCGUCGACCCGGUGGUGUAAGGAGUCCGACUGCGCAAAGUCCUCAUGGACGGCGGCAGUGGCUUGAACAUCAUGUACACCGACACACUCAAGGGGAUGGGCAUUCCGAUGUCCAAACUCAGCGAGAGCAGCAUGCAGUUCCAUGGAGUCGUCCCUGGACGGAAGGCCAAGUCACUCGGCCAGAUCGCGUUGGACAUCAUUUUCGGCUCCGACAAGAACUUCCGCAAGGAAAAGCUGACGUUCGAAGUGGUGGACUUCCAGAGCGCUUACCACGCAAUUCUGGGCCGCCCAGCGUAUGCCCGUUUCAUGGCCCGUCCAUGUUACGUAUACUUGAAGCUGAAGAUGCUAGGCCCGAAAGGCGUGAUACCAUCACGGGCAAUCGACAACGAGCCGAAGAGUGUCUGCANNNNNNNNNNNNNNNNNNNNNNNNNNNNNNNNNNNNNNNNNNNNNNNNNNNNNNNNNNNNNNNNNNNNNNNNNNNNNNNNNNNNNNNNNNNNNNNNNNNNGCUUGAUAUUGAUUGCAAUCCGACAUGUCCCAUCAUUCUUGGUAGACCUUUCCUUAGGACUAUUGGUGCUAUCAUCGAUAUGAAGGAAGGGAAUAUUAGAUUUCAAUUUCCAUUAAAGAAGGGAAUGGAACACUUUCCUAGAAAGAUAAUAAAAUUGCCUUAUGAAUCCAUGAUGAGGGCUACUUAUGGUUUGAGCACGAAAGAUGAUGAUACUUGAUUCUAUCACCUGGUGCCUAGCUAAGGGCGUUAAACAAUAGCGCUUGUUGGGAGGCAACCCAAUGAAUUUAUCUUUGCUUUUUUGCUUUCUGUUUUGUUGUGUCCACACCAUCAUAAUUCUGUUAUGAUUGUGUUUUUCGUGUUUCUUUUUGUGUUUGAGCCAAGUAAAACCUUUAUGACUAGUUUUGGUGAUGGUUGUUUGAUCGUGCUGAAAAGGACAGAAACAUUGCGCUCACAAAAUUAUUUUUCAUUCCUAUCCAGAAAGAGCUUUUGAGAUUGAUUCUUUUUGCUGCUGGUUGAUAUGCCAAUUUCCCUAAUUGUCGUAAUUUUGCAGAAUUUUUGAGAUACCAGAAGUAUACGAAGUAUACAGAUUGCUACAGAGUGCUCUGUUUUUGACAGAUUCUGUUUUUUUGUGUUGAUUGCUUAUUUUGAUGAAACUAUGGAUAGUAUCGGGGGGUACUAGCUAUGGAAAAGUGAGAACACAGUGAUAUAACACCAAUAUAUAUAGAAAUCAAGUUUUCUACAGUACCUAAAGAGGUGGUGGUUUGUUUUCUUAUGCUAAUGAUAUCACGAGUUUCUGUUUAAGUUUUGUGUUGUGAAGUUUUCAAGUUUUGGGUGAUGUUCUCAUGGACAAUGAGAUAAAAAGUGGAACGAGCUCAAGCUUGGGGAUGCCCAAGGCAUCCCAAGCCAAAUUCAAGGACACCAAAAAGCCUAAGCUUGGGGAUNNNNNNNNNNGUUCUCCUGGACAAAGAGACAAGGAGUGGAAAUAGCUCAAGCUUGGGGAUGCCAACGCAUCCCAAGCCAAAUUCAAGGACACCAAAAAGCCUAAGCUUGGGGAUGCCCCGGGAAGGCAUCCCCUCUUUCAUCUUCAAUCCAUCGGUAACGUUACUUGGAGCUAUAUUUUUAUUCACCACAUGAUAUGUGUUUUGCUUGNNNNNNNNNNNNNNNNNNNNNNNNNNNNNNNNNNNNNNNNNNNNNNNNNNNNNNNNNNNNNNNNAUCACUUGGAGCUAUAUUUUUAUUCACCACACGAUAUGUGUUUUUCUUGGAGCGUCUUGUAUCUUAGGAGUCUUUUCUUUUUGUUGUGUCACAAUCAUCCUUUCUGCACACCUUUUUGAGAGAGGAGACAUGCACUCUUCGUGAUUUUGCUAGAAUGCUCAUAGUGCUUCACUUAUAUCUUUUGAGCUAGAUACUUUUGCUCUUGUGCUUCACUUAUAUCUUUAGAGCACGACAGUGCGUGAUUCGUUAGUUGGCUUAUGCUAUGAAAGUAGUCCCAUGUGCUAGGUACCCAAAGAGGAUGCAAAAACAUCCAUCUUCAUGUGCAUUGAGUAGAAAGAGAAGUUUCGAUUCCUCUCANNNNNNNNNNNNNNNNNNNNNNNNNNNNNNNNNNNNNNNNNNNNNNNNNNNNNNNNNNNNNNNNNNNNNNNNNNNNNNNNNNNNNNNNNNNNNNNNNNNNCCGCCGACGGGGACAAUGUAAAGAACAAGUAUCAUUGAAGUAAUACAAAGCAGAUUGAUUUCUUGCCGAUUCAAAUUUCUUCCGCGUUUGCAGACUCCGGUCUAAAAAACUCGCUCCGAGUGUGCACUGAAAGUCGCACUCGGGGACUUAGCUGCGACCCAGAGUCGCCUAAGUACAAACUCGCUCCGAGUGUGCACUAAAAGCCGCACUCGGAGACUUAGCUGCGAACCAGAGUCUCCUAAGUAAAAAACUCGCUCCAAGUGUGCACUGAAAGUCGCACUCGGGGACUUAACUGCGACCCAGAGUCGCCUAAGUACAUACUCGCUCCGAGUGUGCACUAAAAGCCGCACUCGGAGACUUAGCUGCGAACCAGAGUCGCCUAAGUACAAACUCUCUCUGAGUGUGCACUGAAAGUCGCACUCGGGGACUUAGCUGCGAACCAGAGUCGCCUAAGUACAAACUCUCUCCGAGUGUGCACUCAAACUCGCACUCGGGGACUUAGCUGCAACCCAGAGUCGCCUAAGUAAAAACUCUCUCCGAGUGUGCACUAAAGUCGCACUCGGGGACUUAGCUGCGACCCAGAGUCGCCUAAGUACANNNNNNNNNNNNNNNNNNNNNNNNNNNNNNNNNNNNNNNNNNNNNNNNNNNNNNNNNNNNNNNNNNNNNNNNNNNNNNNNNNNNNNNNNNNNNNNNNNNNCCCGUAUAUAUAGGGGGAAGAGGGGGGAGCCUUGCCUUGGGGUCCAAGGACCCCCAAGGAGUUCGCCGAGCCAAGGGGGGCAACCCUCCCCUUCCAAACCGAGUCCAACUAGGUUUGGAAGGAAGAGUCCUUCCCCCUUUUCCCACCUCCUCUUUUUUUUUCUUUUCUCUUUGAUUUUCUUCCUAUGGCGCAUAGGGCCUUCUUGGGCUGUCCCACAAGCCCACUAAGGGCUGGUGCGCCACCCCCAAGGCCUAUGGGCUUCCCCGGGGUGGGUUGCCCCCCCCGGUGAACACCCAGAACCCAUUCGUCAUUCCCGGUAACUCCGAAAACCUUCCGGUAAUCAAAUGAGGUCAUCCUAUAUAUCAAUNNNNNNNNNNCUUUCUCUUUGAUUUUCUUCCUAUGGCACAUAGGGCCUUCUUGGGCUGUCCCACCAGCCCACUAAGGGCUGGUGCGCCACCCCCAAGGCCUAUGGGCUUCCCCGGGGUGGGUUGCCCCCCUCCCCCCCGGUGAACACCCGGAACCCAUUCGUCAUUCCCGGUACAUUCCCGGUUACUCCGAAAACCUUCCGGUAAUCAAAUGAGGUCAUCCUAUAUAUCAAUNNNNNNNNNNCGUUUCCGGACCAUUCCGGAAACCCUCGUAACGUCCGUGAUCUCAUCCGGGACUCUGAACAACAUUCGUUAACCAACCAUAUAACUCAAAUACGCAUAAAACAACGUCGAACCUUAAGUGUGCAGACCCUGCGGGUUCGAGAACUAUGUAGACAUGACCUGAGAGACUCCUCGGUCAAUAUCCAAUAGCGGGACCUGGAUGCCCAUAUUGGAUCCUACAUAUUCUACGAAGAUCUUAUCGUUUGAACCUCAGUGCCAAGGAUUCAUAUAAUCCUAUAUGUCAUUCCCUUUGUCCUUCGGUAUGUUACUUGACCGAGUUUCGAUCGUCAGUAUCCGCAUACCUAUUUCAAUCUCGUUUACCGGCAAGUCUCUUUACUCGUUCCGUAAUACAAGAUCCCAUAACUUACACAAAUCACAUUGCUUGCAAGGCUUGUGUGUGAUGUUGUAUUACCGAGUGGGCCCCGAGAUACCUCUCCGUCACACGGAGUGACAAAUCCCAGUCUAGAUCGAUACUAACUCAACGAACACCUUCGGAGAUACCUGCAGAGCAUCUUUAUAGUCACCCAGUUACGUUGCGACGUUUGAUACACACAAAGUAUUCCUCCGGUGUCAGUGAGUUAUAUGAUCUCAUGGUCAUAGGAACAAAUACUUGACACGCAGAAAACAGUAGCAACAAAAUGACACGAUCAACAUGCUACGUCUAUUAGUUUGGGUCUAGUCCAUCACAUGAUUCUCNNNNNNNNNNNNNNNNNNNNNNNNNNNNNNNNNNNNNNNNNNNNNNNNNNNNNNNNNNNNNNNNNNNNNNNNNNNNNNNNNNNNNNNNNNNNNNNNNNNNCCCCCAAAAAACUUUUACGGACCGGGGCGGGAUGCGGGGUCUGGUCGGACAGGCUUUCCAGUCCGUACCCGCAUUUUGACGGUUAUUUUACGGAUCGAGGGCGGAUGCAGGAUCUGCUAGAGUUGCUCUUAGCACCCGUGCCAAACUUGUCUCCGGCCCCAUCAUGUUCGCUAGCUCGCUGCCAGAUCCACAUUGGCAACUCACGCAUGGAAAACAUGGACGCCUCUUCGUAUCUAAGAUCUUCAUGUGGCUGGCAUCCGAAUAAUGAUGUUGGUCUACUCGAUCGCGUGUCGCGGAUAGAUGCCCCUGUGCGAGUUGGUGGGGUCGACUCUGUGCGGCGAGGCAAUACAAGGACGACAGCAAUAAAAUUGUUAGAAAUUAAUUAAUAGAUUAAUUCAAGAAAUAUGUCCAACCCGAACAGUCGUGUCUCCUCUUUGUAUCUAUUGCCAACAGGCACCUGUUCUGCAGGGAUGUCUCCGAACAGACACCUUUUCUUCGCACCUCUUCCAGAUGUAUAUAUACUUGAGAAGCAAUAGAAAGAGGACUGCUGGUCCAUUCACUUCCAUUCAAUCUUGUUUUACUCUAACACGUUAUCAGCACGUAGUCUUUACCGACGAGCAAUCCGGUCUAAGACGAUGGCGGAUACACACAACCACGUCCAUGGCUUCUUGCUGUCGAUCCAUCACAGCUCCGACGUCCAUGACGAAGCACCAGAGGGCAUCGGCGGAGCAGCUCGUGUCCCUCUCCCUCGGCGCCGUCGCCAACCGCAGCAACAAGAGGACGCGCCGCGCCGCCGCCGCAGCCGCCGGUNNNNNNNNNNNNNNNNNNNNNNNNNNNNNNNNNNNNNNNNNNNNNNNNNNNNNNNNNNNNNNNNNNNNNNNNNNNNNNNNNNNNNNNNNNNNNNNNNNNNUCGACCGUUCGGGUACCAGACGGUCUCCGAUCGCGACGAAAUUCGACAGGCGGCCUUGCUAUAAAUAAAUAAUACCGCACGACAAAUUCCAGCUCAAUCGGAGAAAGUUUUACGCAAACUAUUAAAACAGGGUUUCGACGGUGCCUCGGACGCGUGCGUGUGCGGUCGGCUCAGAACGGACAACGACGCGAACCGGCAACUACUAACGGAUGCAAGUUUGAAAACUGGCCGCAAUGGAGAUGCCGAUGCAAUGCAGAUGAUGUGCACGAUGUGAUGAUGACGCGACAAAUAAAAAUAGACACACGACGGAAACGGAAAGAAAAAGGGGAAUCUUCUGGAACGUCGGCAUCGGGCUGUCACAACUCUCCUACACUACAAGAAGAUCUCGCCCCGAGAUCCAAGAAUGAAAGGGGGAGAGUAUGAGAAAAGCAGAAGGUAAAACUUAGUCGCUUCUUUUACAAAUGAGUGAAACCAACGAUCCUUGAAGGUUGCAAGGGGAUGAGGGAUGAUAUGAGAAAGAAGCAAGAAUUCACGGAAAAUAUCGGCAGCACUUCGGUAGGAAAAUGGGACAAAAAAUUCGAAAAGGUGGAAGAAAUAGACAAUAUUCACCACAAACAAGUAAAUAGAGCAAGAGAACACCAUGAUCUUGGUGGAACAACAUAAUAUACCCAAAAGAGCAACAACACAAAGCCUCCGGAACAAUAGAAUAGGAACUAACUCAAAUGGAAGAAGAGAAUGAAGAGAGAAUGACAACCACUAACUCCAAUGAACUUGACAAGCACCCUUGCGAGAAGAAUUGAACGGAGUUGUUGGAAAAACAAAAACGAAAAGAACAAGAUAGUAGUGGGCUUAUGAAAAUCAUCUCAACAUAUAUGAGGUGAUAACCAACCACUAAAAGAAACAAGGAUUGAUUGGGACAAAGAAGAUAUGAACAAUUCUUACACCAAGAGGAUACAUUGAGAACUUGGAUGAAUGACAAGCACCAUGAUAGCAACAAUCCAUAAGAAAAAGCUUUAGGUGAAAUCCAAACCAAGAUAGGUCAAUGAAGAAAUCAUGGGUUGAAAAUAUCUCAUGACCAAAGAAUCAAUGGAUUUAAUUAUCUCAUUCCUGAGAGGAAAACUCUACGAGGCUCCUACACUAACAAGAAUGCUAUAAUACCACCUCAACGGAUAAAGGAAGAACAAUUGCACUGAAAUGCAAGGGAAAGAAUGCUUGAGGUUCUCCAACGAGAAUCUUGAAGAACACUUUGAGAAUGAAUUGAAAUCUUGAUGAAUCACCAUGAAGGACCUCCACAUACAUAUGAAUGAUGCAAAGAUAUGAAGGUAGACAAGAAUAAGAUUAUGACCUUGCCAAGAUUUAGUUGAAGCCUCACAACGAGAUACUGAUAUACUUGGAACUCCGGAAAAGAAAGAUAAGCACUUGAGAAAAGAAUUGAUAUCAUGAGCCACUCCGGAAGAAGGAUUUAGAUUACUAUGAACAAGAAUAAGAAUUAUGUUAAGCUAAUCCUUCAUCAAGUUAAAUUGACGACAAUCAACGGAUUUAGCAUACAACUUAUUCUUCUUGAAAUAAUCUUGAAGAGACAGAGAGAUAAUCACCACUUGAAGCAUAAUUGAAGGAAGCACCGGUAAGAAUUCACAAUUGAAUGGGAACACCACGAAUUAAUGGAUAUACAUGAGAAUGAAGAGAUCAUAAGCCACCUCAGAGAAAACUAGAACAAGGCACCGGAUAAACAAGAGAUGAAUGAAGAGACAACAAUGGAGAAGAAUUAGAGAACGAAAGCUGAAAGCUGAGAACGAAGAAUCUUCUAAAAUGAUGGCCUUUGGAGGAUCGAGAAUGAAAACAACUCAAAAAUGCACCGGAUAGCAAGAAAGGGAUACUCAUGAUAGAAACAAUUGAAGAUGAUAGCACCAAGCUGAAAUGAUAAUAUCCACAAGAAUGAACCAAGAUUUGAGAGAAACACCUCUUCGGUCUUCAAAGGAGAGAAUGAUGAGAAGAACACCACCAAGAAUAACUAAGACACUCCGGAAUAAUGAAGAAUGAAAGGUUGAGCNNNNNNNNNNNNNNNNNNNNNNNNNNNNNNNNNNNNNNNNNNNNNNNNNNNNNNNNNNNNNNNNNNNNNNNNNNNNNNNNNNNNNNNNNNNNNNNNNNNNCGUUUUUUUUUUUGCGAGAGAACGAUUUUGCUUUUGUGAGAGGCACGCUCGGAAAAAGGAAAAACGUGUUUUCUUUUCUCUUUCUGUGACACACACUGUUUUGCUUUCGUGAGUGGCACGGCGAAAACGGAAAAAAUGCGUUUUCUGGUUUUUUUAUGGGAGACAUAGAUUUGCUAUUAACACCACCAUAUUUCAUUGUUGAGGGUAUCAAACGAUCUCCAAAUCCAAUAGGACUUUAUAUGUAGCCUUUCCAUAAUAUAACAAGGCCACAUAUAAAUAAUCACCUCAUUUGAAAAACAUUGUUUUCCAUCUAUCAGAAUAGUCCAAGUUAAUUAAUAAAUUGAUGCUCAUGCAAUGGAAAUGAUGUACAAUCAAUACAAUAGGGAAAAUAUAUUUAGAUUAUUAUUCCCCGAAUGUUAUAGAGACAUGGGUUGUUUAUGAUACAAUGAACAUACGCUGCAAUGGCAAAGCAAAGUGGCAUGAAUAUUCAGUUCAUACAUGGCAUGUGAAGAAUGGAGGCUCCUCAUCUUCUUGUAGCAUCUAACAAGACGGAAGUGGAAUUAUGCUCUCUUGGAGGCAAUACCCACUAAGAUUCAUAUGAUAUUGUAUCUUUCCAAUGUUUACCAUUCCUAAGAACUUGCCAUCAAUACCGCAGCGUAACACAUUUUUAUCAUUAAACUGGACCAAAAUCUCAUGCUCACUGAGCACAGCCAUUUUAGGCUGCCCAUAGUGGGAGUAACUAAGGUAGUAUCAUGUACUUGGGACUAGCAAACAUGCUGAUGUGGUAGACAAUGAAGGAAGAGAGAGAGGGUUAAAGUAACAUAGGUAGAUACCGUAACAUGUUAAAUGUCAUGCUACUAUGUGUCAUGCAUGUCAAUAAAUGUGAUCAUAUAUGAUACUAUGCACUAUGAAGGUAGUAUCAUACAAGAGUAUUAUAUGCAUGAUACUACUAUAUGAUACUCCCCACUAUGACCAGCCUUAUGGAACCGUAUCACCACUGAAUCAGGUGGUGACUUCCUCUUCCUUUUGAGAGAAGUUAAUUUCAGUUUUUGUGACGCCUCCCCAUUCGUUAGGUCAAUCCGGUACAUGAAGGCCCAAAUUUUGGUCUCAUGACCCUGCAUCAUCCAGACAUCCAAACUCGGGUUUUGUUUGAGCAAAAAGCCUGAGAAAGCAAUCUCCCCGUUCAUGUCAAACAACUAUCCCCCAUGGUACCUAUCAGAAUGAUCAUUCAGUUGGGCCGGACUAUGCAUCCACCGGAACGAUUCAACUUCUGUGUCAAAUACAACAACGUCUUCACCGUCUCCUGGUGCUGUACUGGUGGCAAACCGGGCAGCACCCGGAGUAAAUCCCAUUCCAUGGAAGCCGAGGAGACUGUUGGCAUUCUGACUCUGAUGGGCCUCGGCUUGUCAGAUCCAACCGUGAGGACGUAUAAAUUGGAUUCAAAAUAGUUGUUUGAGACCCAGAGCACUGCUAUCCCAUAGACAACAGCGCUAGAAAUUGACACGUUGACAGAGGCUGGGCUUGCGUUGGUUCUUCCCUUGAAGAGGAAAGGGUGAUGCAGCACAGGAGCAGUAAGUAUUUCCCUNNNNNNNNNNNNNNNNNNNNNNNNNNNNNNNNNNNNNNNNNNNNNNNNNNNNNNNNNNNNNNNNNNNNNNNNNNNNNNNNNNNNNNNNNNNNNNNNNNNNUUCCACCACCGGGUCGACGACCAGAGCUUGCCUCCCUGGGGUGGGUACAUGCGCUGGAUGAUCUGACUGAUCAAAGGUGAUCGCAGUCUGUGACUAUUUGAGGAACAUGGGGGUGGUUGGGGUUGCCAUGUUCACCUCCCUAUUAACCAGCUUCGGUUGACUCUUGCUUUCCACAUCAGCAAAAAUCAUCAGCGUUGCAUGCACUUGGGGGAACGGAUCCUCCUUGUCCUCAUCAUCCCGCUCGGCGUCCUUUUCACUCGGCUGUCCUUCACCGAAUCCUUGGAUCAGGAGGCGGCACUGCCGAGUGGUAUGCUUCGGGAAUAUGGCGUUGCCUUCUUCGUCCAUCUUCGUGUGGAUUGGACACGACUGAUCCAGGAUGGAAUUUCCUGACUGCCUCUUCUUGGGGGUGUACUUAGCUUUCCCCUUACCUUUGAACUUGGCAUUUGUAACGGCUGCUGCCUCUGCCUGCGGAGUGGAUUGAGCCUUCUACUUCUGCUUCCGACUGUUGUUCCCAUCUCCAUCGGCGACUGACUUAUGUUUGCCGCUAUGUAUGCGGUCCUCCUCUUCACCAUUUGCAUAGCGUGCGGCUAUCUCCAUCAUCUUGCUCAUGGAGAUGUCGCCUGUCCGACCGAAAUUCAGGUACAGAUCCCUGUACCGCACGCCUGCCUUGAAGGCGCAAACUGCUUGAUGCUCCGUGACGUUCUCCACCGUGUGGUAGAGGGCUCGUUCUGCUUCUGGACGCAGUGCUGGAGCUCCACGAGACCAGCUGGGCGUUUGCACGUGCCCUCGAAGGUCCUGAUAAAGACUCAGGACAGAUCUGCCCAGCUAUAGAUGCUUGACGGAGCCAACUGGUUCAGCCAAGCUCGCGCCGAGCCGUCGAGCAUCAGGGGGAGAUGUUUCAUGGCGACCUGGUCAUCUCCGCCACCGAUCUGGACCGCCACUCUGUAGUCGUCCAACCACGUUUCUGGCUUGGACUCUCCUGUGAACUUGCUGAUUCCCGUUGGCAAUCGGAAGUUGGGAGGGAUAUCAGCUGAACGGAUGGCCCGACUGAAGCACUCGGGGCCAGAGAUGACGGUCCUGCUUCCACUCGGACGGUCUCUAUCAUGACCAUCAUGGUGGGCUCGACUCCUGUCGACCUUCUUCUNNNNNNNNNNNNNNNNNNNNNNNNNNNNNNNNNNNNNNNNNNNNNNNNNNNNNNNNNNNNNNNNNNNNNNNNNNNNNNNNNNNNNNNNNNNNNNNNNNNNNNNNNNNNNNNNNNNNNNNNNNNNNNNNNNNNGCGUCGGGCCUUGGAUCAUGCGCGUCGCCGACUGAACGACGAUCAUUGUGAUGCCGAAGGCCGUAAGGCCCACCUCGCGGAGGGGUGCGCGAACGGCGACGAUCUUCGGGAUUCCUGGAACGGCUGCCUCCUCUACGUCGUUGAUGAGAGUCGGGGCUGAAAACCGACCGAUGCGUGUUCGCUUGAACAGCACUGUUGUGGAUCCUGUUGUGCGACUGGGAGACCGCCGAAUUUUGCUGCUACUCCAUAUGCAACAGGGCACGGAUCUUCUCGAUCCCUCUACCAGCCUCUGAAUCAGUCGGCUAGAGAGAAUCGGAUAUCCUGGCAGCCGCAACCAGGUUGAGAAUGGGUGUGCGGAAUACCUCGACGUCGCUCUGGCGAGUGCGUCAACUNNNNNNNNNNNNNNNNNNNNNNNNNNNNNNNNNNNNNNNNNNNNNNNNNNNNNNNNNNNNNNNNNNNNNNNNNNNNNNNNNNNNNNNNNNNNNNNNNNNNGUGAGCGCACGCACGACCCAACUGACAGAAACGGACAUGGGCGAACCCAUUGCCGUCCCAAACGGACAAAAUCCGGCCAAACCGGACGUCCGUUUGGGGUCGUGCGGUGGAGUUGGCCUUAGACACAGAGAGACGACUGUGGGCCUAGCGGGCCAUGCGGGUGGAGGUUGCAUCGGGAUGCUCGGCGUCCGUCCUAUCUCGAACCAUAGCCCAGAUCUGGCACCUGAUCUAUUGUCAACUAGCGGUGGUUGGGUAGCCGACGUGAAAUGGAGGAGGAGGGGAUAAGGCGGAACCUGAGAAAUUCUAAGGAGGUGGUUUUAGGGUUUUCCCAAAUAAGGAAGUGAUGGGAAGUGGGUGAUUGUAUUUUAUAGGAGGGUCCGUUUUUUUGAGAGAAAAUAUAGAAGGGUAGGUGGGGGUGGAUUCACUAGUAGAAAAUGGGUCUUUCGGCAAGAGCAAAAAACACAUUAGCCCCGAUUCAAACAAAAACCGGGACCAAUGCCAGGCAUUGGUCCCGGUUCAGUUUGCCAGGGCAUUGGUCCCGGUUCGGCUCACCUCUUUAGUCCCGGUUCGGGGCAUCCAGCGACUGCACGUGGCAUGCCGCAGAGCAUUAGUCUCGGUUUGUGGCAAGAACCGGGACUAAAGGGUAGUCUAUUAGUCCUGGUUUUAGAUAAGAACCGAGACUAUAGUGUUGCCUAUAUAAACCUUCCCCCUGCCCACCCUCUCCUCUGUUUUUUGGCUAUUGAAGUGUGCCCAUGCCAUGCUCUUGUCACCCUUCUAGUUCAUGCACAUGAGGUGUUCGAUGAAAUGUGUGAGGCACACUACUUAAGCUUUCUCCUCUCCAAGCUCGACUGUUGUUGUGGGGGUCGCUUCUCCUUCUUCUUCUUACGCUAGAUAUUUGUUAUGCACUAGGGGAAGUAGGAGUAGCGACCAUCAUNNNNNNNNNNUGAAAAAUCGGUGAGGGAGUGUCCACCAUAUAUGAGAGAAGAAGCAUGUCGACUGUUGUUGUGGGGGUUGUUUCUCCUUCUUCUCCUUGUACUAGAUAUUUGUUAUGCACUAGGGGAAGUAGGAGUAGCGACCAUCAUCGACGGUCGAAAAAUCGGUGAGGGAGUGUCCACCAUAUAUGAAAGAAGAAGAAUGCCGACUGUUGUUGUGGGGGUCGCUUCUCCCUCUUCUCCUUGUGCUAGAUAUUUGUUAUGCACUAGGGGAAGUAGGAGUAGUGACCAUCAUCGACGGUCGAACAAUCGGUGAGGGAGUGUCCACCAUAUAUGAGAGAAGAAGAAUGCCAACUGUUGUUGUGGGGGUCGCUUCUCCUUCUUCUCCUUGUGCUAGAUAUUUGUUAUGCACUAGGGGAAGUAGGAGUAGCGACCAUCAUCGAUGGUCGAAAAAUCGGUGAGGGAGUGUCCAGCAUAUAUAAGAGAAGAAGAAUGCUGACUGUUGCUGUGGGGGUCAUUUCUCCUUCUUCUCCUUGUGCUAGAUAUUUGUCAUGCACUAGGGGAAGUAGGAGUAGAAACCAUCAUCGACGGUCGAAAAAUUGGUGAGGGAGUGUCCACCAUAUAUGAGAGAAGAAGAAUGACGACUAUUGUUGUGGGGGUUUCUUCUCCUUGUGCUAGAUAUUUGUUAUGCACUAGGGGAAGUAGGAGNNNNNNNNNNAAAAAAUCGGUGUGGGAGUGUCCACCAUAUAUGAGAGAAGAAAAAUACCGACUAUUGUUGUGGGGGUCGCUUCUCCUUCUUCUCCCUGUGCUAGAUAUUUGUUAUGCACUAGGGGAAGUAGGAGUAGCGACCAUCAUCGACGGUCGAAAAAUUGGUGAGGGAGUGUCCACCAUAUAUGAGACAAGAAGAAUGCCGACUGUUGUUGUGGGGGUCUCUUCUCCUUCUUCUAUGUCGGCACAGCAGCCAAAGAAAACCUUUGGAGAAAGCUCAUGCUUCAUUUCACCCUGCCGGCGCCAGAGGUGGAUCCAGAUGAGGAGGAGCCAAAUGAGGAGGAAAUGAAGAGGCAAAAAGAGGCCCUAGAGAAAAAAGUCAAGGAGUGGGCUCUUAAGAAGAUGGCCGAUCUAUUCAGGGGCUGAAAAAAAGAUUGCACCAGGAUUUUAUCUUGAAAGAUAAGACUUCAGAUUUCGAUCAAGACUAUGAGAAGAUUAAAGACUACUGGCCCGAAUUUGUGGCGUACAAGAAAUCGAAGGACGCCUUGAAAAUAUCUGCAACAAAUAGGUUGAAUGCAGGUAGAAGAAGUACCACCAUAUUAUGGGGCCUGGUGGCUACGGAAGUAAUAUGGCUAAGUGGGAAGCACUUGAGGCAUCAUUUCUGGAAAAAAAUAUCACUCCAGAGCCCUUAAGAUGGCUCGAAUGGGGAAGAAACUGGUUUUAUGGGCAUGGGGGCUUGUUGGACGAAGAAGGGAAGGCAAUAUAUAACCAAAAAUACAAAGAUAAUCGUCUACCCAUUAAGGACAUUAGACAUGCAGUACAGGAUGUUGAAGAGGGAUGGUUCGUUCCCGAUAGAGAGAACGACAAGAUCACACGCGGCCUUGGUAAUAAGGAACACAAAGCGUGGGCACGAGGCUUACCAAGCUCCCCAUCGUGGAUGCUUGCGUUUUCCGAGGAAAGGAAGAGAUUUCCCGAUAUAAGCCAUCAGAGGAGAAAGGAAAAGGAGGCAUGUGAUAAAGCGGCUGAGGCUGACCGGCUGCAUAAUCUAGAAGAAGUAGUAAAGCGGCUGCAUCAGGAUCAAAUCGACAGACAGCAAGGUAGCGGCCAAUCUCAGCGGGUCAUGAUAGAAGGUGCAUCGAAUCGGAAAAGCAGUGUUGCUUCCAUGCAGCUCCAGGAUGAUGGUGAUGACGCACUGACGACGGAUCCUCGUCGUCGCUACCCAGUGGAUGAUAUCACAAAGAGCACACCUUGUGAGCUAAAGGUGAAAGUUGCUAACUUAAGGUUGACGGUGGCAGUCAUCAUGGCCAUACCAAUUGGACAUAAUCCAACUUGGCAUUGCUCUCCGGUUCUAGAAGGGUACGUUGUCGUCGCGGUGGAUGAAGUGAUGAAAGAUUAUGAGGAGCUGAAACUCGACCUCCCUCCAAGUGAAGAUAGGGAUUUGACUCAACUUGGAGAAGUCAAGAAACAAACCCUUGUAUGGCCAAAGGAGGACAUCUUGCUUCCAAAUUGGACACAAAGGCCACCGACUCCUCAUAGCAGCAAUCCUUCUUCGCCUCCACCUCACUAGUCUCCAGCGCAACCGUCGUCUUCGCCGCCUCACCAGUCUCUAGCGCAACCGUCUCCACCGCCGCAUCAGUCGUCUCCACCACCCCGUUAGCCGUCUCCGUCCACUGAGGAUCAGAGCAAAAAGCGGAAACGUACCACCGCUAAUAGUGGCGGCAGAAAGGGGUUCCGAUAACCGAAACGUAAGAUGUCUCCCCUCCCAACAGUACCUCACAAGAAUAUGGAGAAGAGACCUUUGGACUAUACUGGAGAGGAGAAUAUUAAGAGGGGAGACGCCCGGCAUCAAUAGUGGAAGGCUGAAGUGGCUAACAAGAAGAAGCCAAAAGAGCCAGAGUUCCCGAACACCCCAGAAGAUCACGCCGCGACUGUGAAAAUGCCGAAAAACCUUGAAGAUCCCCCUCCACCGUUGAUAACAGACUAUGAACGCUCUAUUCUCAAGUCGAGUCAAGCAAAAAAGCAGCAGUCGAAGAGUAGUAGCGGGAAAUCAGUUGCCCAGCUCGGACAAUAGAAAAACCAAUCGUGCCCCCCGCUCAAAGUGUAUUCUGAUACAAAGGUGUGCUCGAGCAGAGCUGGUAUCGAUUCUGAUUUUGUUGCAAUAUACGGAGAAGCGGCCAAGGCUCAAGGCAUGACUAUUGAUGAGUACUUAAACCAUAUCCAGGAAUUCGCUGACCUAACAUACGUGUACCGGUACGGGUCUCCUCUCGUCAAACCUGAGUUGGUCAACGAGCUACCAACCAAAAUGCGAAGAUUGCAUGACUGGUACAUGCAAGCAUGUAAAGAUCAGCAAAACUGGAUCUAUGUUGCAUAUGAAGACGAGCAUUUCGGGACUGGACGAGGCGUGCUAAUGAUUGAAUUCGAGGAAUUAUUUUAGUUAUACAAACAAGACGCCCUGGACAAAUCUAUCAUCAGUGCCUAUUGUUUGUAAGUAUUAUUAACUUAUGUCAUUAAGUCUUACUCAACUCGUUCUUGCAUGUAUAAUCUUACUCAUCACUAUAUUAAUUUUGCAGAAUGAAGAUUCUCGAAUGCAAAAGAGGACAGAUCUAUGACAUUGGGUUCAUUGACCCAUAUUACAAUCAUCACCAAAGUCUCACAACGAAUCCCCGCGAGACAGAGAAUAACUUGGUACAAGGAUUAAGGUUUUGCAGUACCAAAAGGGAAAUACUAUUUCCUUACAACUUCAAGUGUGUGUUACUACACGCAUUCUAUUUUCGCUUACUCGAUGUUAUUAUAAGUGUAUAAUUGACUCGUUAUGCGUGCGCAGGUUCCAAUUUAUUUUGUUAAUCAUUGUACCUGACGAGGGACAAGUAAUAGUCAUGGACCCAAAACGCACACCCCUCGCUGAAUGGGCGAACAUGCAGGAAUGCCUCCAGAAGUAAUUCCAAUCAUUAUGACACUAUAUCAGCAACUUCUCGUUCAUUUCCUGAUAGCAAGGAAUUAAUAUGGAAGUCCUUUAUUCAUUUAAUUUUUCUUGGCAGGGCUUGAAAACGGUUCACCACCAAGGCUCGGGUUGAUUGGAAGUCAGAGCUUACAUUUAAACAAAUAGAUGUAAGUAACUACUAGCUAGAUCCGCGCAUCUCUUUAUUCUAGUUUCAAUAUCAUUAUAAUUCUUGAUUAUGUUUUUGAUUGAACUCUGUUCUUGUAAAGUGCUUGAGGCUGGAACAAGGGAACAAUUUAUGUGGUUAUUAUGUUUGCGAGUUCAUUCGCUAGACGACCCAUCAGACAGGCAAAAACCGAGACAUAAAAAAAUCGAAGUACGAUAAACAAUACGCACAGCUUUAUUUUAUUACCGUGAAUUGUCUUUGUUUUCCUUCAUAUAUAUAUAUUGACCACUUCUUUAAAUUAGAUCGAACGGUUACAGGACGGUCUUCUACCACAGGAACGUGUACGAGCAAUUCAAGAGGAAAUUGCCGGAUUCUUAGAUGCAGAGGUCCUAGAUGUCAAGGGAGAAUACUAUUGCCCGUCGAUGCAAUUGAUAUGAAAUUAAUGAUAUAGUGUACCAAAGAUGCAUAUAUGUGCAUGUAACUCGUGUCUACAUUUUGUAAAUAUGUUCGACAAAAACGACGGAUGAGAUGGUGUAAUAUAUUCGUGAUUUUGUGCAAUAUAGUUGUUCCUUUAUUGUUGUGUAUGUACCAUCCAAUUUAGUGCAAAACAAGAAUUAAAAAAAUCCCAAAACAAAUAAAUGAGAAAAUAUAGGGCAGCAAAAUAGCCCCAUUCANNNNNNNNNNNNNNNNNNNNNNNNNNNNNNNNNNNNNNNNNNNNNNNNNNNNNNNNNNNNNNNNNNNNNNNNNNNNNNNNNNNNNNNNNNNNNNNNNNNNGGACCGAGCCAGCGCCGGUCGUCGGUACAGUGCUUUGUCUCCGGCCGGCCGGGUGAUCGAUGCGGCCCCGAGAGGCCGGAACGGAAGCUUCCCGCUCCCGUGUACAUUUGCAGGGACGGCGACGUGUCCGGCCAGCUUGCACCGAGGUCCCUGCGGAGGAUAGGCACGAGAAUUCUUAUCCUACCGUCGAUGUCUGAUUGUUGCCCGAACCAGGGAAGGCUGAGGAUUCAAGAUGCAUACAUGGCGUGCUCAAGGGACAUGAUGAACGCUGGUUUAGUACAAGAGAAGAGAAGAAGGGCUGUUAUACGUACCAUCAAAUUUCGUACGAAUUUUGUACGAUCGAACUGAUAUUUUGUGUUGUGAGCCCAGACAAGAGGAAGUGGACCUCUCUUGUCGUAUGCAAAACCAUCGCACACAAAGUUGUUUCAUUAAUACAAUAUGUAGAUAUGUUUUUUUGUAAAUUUGGUCAAAGUUAUUAUUAAUACUAAGUGUUUUAUAUUAUUUUACUUGUUUUCCAGGAUCUUUAAGGGGCUGUCGAGGCCAACAAGACGAUUGAGGUGUACGCAAUGGUGUAAUAUACUAUUCAGUACUCACCAUAUUUAUCAUUAUGUUGUUUUAGAUGUAGCUAAGUUUGUUCACUUGAUGUUUUUAGUUGCAAAUUUAUGGAGUAAAUUUCUAUCGUCUUUCCAAACAGUUCCGUCCGAAGGGAACACUUCUCUACGGUCAUAAGGUUCUCAUCCAAAUGCCAUAAUAGGCUACACAGAGAAUUACCGGCAGCGUUUUCUUCUAUAGGAUCCCUAGCAUAAGAACUCGUCCCAUAAAUUCAUAAAUAAAAAUACCAAGUGAAAACACCAAACUACAUCAUUUCCACAACAUAAUUUACAUAUGGUUUUCCCUUUCGGGAACCCCGAAAGGUUUACACAAGGGUAAAAGAAAUUACCUUCUAACUACCUUCGCGAGCUUACAAAUGCUCUCAAUAUUGUAGCUUUUAUUACACGAUGAAGAAGUACUACUACUACUACUAUUGGUGAGCAACGAGCUUGCUAGCUGAGUUGCAGCUCUCUGCUCUAUCUGUGGCUGGUUCUUCUCCGUCUGGUGUCUCUCUUCACAACAAGACUACUCCUUUUAUAGGCAAGAGAGCACCUCUUGGAUGGUUUCCGGGAGAAGGCUUCUCUAUUAUUUCCUCCUUCUUUCUCGUUGUCCAUCAUGCACCUAGUUUUUAUGCUUUAUAGGCUUUGUAGCCAUUAUAGCCCUUAUUUUUUGGGUAUUGAGUGCAUGUUGGAGGGGUUUGCACACCGUGUGUUGGCUGUCAAUGGAGGUGGCAUUGUCUUCUUUUUUGAUUUUCUUCUUCGUCAUGAUUUUGUCUUGAACUUUAAUCGUCAGAAAUAUUACAAUCUUUGGGUAUGCAUGUGCCCGUACACUGCCUGCUGAUAUGUGUACGGGGGCAUACUUGGCUACAAACAUGCACAUAUGUGUGCAUUGGCUAUUGAUAUGCGUACGCAUACAUGCUGCAAUUGUUUUUGAGGGGGGUCUUCCCUGCCCAUAUAAUUGAUAUUUCAUAUCAAUAUACACUAAGAUUCUAGAUUCCCAUCAGUAUUUUGUCGGGGUAUAGGUCCUCCGCGCCCGAAUAAUUGAUAGUAAUAUCAAUUCAAAUUCAGUGAUAUUUGCAGUUGGGCUUUACUCAUGCUUGCCCAUGCCCUGCGAUAUCCAUAUGAUCCUCAUCUAAGAGAUGGUAAUCAUACUUCGUAUCACAUUCUUUCUUUAUAUCUUCAAAUCUUAUUUUCAUUUCAAUCCUUAUUUCAUAUAAUAUCUCUUCCUUUAAUUCCUUCUUCAUUAUUUUUGACAAUUCCUCAAAUCUUUUGUCCAUUUGUUGAUCUAUAUGUUCGUUAUCCAAAGGGUCUUGGCCCUUCAUAAGGCAUUCUUUAUAUGUAUAUUUUUUUGGAGAAUCUUCUUCCUUUAUAUUCUUUCCUGAUGAUUCUCUCUUUGUAGUUUUAAAUAUUGGCAUAUUAGAUGUAUUGUUAUAUGUAUUCUUUCUCUUCUGGAUAUAAUCUUUAGCAUUGGGGCCAAUAUAAUAGUUUUCCCCCAUCAUUUUUCUUGCCCAAAACAAGGCAUUAUCAAUACUUUCAUAUUUUUUGAAUGUUAAGUGUUGUCCCAUUCGUUUUGCAUCUAGUUUCUCUAUCAUGAUGUCUUCCCAUGUUAAAUAUAUUCCAGGUUUAUUUCCGUCAAACAAAACAUAUAAUGUUUCUCCUUUUUGUAUUUCAACCCUUUCUGGCUUUGCCAACUUCCUAUUCAUUUGGUUAAAAUAUUCUGCCAAGCUAUUUAGAAUUGAUAGCAUAUAUCCUUUUUCAUCUCUCUUAUUGGUAUAUUGGUACGAGAAAUUGUCCAAUAUGCACCUCUGAAUUUCAUCAAGUUUCAUAUGGGCCUUUGGCUUGAAAUUGAAGGUAUUUGGCUGAAAUAUCUUCAACAUGUUCUCCUAUCCAAAGAAGAAGCAUUCGUCCUUGGUGGGAAAUAAUCCUUUCUUCAUUUUUGUAAAUUUGAUGCACGAGAAAAUAUGUCAGGUAAGGUAUUAUAUUUUCCCUUAAUAUGCUCAAAAAUAACUUUAUAACCAUUCCCAGCUAUGGUGCCUUCAAAUAAGACCCAUCUUCUGGUUGAACUUUUCUUACUAUUAAUUUUAUUGUAAUAUCAACAUAUGGCUUCACAAUCAGUUCACACUAUAAAUUCUUUCAAUCCUAGAUAUAACCUAAAAGCAUUUAUUGCAUUUACAACUGCGAGGAUUUCUCUGUCAAUAUUAUUUACCGUUUUUAACUUGUAACUUCCUGAAGCAUAUCUACAUAUUUUUUUCAUCUGCCUUUGGGGAAUAUUUAUUAGGUUUUUGUUUUAAUAUAGCAUCCCAUCCUACAUUAGAUGCAUCUGUUUCAAUUAUCAAAUAAUUGUCUUUUAGAGGGAAUUCUAGGGGUUUUAAAUUCUUAACUAUUUUUUCUUUGAUGGCCUUUACUAAUUUUAUAUCUUUAGAAUUAAAAUAUCUCUGACUAUUCUUUCUUAAUUUAGCAUAUAAAGGUCUGGCUAGCUUUGCUAGGUUAUCUAUGUAAUUUCUUGCAUAAUUUACAAUUCCUAAGAAUUGUUGUAGAACGUAUUUAUCACUCAUAUUAUCACGAAACUCCAAAAUUUUCUUUGCAAUAUGUUCUUGCAAAUAUAUCUUUCCUUCUCCUAUUUCAUAGGCAAGGAAAUUUAUUCUUUCUUUACAAAUUUCCAUCUUCUUUUUUCAUAAUAUGAGCCCAUUUUGUUCUACCUUACGAAAGAACACUUCGAGAUGUGAUAUAUGCUCUUUGUAUGAUUUUGAGAAUACUAACAAAUCGUCUACGUAUACUAAUAUAAACGCUUGGUUCUCAUUAAAUAUAUUUUGCAUUUUCCUUUGACAUAGUGCGGGUGCAUUCUUUAGACCUAAUGGCAUUACUAGCCAUUCAUAAUGGCCUUGUGGACAAGUAAAGGCAGUCCAUGGAAUAGAUUCUUCGACCAGUUUUACUUGCCAAAACCCCGCUUUUAAGUCAAAUUUAGAGAAAUAUUUGCUUCCUUGUAUUCUGUUGAUCAUUCAUGUUUAUUAGGUAUAUUAUAUGCAUCAUCUACUGUAUUAUCAUUAAGCCUGUUGAAGUUAAUUACCAUUCUGGAUUUACCUCUCACCUCUUCAGUAUGAUUUCUAACUAUAAAAGCAGCAGCCCGAUGAGGACUUCUACUUUCUCUAAUUGCUUUUAAUUUCAGUAACUCCUCAAUAAGCAUUUUGAGUUCUUUAAUAUCUUUAGGAGUAGCUUCUAUUGGAUCUGACUUAAUGAUACAGUCUGGAUUUAUAAUAUUUAUUUUGCAAACUAUAGAGUUCCUUUCCCAAUGUUUCAUCCGUAUUUCCCCUAUAAUUUGUAUGUUUUCUAAUCUUUGCACAAUCUUAUCUAUAUCAUUUUUGUAUUCUAUAUCUCUAUACCAAUUUGGUAAAAAUGAUUGUAACGCUAUGCAUUCUGUACUUGUAUUUUCAAUAUGAUAUUCUUCUAUGGUCUCACUAAGUUCUUCAUCUUUACACAAAUCAAGGGUCUGUGGAGUUGUACUAUAUUCGCCAUCCAAAUUAUAUAUUUCUACAUUUUGCAAUAUGUAUGGAGAUUAUCUUGAUAAGGGAUAAAUGUAACCCCUUCUUCAUGUAUAAUUGUAGUUUGUAAAGACUGUUGUAAAAACCUUAACCCUAUUAUCAUGUCAUCAUUUAUUACUGAUAAAUCCCUUAUUGUAAUUUCAUCUAUUAUAUGUUUCGUGCCAUUUAUGUAUGCUUCAAUAUUAUAUGCUAACUGGUUAUGGAUUUUCUUUAUACCUGACAUAUCAAUACAUACUUCAGCUUUAUUAUCAUCUAUAGUUUCAACUAUUUCUGGGCAUCUUAUGAAAUAUUUAUCAUGUAAGAUGUUCUUUGUGCAACCCGUAUCUAAUAACACUAAUACUUUAUAAGAAAUGUUUGGCUUUAGAACUAUUUUAACUGGGAUCCUUAUCCCUAACACUUCUUUGAAUGGUAAUCGGAAGAUAUAUUUGUUUCCAAAACUAGUUAUUACAUCUUUUAAUUGUAUUAAUUUAUCUCCUUUUUUAUCCCUUACCGUUACCAUUUGUUCCUUCAUCUCUGUGAUUUUUGCAACCUUAUUAUCUUGCUCUUUACUAUACUCUAAUUCAUCCUUUAGCCUUUCUAGCUCUACUUCUAGUUUAUUUAUUCUAUUUUCUAAGUUUCUAACCCUACUGGAUAAUAUUCUUUCUUCCGGUUCCAAUUCUAUUUCUUGUCUCCAUUUUUGAUUAUUGACUUUUAGACAGGAGGUACAUGCUUGCUUUAAGCAUAAACUACAUGUGAACCUAUUAUCUUGGCUAGGAUAAUAUAUACAGAAAGCACAUUUUAUGUUAUAAUCCCCUUUUCCUUUAAUCCAGUCAUGUUCACAAUCUACUUGGUUCACCAUGUCGAUCUUUAAACCAACUAGUUCAUCAAUUAGGUUUAUUUCAUCAUCACUGGAUUCAUAUUCUGGAGUCUCAUUUUUCUACUUCAUAUGUCUCUGUGAUUGAAUAUAUUGACUUGUCGUCUUUUAUUUCAUCAUCACAUACUAAUAUAUUCUCAUUAACACUAUCUAUUAUUAAUACUCUCUCUUGCUCUUCAUAUUUGCUAGAGUACCUUUUGUGGUCUUUAUUAGGACAAGUCCUACUUAGGUGAUCAGGAGAGUUACAUAUGAAACACCUGCAUGUUUUAUCAUAUGAUUUCUUAGGAUUAUAUCUUCUUACAUUUCUUUUAUGUAAGAAUGGGGCUCUAUUAUCUGGCCUUCUUAAGAAAUAUCUUUUCUUUGUUCUAAAAUUUCUGUUAUCUCUCCUUUGUGGUUUAUAAUAUAUUUUUUCCUAUACCUUUCUUCUCCAUAUGUAAACAGUAUUUGGACAAUGUUAUUGCAGAAAUUGUAAUCUGACUUGUUCAUAGACCUUGGGCUUGGAUGCCUGUACAUACCUUUUUUAAUUGUUUAAAAACAAAUGUUAUGGCUUGGGAUAUAUUGACCACGUUUCCGGCCGGUUCUUUUUUAUAUUCUUCAAAUAUUAUGGAUCCUAAAGGGUCCAACAACUUAUUAAAAUAUCUUUCUACUACACCUACAUUAAACCCUUGCUUUGAAGUGGUAGCAUUAUGUAAAUAAUGCUGAGAGAAUUCUUUUAUUCCUUUCCAGCUAGUUAAUGUUAGUUUUUCUAUUUCUCUCAACCUUUCGUUUUGCAGUUAGGUAUGUCCUAAUUCUGGAUCUUCUGCGAUGAUCAUAAUUGAAAUAACAUUUGCAAAGUUAUUAGGGUUACUUCCGGCCCUUUUUAAUUCUUCAUAUUGAUUAGGAUAUGUCUCUACCAAUUGUUCCCAUAGAACUUUUACAGAUUCUCCUAAAAAUGUAUCAAGAUAUGUUAACAUAUCUUCUACCUUAGUACCUAUAUUAUACUGGUUUUGUAUAUUUUUUUGAACUAUUAAACCUUUCCAUAUGUUGAUUAUAUUCGGCAAAUCUAUCGGGUCAUGAGCUGCUAGGUUUAAAAUAGCGCCAUCAUUCUUAUAAUUUUGAAAUUGCAUUGGCUUUUCAAAAUCUCUUCUUUUAGCACCCAUAUAUCAAUACUGUCCAGGGAUAUAGGUAGGUUGAUAAUCAUCUUUUUCUGGAGGCCAUUGUCCAGCAGAUCUGGUAGGCCUCUCUCUCUCUCUCUCUCCUUCUCUUUUUACCGAAGACUCGCCAUAUCCCUUUCUUCUUUUAUUACUACUUUAUACUUCCAUAGCUUCCAUUGCAUUAUCUAAAUUUUGUAGCCCCACAUCAUCUAGCGAGUUAUAAAAAUCACUACUUUGCUCCGAAUCAUUAUAAUUUUCAUCUUCUAACCAAAUUUCCUUUAUUAAUUCUUCUUCCUCCUCAUAACUUUCUAGUAGUAACUUAUUAUUUGUAUCCCAUUGCUCUUCUUCAGUAACAACUUCUUCUUUUUGAGCAAUAUUCUUAUCUCUAUUACUAUUAUUAAUGAUAGAAUUAUUAUUAAUACUGGCAUGUUCUCCACUUUCAAUUGAUGAUAUAUUUGUAUUUGGCAUAGUUGAACUACUAGUUGCUAAACUUUUCUCAUUUUUUAGUUUUUUUAACCUUGCAAUUUCUCUAAUUAUAAACAAUUCUCUUUCUCUUAUCUUAGGACAAUCCUUUGUCAUAGAAUUUUUAUAUUCCCAAUCUAUAUGCUUUAACUUAUUUUCCCAGUGAAUUAUUUCAUCAUCUAAAUUAGUUUUUUCCAUGUAUUCGGUUACACCUUUAUUUUUAUCAUCACUAGGUUCUGAUUAUGACAUAAAAGAUUCCGCGUCUUCUAUUGAUGCAGAUUUAUAGUUCAUAAAUAUAAUGCUACUACUUCCUUCACAAUUUUGAUAACUUAUGUAAUCUUCAGGUUGCUUUAAUUCUUUCUUCUCUAUUAAGUCUCAAAUCUUCCAUUCUUCUCCCGCUCUUUCUUCAGAAGCAAUUUUAAGUGGAUUCAUAAAUUUAAUACCCUGUGAUUGCAUACCAUUGAUACGUCUCCAACGUAUCUAUAAUUUUUUAUGGUUCCAUGAUAUUAUCUUGUCAUCUUUGGAUGUUGUGUAUGCAUGAAUAUGAUGUUUUAUAUCUUUUUGGGACUAACCUAUUACCUCAGUGCCAGGUGCCAGUUCCUAUUUUUUUCCGUGUUUUUGAACCUUUUCAGAGAAGAAUACUAAACGGAGUCCAAACAGAAUAAAACCUUCGGAAAGAUUUUCUCCGUAAUAGAAGAUACACACGAAACUUGAGAACCAAGGAAAAGGACUCCGGGUGAGGCCACAAGCCCCCUAGCCGCGUCCUGGGGGGCGCGCCUACCAGGCUUGUGGGCCCCCCGUGGCUCCUUUACCCUACUUCUUCCGCCUAUAAAUUCCCUAAAAAUCCAAAACUGCCCCAGAGAGCCACGAAAAUACUUUUCCGCCGCCGCAAGCUUCUGUCUCCCCAAGAUCCCAUCUGGGGCACGUUCUGGUGCCCUGCCGGAGGGGGGAUUCCGACACGAAGGGCUUCUCCAUCAACACCAUUACCUCUCCGAUGAUGCAUGAGUAGUUCACCACAGACCUUCGGGUCCAUAGCUAGUAGCUAGAUGGCUUCUUCUCUCUUGGAUCUUCAAUACAAAGUUCUCCAUGAUCUUCAUGGAGAUCUAUCCGAUGUAAUCUUCUUUUGCGGUGUGUUUGUCGAGAUCCGAUGAAUUGUGGAUUUAUGACCAGAUUAUCUAUGUAUGUUAUUUGAGUUUCCUCUGAUCUCUUAUAUGCAUGAUUUCGUAUCCUUGUAAUUCUCUUCGAGUUGUGNNNNNNNNNNGCCUAUAAAUUCCCUAAAAUCCAAAACUGGCAGAGAGAGCCACGAAAAUACUUUUCCGCUGCCGCAAGCUUCUGUUUCCGCAAGAUACCAUCUGGGGCACAUUCUGGUGCCCUGCCGGAGGGGGAAUUCAUACACGGAGGGCUUCUUUAUCAACACCAUUGCCUCUCUGAUGAUGCGUGAGUAGUUCACCACAGACCUUCGGGUCCAUAGCUAGUAGCUAGAUGGAUUCUUCUCUCUCUUGGAUCUUCAAUACAAAGUUCUCCAUGAUCUUCAUGGAGAUCUAUCCGAUGUAACCUUCUUUUGCUGUGUGUUUGUCGAGAUCCGAUGAAUUGUGUAUUUAUGAUCAGAUUAUCUAUGAAUGUUAUUUGAGUUUCCUCUGGUCUCUUAUAUGCAUGAUUUCGUAUCCUUGUAAUUCUCUUCGAGUUGUGGGUUUCGUUUGGCCACCUUGAUCUAUAAUUCUUGCAAUGGGAGAAGUCCUUGGUUUGGGGUUCAUACCGUGCGGUGUCCUCACCCAGUGACAUAAGGGGUAGCGAGGCAUGCAUCAUGUUGUUUCCAUCAAGGGUAAAAAGAUGGGGUUUAUAUCUGUUGCAUGAAUUUAUCCCUCUACAUCAUNNNNNNNNNNNNNNNNNNNNNNNNNNNNNNNNNNNNNNNNNNNNNNNNNNNNNNNNNNNNNNNNNNNNNNNNNNNNNNNNNNNNNNNNNNNNNNNNNNNNUUAUUCACCACAUGAUAUGUGUUUUGCUUGGAGCGUCGUGUAUUAUAGGAGUCUUUUCUUUUUGUUGUGUCACAAUCAUCCUAGCUGCACACCUUUUGAGAGAGACAUGCACUCAUCGUGAAUUUGCUAGAAUACUCAUUGAGCUUCACUUAUAUAUUUUGAGUUAGGCAAUUUAGCUCGCAUGUGCUUCACUUGUAUCUUUUGAGCUAGAUAACUUUGCUCUAGUGCUUCACUUAGCUCUUUUUAGAGCACGGCGGUGUCAUAUUUUGGAGAAAUAAAAACUCUUGAUCUUCACUUGUAUAUUUUUGAGAGUGCUCUCUCUAAGUAACUUGGUAAUUGGCGUGUGCUAUGAAAUUAGUCCUAAAUAUGAUAGGCAUCCAAAGAGGAUAUGAUAAAAACUUCCAUAUUCAUGUGCAUUGAUUAGUAAAGAGAAGUUUGAUUUCUCUCAGUUAGUUUUGACAUAUGGAUUUGGUGAUAUUAUAGUUAUGUUUGUAGGGUGUCGUGAAUCUAGAAAUACUUGUGUUGAAGUUAGUGAUUCCCGUAGCAUGCACGUAUGGUGAACCGCUAUGUUAGGAAGUCGGAGCACAAUUGAUUUGUUGAUUGUCAUCCUUUGUGUGGAGGUCCGGAUCUCGCGAUGGUUAACACCUACCAACCCUUCCCCUAGGAGUAUGCGUUUAGCACUUUGUUUCGAUUACUAAUAAAACUUCCGCAAUAAGUAUAUGAGUUCUUCAUGACUAAUGUGAGUCCAUGGUAUAGAUGCACUUUCACCUUCCAUCAUUGCUAGCUUCUCUAGUGCCGCGCAACUUUCGCCGGUGCACAAACCCACCAUAUACCUUCCUCAAAACAGCCACCAUACCUACCUAUUAUGGCCUUUUCAUAGCCAUUCCGAGAUAUAUUGCCAUGCAACUCCCACCGUUCCAUCUCAUGACUUGUGCCGUCACCUUCAUAUUGCCAUUGCAUGAUCAUAAGAUAGCUAGCGAGAUGUUUCAACGUCAUAUGCUAAGCUAGAUCGUUGCACAUCCCGGUACACUGCCGGAGGCAUUUCCUAUAGAGUCAUCAUUGCUAUAAGUGUUGAGUUGUAAGUAAAUAAAAGUGUGAUGAUCAUCACUAUUAGAGCAUUGUCCCAUGUGAGGAAAAAAAGGCCAAAGAUGCUCACAAAAAAUGAAAAGAGGACGAAGAGCCCAAACAAUAACAUAAAAUAAAAAAAAGAGAGAGGAAAAGAGAGAAGGGACAAUGCUACUAUCUUUUUCCACACUUGUGCUUCAAAAUAGUACCAUGUUCUUCAUGAUUGAGAGUCUCUUGUUUUGACACUUCCAUAUACUAGUGGGAAUUUUCAUUAUAUAACUUGGCUUGUAUAUUCCAAUGAUGGGCUUCCUCAAAAUUUCCCUAGAUCUUCGUGAGCAAGCAAGUUGGGUGCACACCCACUAGUUCUUCUUUUGAGCUUUCACACACUUAUAGCUCUAAGUGCAUCUGUUGCAUGGUAAUCCCUACUCAUUCACAUUGAUAUCUAUUGAUGGGCAUCUCCAUAGCCCAUUGAUACGCCGAGUCGAUGUGACCAUCUCCUCCUUUUUGCCUCACAACCUCCACCACACUCUAUUCCACCUAUNNNNNNNNNNNNNNNNNNNNNNNNNNNNNNNNNNNNNNNNNNNNNNNNNNNNNNNNNNNNNNNNNNNNNNNNNNNNNNNNNNNNNNNNNNNNNNNNNNNNCCAGGUCGCCUGCUUGGAACGUGCGGCUCCUGACGUGCCGCUCGUGAAAUCGUCGCAGAUCUUGUUGAUAAAUCGUUGAACAAAUCAGUGCCAUCUCGCGCUCUUCUUCUAGAAGAUCUGCUCCGUCUUGCCUGGCUUGCUCUGCUUCGGCUUCGGAGAAGAGUUCGACUCGUGGGGAGUUGUGAAGCAAGUCGCUCUGAAGGACUGCCUCUGCUCCAUAAACGAGGAAGAACGGGGAUCGCCCUGUAGAUCUAUUCGGAGUUGUGCGGAGGCCCCACAGCACCGAAGGCAGCUCGGUGACCCAUGCGCCGGCGGCAUGUCCAACUUCUCGCAGGAGUCAAGGUUUCAACCCUUGAAGGAUAAGUCCAUUCGCCCGCUCUGCUUGCCCGUUUGUUUGGGGGUGCGCCACGGAUGCAAAAUCCACUCGGAUACCUUGGCCUGUGCAAAAACAUUUGAAUCUAUCCGAGUCAAAGUUUGUGCCAUUGUCGGUGAUUAUGCUGUGCGGAACCCCGAAUCUGGCGAUGAUGUCUCUGAUAAAUUUGAUGGCUGUAAGGGCGUCGAGCUUCUUGAUGGGCUUGGCUUCAAUCCACUUGGUAAACUUGUCGACUGCUACCAGCAGAUGAGUGAAUCCUCCUUGGCCUGUUCUGAAUGGUCUGACUGUAUCUAAUCCCCACACGGCGAAUGGCCAAACAAGAGGAAUUGUCUUCAGCGCAGACGUUGGCUUGUGGGACUUGUUCGAAUAGAACUGACAGCCUUCGCAUCGGUCGACCAUAUCUUUUGCCAUUUCAUUCACCUAUAACCAGAACAAACCAGCUCUGAAUGCUUUGGCGACGAUUGCUCUUGAGGAGGCAUGAUGACCGCAGGUCCCCGAGUGAAUUUCUUCCAAGAUUAGCUGUCCCUCCUCAGGGGAGAUACACCGCUGGAGGACGCCUGAAAUACUUUCCCUGUACAACUGGCCAUCAAUGACGGUGAAGGACUUCGACCUGCGGACGAUCUGCCUAGCUUGGACUUCGUCUUCUGGUAACUCUUGUCUCAUGAUGUACGCAAUGAACAACACAGUCCACUCGGGGAUGACAGCAAGAAUCUCCAUGAUCAAAUCCACCACAGCGGGGACCUCGACUUCAGUCGGAUCUGUAGAGAUCUUUGGUUGUACUGGCUCCUCUGUAAAAGGAUCUUCCUUCACCGAGGGGAGGUGUAGGUGCUCGAGGCAGACAUCACUCGGGACUGGUCUCCGAGUGGAUCCAAGUUUUGCUAAUUCAUCUGCUGCUUGGUUUUUCAGUCGGGGAACAUGGUGAAGUUCCAGACCUUCAAACUUCUUCUCAAGAUUCCUUACUGCGUUGCAGUAUGCAAUCAUGGUGGGCUUCCUUACAUCCCAUUCCUUCAUCACUUGAUUAACCACCAGAUCUGAGUUGCCAUAGACCAUUAGGCGACGGACGCCGAGUAUGACGGCCAUGCGCAACCCGUAAAGGAGAUCUUCGUACUCUGCUUCGUUGUUGGAAGAAUCAAAAUGUAUCUGCAACACAUACUUGAGUUUAUCGCCUUUUGGGGAUAUGAUCACUACGCCGGCGCCGGAGCCAUUCAACAUCUUGGACCCAUCGAAGAACAUGGUCCAAUGGGCCGAGUAGAUGUGAGUCGGUUGCUGUUGUUCUACCCAUUCUGCUAUGAAGUCAGCCAGAGCUUGAGACUUUAUAGCUUUCUUGGCUUCGAACUUGAUGACACAGUAUAGCAUCUCCAUCGCCCACUUUGCCACUCGGCCUGAUGCGUCCCGAUUGUGGAGAAUUUCCGACAACGGAGCAUCAGAUAUGACAGACACCGAGUGGUCUUGGAAAUAAUGAGCCACCUUCUUUGCAGUCAUGUAGAUCCCAUAAAUAAGCUUCUGAUAAUGGGGAUACCUCUGCUUGGAAGGAGUCAGGACUUCAGACACAUAAUAUACUGGCCGUUGAACCUUGUACGCUUUGCCUUCUUCGCGUUCGACUGUCAGAACGGUGCUGACGACUUGAUUUGUAGCCGCGAUGUACAGAAGAAGGGGUUCUUUACUGAGCGGGGCAGUAAGAACCGGCUGGGUGGAAAGCAGGGCUUUGAGGUCGUCGAAUGCAAUUUGGGCUUCGUCUGUCCACUCGAAAGUAUCUGAUUUCUUCAUGAGUCGNNNNNNNNNNNNNNNNNNNNNNNNNNNNNNNNNNNNNNNNNNNNNNNNNNNNNNNNNNNNNNNNNNNNNNNNNNNNNNNNNNNNNNNNNNNNNNNNNNNNACUAGAUCUAUGAUUCUUGCAAUGGGAGAAGUGCUUGGUUUUGGGUUCUGCCAUGUGGUGACCUUUCCCAGUGACAGUAGGGGCAGCAAGGCACACAUCAAGCAAUUGCCAUCAAGGGUAAAAAGAUGGGGUUUUAUCAUUGGUUUGAGAUUAUCCCUCUACAUCAUGUCAUCUUGCUUAAGGCGUUACUCUGUUCUUAUGGACUUAAUCACUAGAUGCAUGCUGGAUAGCGGUCGACGUGUGGAGUAAUAGUAGUAGAUGCAGACAGUAUCGGUCUACUUGUUUUGGACGUGAUGCCUAUAGAAAUAAUCAUUGCAUAGAUAUCGUCACGACUCUGCACAGUUCUAUCAAUUGCUCGACAGUAAUUUGUUCACCCACCGUCUACUUGCUUUCAUGAGAGAAGCCACUAGUAAACAGUAUGGCCCCCGGGUCUAUUAACAUCCAUCGUUUACAACUUUGCUUUUACUUUGCUUUGUUACUUUGUUGCUUUCAGUUCUCACUUGGCGAACAAUCUAUAAGGGAUUGACAACCCCUUCAUAGUGUUGGGUGCAAGCUUUUUGUGUUUGUGCAGGAUCUUGAGAUACUCUUCCGCCGGAUUGAUACCUUGGUUCUCAAACUGAGUGAAAUACUUACCACCGCUACGCCACAUCACCCUUCCCGCUUCGAGGGAACACCAACGCAAGGCUCCAAGGCCACGGGGGAAAUCCUUUGCAUACUUGCCUAGGAAGUCCCUUAAGGAGUAGCCGCAGUAGAAAUAUCAAGCCAAGUAUUCUCCCGUCGACGUGCCUAUUUCUGGCGCCAUUUCCAGGGAUAAACAGCAAACAUCAGAAGUAUUUAUGGCACCGUUGGAAGGUCUUUUGUUGCAGUAGCAACGCCCUCCUUCGACCUAUAUUUACCCCUCCGAUCGGAAACCCUUCCAUCAUAUCCAAAAUCGUGAAUUUCCCCAUCGCUCCGUUGCCGCAGUGCUACCGAGAUCGGGAGCGUAGGAGACCACUUCCCGGCACCCUGUCGGAGGGAGGAUUGACCUCCCGGAGCUUCUCCACCUCCAUGCAUGCUUCCCGGACGUGCCGUGAGUAGUCCUCCUUGGACCAUGAGUCCAUGACUAGUAGCUAUGUGAUGUCUUCUCUCCAAUCUUGUGCUUCCAUGAUUAGCCCUUGUGAGCUGCCCUACAUGAUCAAGGCAUCUAUGUAAUUUUCUUGCUAUUGCAAUGAUCGGUUUGCUGGGAUCCGAUGGAUUAUGAGAUUAUGUUCAGAUUGUUAUGAGUUAUAUAUUUAACNNNNNNNNNNCAUUAUGUUCUUUAGUGAUUCAUGCAUGUUCUCCAUUGCCUUUUAUUUCUUUGGCCGAGUAGUAGAUUGUAACUCCAAGAGGAAGCGUUAUGCAUGAUUGUGGGUUCAUGCCCCCUGAUGUCUAGCUUGAGUGACAGAAACAUGAGACUAGGAGAUGUGCUGUUGCCACCAGGGAUAAAACAAUGGUGCUUGUGACCAUGGUUGCAAGGAUUGUUUACCUUACGCAUAGUUCGUUAAUGUAGUUAUCCGUUGCUUUGAGUUUACAUUUUGGAUGGGGCUCGCAACUUAAUACCAGCGAGAUGUUCUGGAUAGAUAACUCAAGGUCGAUGAUUAGUAAGUAGAUGCUGUUGGAUAAACGGUCUACUUGUCUUGGCGUACUGCCCAUUACUAUUGAGCCUCUAACUUUUAAGUAGCAUAAUUAGCAUUGCGGUGCGUUCAUAAUUCUGUCAAUUGUCCAACUGUAAUUUGUUUACCCAAGCAUAGUUGUUUAUCGUCUUUUGGGAGAGAGACAUCACUAGUGAACAUCAUGUGACUCAGGUCCAUAUCACCACCAUUGCUUACACCUCCAUCAUUUUCUGCUUCCAUUUACUUGUCCGUUGCAAUCACUAUCACUAUUCCCACUUGUGUUUUGAUACUUUGCAAACUACAAGGCCGGAGAGAUUGACAACCUCUCUGUACUCGUUGGGAGCAAAAUUAUUUGUUGUGUGUGUAGGUCCAUGUCUUCUGCUAGCGCCAGAGCAGUGGACACCUUCUUGUUGAUCCUCGGAGUCCUCCUGGUNNNNNNNNNNUUCCGUUGCAAUCACUAUCACUAUUCUCGCUUGUGUUUUGAUCCUUUGCAAAUACAAGACCGAAGAGAUUGACAAUAUCUCUGUACUCAUCUGGAGCAAAGUUAUUUGUUGUGUGUGUAGGUCCACGUCUUCUGCUAGCGCCAGAGCAGCGAACACCUUUUUUUUGAUCCUCGGUGUCCUCCUAGUUCGAUAAACCUUGCAGUCUCCGUGUAAGGGAAACUUGCUGCUGACUACAUCUCCACCUGCCACUUGGGGUAACCAAUGAGGGGCGAGAAGUAUAUCCAUCAACUCGUCAUCACCACGCCCUCGUGUUGCCGGAGAAUUCAGCUACCUCUUCGUCUCUCUUGCUGGAUCAAGAAGGCGGAGAUAGUCAUCGAGUUGUACGUGUGCUGAACGCGGAUGUGUCGUCCGUUCAGUACUUCAUUGGGACGGAGUUCGUGGGAUGGAUCGUGAUUGGAUCGCAAAGACGUUCGACUACAUCAAUUGUGUUUCUUAAUGCUUCCCGCUUAGCUAUCUACAAGGGUAUGUGGAUCCGAUCUCCCCUCUUGUAGAAGAUCAUCACCAUGGUAGGUCUUUCGUGUGUGUGGAUUUUUUUGUUUCCCAUGCAACGUUUCCUAGCAUCAGGUUCUUGCCGGAUCGGAGCAAUAGUCCGGGCCGUGUUACAAACCGGGACUAAUGAGAGCAUUAGUCCCAAUUCGAGCGACGGGGACGCCGGACGGGGCUCGGCAGACAUCAGUCCCGAUUCGGAUGGGACAUUUAAUCCCGGUUGGAGACACCAAACGGGACUAAAGUAGUUUGGCAGGUCCCACACCCUUUAGUCCUGGUUGGUGUCUCCAACUGGGACUAAAUGUCCGUCUUGAGUCCCGGUUUUAUAUCCCAACCAGGACUAAAAGUUUUCCUAUAUAUACCCUCGCUCAUGCGUGCCCUCUCCUCUGUUUUUUCCUCAAAGAAGGUGGGAGAUGUGUACUAGUUUGUUUUCCUUCCCUAUGCACAAGAGGUGUUCGAUGAAAUACUUGAGAGCAUGAUGGCAUUCAUGUGAGAUGCUCGAGCCACACUUAAGCCUUCUCCUCUUUCUUAUCCUUUGUUCUUCCUCCAAGCUCUCGUCCCCGUCGUCACCGCCAUCGUUCGCCUGUGCCGAUCUCGUCACCGACACCACCGUGGUGAGCCUCUUGUUGUUAUAUCUUCUUUAAAAAAAAUCUUACUUGUAUGAUUUAGAUAUAGUUACUUGUAUAAUUUUUUACUUGUAUUAUUGCUUGUUAUUAUAUAGUGCAACGGUUUUGAUAUUCGCCCCCGUCGGUUCUUGUCUGGUCUAUGAUUCGGAUGUGGUAUAUUAUAUUUCAUAACUAUUUGUUUCAUUUAAUUUUUAUAACAAUUAUGCCGACCAACUUGACAUGGAUAUUUUUACAUAGGGGUUAUGUGAACCGGAAAUUCCAACCGACCCUCUUGUCGAGAUGUUAAAUUUAGUUGAAAAACAAAACAAUUAUUUAAAAGAAAAAAUUGAAAAGAACUGAAGAAGAGAAGAUGAAAUUGGAGUUGCAUGUUGUCGAUGUCGUCGAUCUACACAAGAUCCAGAUGGAUGCAAUGCGCUUGAAGAUUAGAAAGAUUAGAAAAUAUGUCAUUGAUAAAUAGGCUUGGUAUCAUUAUGUUGUUGGAUCAAUUGUUAUCUUAGUUGCGAUUUUGCUUGCAUUCGUUGUUGCAUUUUGAUAUUUUACAUAGUUGUAUGUUAGUUUUAAUGUAUGUUUUAGAUUCUCUAGAUAGUUGUAUGUUGUUUUAUGAAAACCAUGUAUGAAAUUUAUGUAUGUAUUUUUGCAGUAAUAACAUUUGAUCACUACUGUACUUUGGUUUUAGUGUGAUCAACUUGUAUUAGUUUGUUCAUUUCUCUGUUCAUGAUGUUUUGGAAUGGUUGCCUAUGUAACUCUAUCAAACCCUAGAGAUGGGCAGAAUUGGUUUUGGCAUACUUUGACCAAGCUAAUUUGUUCUCCUUGAUGCACCACUUGGCCUAGAUUAAUAUUUAGACCAUGUUAGCAGGUGUAUCAAGUUUGAGCUCAUUUGGAUAUGUUUAGCAAUGUAAAGUUUCUGAAACUAGAAAAUGGACAUAGGUGGUUUUGAGGGAAUUUGAUGGUGUUAUCUUGUCCUCCAACACAUUAGACUUGGCAAGAUCAUCAAAUAUGGCAUUUGUGAUAUGCUAGAAUUUUCUUGGAAUUUAUGGUCAAUAUUUCCUUUGUAAAUAUUUCAAAAGCUUGACAUGUCCAGAAAUGGUAAUUGAGUGUUUUGACCAAUAUUUUGAGCUAUGUAAGAGAGAGAGUUACUGGAGGUAGAACUAAUAUGACUAGGGUGAGCUCUGAUAAAAAAUUGAGCUAAACACUACACCACAACAUUGAUGUGAGGACAAUAAAACUGCUGGGAGAAGUCUCUUUAAAGGGCAGAUAUACUAUAGGGGUAGUGGUUCUCCCGAUAGGUAGAACUGCCACGAGAAUGGCUAUCGGGGAUUACUUCUCCCGGCAGAUAGAUUUCUCCUCGCAGUUUUCCUAACGGGACCUACAUAUUUGCUCGCAUAUAGUUUUCUCUUGGAAGAUUCGUUGGGGCAAAGGAAUUUCAAUUACUGGUAGUGCAACUGCCGGUACAAAUAUGUUGACAUGGCAGUUUAUAUGCCAUCACAUUGAUUUCACCAGAAAUUUGGACAACAUAUAUGUAUAAUUUAAUAACAAUUCACAAUGUCUAAUUUAAUAUCCGUUCACAAUAUUUUAGGCAAUCAGGACAUAUCACACAAUUUAUGCAUACACUUUAAUGAGAGUUACAUAUAUGCCUCAUGGAAAACCUUAAUCUGCAUCCGAUAAACGUAACUAGCAAAUAUAACAAGUACAUAUAUAUGUUUAUGGAUGUGCCACAUAACCAAAAUGAAGUUGUGCCACAAAAGGGGAAGCGGUCAUACAGUGGAUGUUACAAAAUGGGCAAAGCUAGUCUCCAGGUUCAAAAACAAACAUAUUACAUUAUCAUGCCAGCACUGAAAAUUGAAGGUUGUCCACAUCUUCGAAAUCUCCAACUUGUUGUGUAUCUUUGGGAAACCUGCAACGGACCGAAAACUGAAAAUGAAGCUCUUGUUUCAGAUUUGAAAUGAACACAUUAAAUAUUAUGACAUAGCAAGGAAUACUACAUAAUUAUAUCAAACAAGAAUUAGUUCACCCGCACAUUCAAAAAUCUUCCAUGGGCAAAUAUAUACGGCUGUCGUGGGUAUAAGCCUGACAGUAGAUGUGUAGGGUACGAAAAGGAUGGGCAGAGCCUUAGCUACGGUGAGGUUGUAUGAGUUCAGGCCCCUUAGCUACGGCGAAUAAAUGCCUACAUUAUAGGUAACGUACGUCUUAAAUGCUAAUAAAGAUGUGUGGAAACGUAUGAACGUUUCCCCCCAGGGGGGUUACGAUGCACAUAGUGGAAUCCAGUCGGUUAGUUUGAUACGCUCCGAAUCCUCGUCUCCGACUGGAUGAUUGAAGAUCUAUCACCGACUGGAUGAUGGGAACAUCUUAGUUCAGUCGGAACUGACUAAGGGCCUUGUCCCUUAUGAAGGGUAGUCCUUGGGUAGGACCUACAGGGCACGCCUAUGACCCUACCUAUGACAGCCCGAUGCCGACGUUCCAGAAGAUUUCCCUUUUUCUUUCCGUUUCCGUCGUGUGUCUAUUUUUAUUUGUCGCGUCAUCAUCGCAUCAUGCACAUCAUCUGCAUUGCAUCGGCAUCUCCGUUGCCGCCAGUUUUCAAACUUGCAUCCGUUAGUAGUUGCCGGUUCGCGUCAUUGUCCGUUCUGAGCCGACCGCACACGCACGCGUCUGCGGCACAAUCGAAACCCUGUUUUAAAAGUUUGCGUAAAACUUUCUUCGAUUGAGCUGGAAUUUGUCGUGCGGUAUUAUUUAUUUAUAGCUAGGCAGCGUGUCGAAUUUCGUCGCGAUCGGAGACCGUCUGGUACCCGAACGGUCGANNNNNNNNNNNNNNNNNNNNNNNNNNNNNNNNNNNNNNNNNNNNNNNNNNNNNNNNNNNNNNNNNNNNNNNNNNNNNNNNNNNNNNNNNNNNNNNNNNNNACAGCUCCAAAGACGCUGUAAAACAGUGUGUGCGUUAAAAACUUUUGAGCACACGCUUAAAAACGCUAUCGCGCGCAGCAUAUUUGAUGCGUUGGCUUGCGCACACAGCAAACUCUGAGCUGCUACAGGUGGAGCCGCUGGACCGGGCUGGAUUGGGCGCCGCAGUAGCGCUCGUAUGUUGGAGAUGCUCUGGUUCUCACGCUUUAAAAGUACUACAGUGGCGCGCUAAAAAAAAAAUUGUGCGCAGAUUUUUUGCGCUGCGGUUGGAGAUGCUCUAAAGGAGUAUAUUGUAUGUGUGAGCAAGCAUCAUAGUUCGAUGUGAUGAACCAUGGCUGAAGGGCCUAGGGCACUAUGGAUGUCUUGGAUCCAAGCUCGGAGAUGUAGCCCAUCAUGGACAGUGCGUAUAUUGCGGCGUCGAUGAAAGACCGCCAUCGCGUAGAUAAGAGCAAUCCCCAACAGAUGCGCAACGGCACGACACGCUAAAAUACUUUUACAAUGCUGAAAUUGUUUUUUUAGCACGUGGUAUGGCGCCUGCUCCAGCAGACGCUGCAAAAAAAAACACGGCGAAAUCGCUGGAGCAAGGAGUGCGAAAAGCGGCACGCGCAAGCAACAAGAUGCCUAUCUGCCGGCGCGCGUGAACCGCAGGACACUAUGAUUUUUUCAAACACUAAAAAGUUUGCAUUCGAGCAACAUAGCUUAGUUCAAUUGCAUGACAUAGUUCAAAAUCAUCCAACACCCAUAGUUGACACCCCUCACCAUCCUCAUCCACCUCAUACUCAUAAUCAUCUCCAUGCAGUUCAUUGGUUUGGGACCAAUGAGAAGCCAACACCCAUAAUUGACAUAUAUAUGUCAUUACCGAAACUAAAAAGUAUGUAGAGGAAAACUUAGCUAUCCAUAUGUAUCCAUUUAUGUUAAAAACAACAACAAAAAAGGAGGGCGAAAUCACACCUUGUGAGCAUUUCAUCAAACACCUUGUCCGCGGCAGGAGCCGGCACAACAAAUGACGAGCUCUCCGGUGCUCACGGGGUCGAACGCCCAGCAAGUUUCUUCUUCGGCCACCUAGUAGCGCAGUUCGUUGCAUUCUUUUUUCAAGAGGGAGGCGGCGCGACGCCUCCCAGCACUGUCGUCCUUGGCGCCAUGAACAAGCCGCGCACAAGGCCGCUGCUAGGAGAAGGGGCACCGACGGAGAGGUCACAGCUCAACCCCGCGCUAGGGUUAGCANNNNNNNNNNNNNNNNNNNNNNNNNNNNNNNNNNNNNNNNNNNNNNNNNNNNNNNNNNNNNNNNNNNNNNNNNNNNNNNNNNNNNNNNNNNNNNNNNNNNUGAGCAAGCCGCGGAGCCUGUUCUUGAGGCUGCCCCGCCAGUCACUGCUCUCGCCGUAGACGUGCUGCCGACUGAGGCAAUGCCGCCGACUGAAAUGGCGCUGGUGGCUGAUGAACCGACUAGAGCGGGUCUUGGGAUGCCCCAGGAACUUCCAACGAUGCCAGGCUCGUCGAAUGUUGAGUUCAACAUCUAGCGUCUCCCGGAGGAGCUGGUGGGAGCGGCCAAGGGGGCCAUGGUGCAGGCGGAGCUGAUGGCGGGAGAAGCCAAGAAGGCAUACGACUCCAUCGCAUCCCUGUACCAGCGGAGCUUGGAGCUACGGGAUGAUAUCCGAGUAAGUGGGCUAGUAAGUAUUUACUUUUCUCUUGUAACCCACUGGGUGUUCUCGGAUACCGUAUGACGUUUGCAAUGGGUUCACUCUGAGUGAACCCAGUGGGUGUAGUCACCGAGACUUCUGUCGAGUGCUUGCACCGGCAGUUGUCUUUAUACAUAUUGCUUUGGUCAGAUCUAUAAAUAAUAUGGUCGACUGCGAACAGUUGUGGCAGUCGGGGUGCACUUACCGUAAGAGUCCCCGAGAGUAACUUUACUCAGGUCGGGUAGUAUUAGCCUCGUAGGCGUAGGUGGUAACAUGUAUCUCAAUAGGGCGGGCCUGCUUGAGUUGUAUGCCAGUGGGGUCACUCUCAGUGAACCCACUGGGUGUAGUCCCCGAGACCGGUGUCGACUGCUUGCGUCGGCAGGGGUCUGAAGAACUUAGACUUUUAUUGUUGAAUUGUCUGAUUAUCUCUUGGUGCUGGCUGGCAGAAAACUUGUGAAAUGGGGACAUCAUAUGAGACUCUCAGGGCGGAGAAGAAUCAUUUUGCUGGUGAGCUUGAUGCGGCGCUGCUUGCAAUGGCUGGUAUGAAGGAGGUUCUGGCGGAACGAGAGAAGUCAUUGGAGCAGGCUCGUGAAGCGAACAAAGUGCUGACUGAGGAAGUUGAGAAGAUGGGGAUACAGAGGACUGCUCUGAUGGGACAAAUGGACGUGCUGAACAAAUGGUGCAUAGCUCAGGNNNNNNNNNNNNNNNNNNNNNNNNNNNNNNNNNNNNNNNNNNNNNNNNNNNNNNNNNNNNNNNNNNNNNNNNNNNNNNNNNNNNNNNNNNNNNNNNNNNNGGAGAAGGAGGAGGAGGAGAAGGACUAGAAGGUCCUUGGCCUUCUCCUUCUCCUCCUCCUCCUCCUCCUUCUCCUUCUUCUCUUCUUCUUAUUCUUCUUCUUCUUUCUUUUCAUUUUUCCUAUUUCUUCUCCUCUUCUCCUCUUGUUGGAGCUAAAUUACCUAAUUAUGUCUUUUUGGAGCUAAAUGGGUUAAUUAUCCCAUUUUAGAGGAAAACAAGCUAAGUAUAUAUAAUAUUCAUGAGCUAACCAAGGUUCCUAUGCCAUUUUGAGCUUAUUAUGGUAUUUGGGAGCUAAAUGGGCUAAUUAUGUCAUUUUUGGGGAAAUUAAAGCAAGGAUAAUAUGAAAGAGGAGAAGAAAGAGGGGGGGAGAAGAAGAAGAAGAAAUCAAGAAGAAGGAGGAGAAGGAGGAGGAGGAGAAGGACUAGAAGGUCCUUGGCCUUCUCCUUCUCCUCCUCCUCCUCCUCCUCCUUCUCCUUCUUCUCUUCUUCUUCUUCUUCUUCUUCUUUCUUUUCAUUUUUNNNNNNNNNNNNNNNNNNNNNNNNNNNNNNNNNNNNNNNNNNNNNNNNNNNNNNNNNNNNNNNNNNNNNNNNNNNNNNNNNNNNNNNNNNNNNNNNNNNNGUUCACCCACCGUCUACUUGCUUUCAUGAGAGAAGCCACUAGUAAACACUACGGCCCCCGGGUCUAUUCACACCUAUCAUUUCCACUUUUGCUUUUACUUUGCUUUGUUACUUUGUUGCUUUCAGUGAUCACUUGGCUAACAAUCUAUAAGGGAUUGACAACCCCUUCAUUGCGUUGGGAGCAAGCUUUUUGUGUGUGUGCAGGCUCUUGUGAUACUCCUUCACUGGAUCGAUACCUUGGUUCUCAAAACUGAGGAAAAUACUUACCACCGCUGCGCUACAUCACCCUUUCCACUUCGAGGGAACACCAACGCAAGGCUCCAAGGCCACGGGGGAAAUCCUUUGCAUAUUUGCCUAGGAAGUCCCUUAAGGCGUAGCCGUAGCAGAAGGAUUCCUGGCGCCGUCAACACACCUAUUUCUGGCGCCGUUGGAAGCUCUUUUGUUGCAGUAGCAAUACCGCAAAUAGGUAGGUAUGGUGGACUCUCAUGGAAAAACUUUUGGGUUNNNNNNNNNNNNNNNNNNNNNNNNNNNNNNNNNNNNNNNNNNNNNNNNNNNNNNNNNNNNNNNNNNNNNNNNNNNNNNNNNNNNNNNNNNNNNNNNNNNNCCGCGCCAGCGCCGAUGUGGCCCAGCUCCCCGUGUCAUGCCCCAGGCCGAGGCGCGCCCCCGGCCCAGCAGCGUCGAGGCCCAGUUCCUCCUCCCCUCCAGGCCGGCCGCAAGGCCCAAGGUGAGCAGCCCAAGUCUAUCCCCCGCCCUAGGCGCGUCUUAGCUAAGUUGCGCCCCAAUUCGGCCCGGUAGUAUUUUCUAUUUAGGUUUUUUUUCGAAUUGGUUGUAUUUCAGGAAAAUAGACGAAUAUUGUUUCGCCCGUAACUUUUAAUCUGUAUGUCGGAUCGCGAUGAUUUUUAUAUGCUUUUCGUGUAGAUUUUUGCGUAGAAUCCGAUUAUCCAACUUGCAUAAUUGUUUGACGUCGUUUGGCAUGCCGGAUGCCUAGAGUAACGUGCUGUUUUAAUAGGAUGCGCCCCGUAUUUCAUUUUCGCGCAUGUCCGGAUUGUUCGUAUGGCGUAUUAGAAAUGCCUAUGUUUUUAGGACCAUUAUUCCAGGUAUUUUAGAGUAGCCAUUGGUAUUUUUGCGCGUAGUGUUUUGCGGUAGUUUAUUUUCCCGUGUAUAGGUUAUUUUUUCCCGCAUUUACAUGUGGUAUUAUUUUGUUGUGCAACCCCACAUAUUUUAUAUGAUUCCGGGCUAGGAAAAUCCAUGGGAUUUUUCUGUGCAAUUAGUUUUAGCUUUUGAGUAAGUUAGUUCGCGAGAUAUUUUGCUAUGCUGCCCUUUCGAUUAAUUCGUAGGAUUUAUUCCGUGCGUCGUUUGAAGGAGUUGUCAACUAGAGAGUUGAUCUUGGAUGUUUUGUUUAGCCCCUGGAAUUUUUGGUUGCAAUAGAAAUGCAUGUUUAGGUAUGUUUUGCUUGCUCUCAAGUUGCUAGAAAUAGUGCUGUUUUAGACGUGCUGAAAUAUUUCUAAGUCUGGAAUCUGUUAUAUUUUGUUGCUGUCUUGUCUUGCUUGCAUCUUGUGAUCUGUAGCUCUUUUAAGGUUGGUCCAAUGGAGUUAGUUGAACCCUUGUGUUUCUCUAGUAUGCUGUUAAGUUUAUGCCAUUUGGAGACAUGUAGCUUAGGUUUUUGCUGCUGUCAAUAUUGCUUCAGAUCGAAAACUGCACUUUCAUAAGGUGUAAUUUUCACUAAGUCUGAAAUAGUGUGUGGGAAGCCAUUUUGUGACUUCUUUCCCUAANNNNNNNNNNGAGGUUGGUCCAAUGGAGUUAGUUGAACCCCUUGUGUUUCUCUAGCAUGCUGUUAAGUUUCAUGCCAUUUGGAGACAGGUAGCUUAGGUUUUUUCUGCUGUCAAUAUUGCUUCAGAUCGAGAACUGCACUUUCAUGAGGUGUAAUUUUCACCAAGUCUGAAAUAGUGUGUGGGAAGCCAUUUUGUGACUUCUUUCCCUAAUGUUCCUUGCUUCCGUGCUAGUUGUUGUUACUUGUUCGUAGUAGUGCUUCUUUCCCUCUUCCAUGCCAUGCCUUGCUUGAGCAUAUCGGAGUUGUGUAGCCGUAGUUGUGGGGCGUAGAAAAUGCUAUGUGGCUGAUUUUGGCAGAUGUUAGUGAUUUCUUGUUUUGCGCAUAGUUUUCGAACCGUAGCUCCGUUUUGAACAUGUCUUACAUGAAACUUGCUUAGAAUCUCGUGUAGUUUCAUUUUCUCUNNNNNNNNNNACAGAUGUUAGUGAUUUCUUGUUUUGCUCGUAGUUUUCGAACCGUAGCUCCGUUUUGAACGUGUCUUACAUGAAACUUGCUUAGAAUCUCGUGUAGUUUCAUUUUCUCUUGCUGUUAGUAUGUUUUGAAGUGCUCGUAGCCAUCGUUGCACACAUAUUAUAUUCAUGCCAUCAUAUCUUGCGGUGCUUGUAUCUUUUGAACCGUAGCUCCGUUGGAGAUGUUCUUUAUGUGUAGAUUGCUUGCCUUGACGCGUAGAAUCACCUGAACCUAUUUGUUUUGCUGUUUAACAACUAAUUAAAGGUGUUAAUUCAGAUCUGGACAGAAUUGUAAAUUAACACGUGAGGUCGUUUCGGAGGUGCUAUAUGUCAUUUCCGACCUCAUUUAAAAUGCCUAGAUAGGUAGAUUAAUUAUGUUUCACCUCUUGCCAUGUUUAACCAUAUUUAAUAUUGCCGUGUAACUAUUCGGGAUAGAACUAAAUAAUUAACGUGGAGUUUCGUCAAUAUGCAACUCGUUGCAUAUUGAACUUCACUUAAUGUGUAGUGUUUGAUUGUGUGAACUGUCAUGUCGGGACUUGCAUGUUUUCAGCUGCUCAUGCAUCAUUUGUUUUGUGCAUCAUGUGGUGAACUCCGUGUGUUGAUUUGUGUUUCCGGUUUGCUUCGUCCCGAUAGAGUUCCGCAAGCGUGUCGGAUGUGAGGACCCGUUCGACUACGUCGGUUCGUCUGCUUCACGGGGGCAUUCUACUUCCAAGCGGGAUCUCAGGAAAGAUGACCAUUUCCCCAGAUACCAUUACUAUCAUUGCCAUGCUAGUUNNNNNNNNNNGUUAAGCUUCACCUCUUGCCAUGUUUAACCAUAUUUAAUAUUCCCGUGUAACUAAUCGGGAUAGAACUAAAUAAUUGACGUGGAGUUUCGUCAAUAUGCAACUCGUUGCAUAUUGAACUUCACUUAAUGUGUAGUGUUUGAUUGUGUGAACUGUCAUGCCGUGACUUGCAUGUUUUCAGCUGCUCAUGCAUCAUUUGUGUUGUGCAUCGUGUGGUGAACUCCGUGUGUUGAUUUGUGUUUCCGGUUUGCUUCGUUUCGAGAGAGUUCCGCAAGCGUGUCGGAUGUGAGGACCCGUUCGACUACGUCGGUUCGUCUGCUUCACGGGGGCAUUCUUCUUCCAAGCGGGAUCUCAGGCAAGAUGACCAUUUCCCCAGAUACCAUUACUAUCAUUGCCAUGCUAGUUUACCGUUUCUAUCGAUUAUGUCUCGUUACCUACCACUUGUUAAAUAUCAACCUCUCAACAAUGCCAUGAUAACCUUCAACCUGUUCGACCUAGCAAACCACUGAUUGGCUAUGUUACUGCUUGCUUACCAUGUUGUUAGCGUUGCUAGUUGCAGGUGUAGAUGCUUCCAUGUGAAAACAUGGGUUCCUUGUCAUAUCACCAUAUUUAAUGCUAUUUAAUUUAAUGCACCUAUAUACCUGGUAAAAGAUGGAAGGCUCGACCUUUCUAGCCUGGUGUUUUGUUCCACCUUUGCCCCCUUAGUUUCGGCUACCGGNNNNNNNNNNNNNNNNNNNNNNNNNNNNNNNNNNNNNNNNNNNNNNNNNNNNNNNNNNNNNNNNNNNNNNNNNNNNNNNNNNNNNNNNNNNNNNNNNNNNUAACGCGUUUGCUGGAACGUUUAAAUUGGGUCUGCGCGACCAAAAAAUAAUAUUUUUAACACGUCAUUCAAAUGACGCGCCUGUUGAAGUUGCUUCAAAAGGGGCAAGCUUUGUAAUGCAGCGGCCAGACAUCCAGUUGUUCGUCCAAAAGAGUUAGGAUCGUCCAUCGCCGAGAUGUCAGGAAGUAGACGCAGAAACAAUGGCCUCAAGGAAAACCCUAUUAGCCGCUCUGGCGAAGCAGUGUUCAGGCUUCGCACAGAGCAGAAGGGAGAUCGGGCUGGCUCGGUAGCGAGGCCGCAGUGCUCGGUUUUGGAACUUUCUAGAGGUUUCCAGUCAGUUUUUUUUGGUUGUGGGAAACUUCUAGAAGGUUCCUUGAGCUGGGUUUUUUUCUUUUUCUCUUUUUUUUCUUUUUUUUGAAUCUGUUUCAAAAAAUGUUCUAGAUUUUCCAAAAAUGUUUUUGAUUUUAAAACAAUGUUCUGUAUUUACUAAAAAUUGUUCUCGGUGUUAAAACUUGUUCUUAAGAUUCAAAAAUGUUCUCAGUUUCAAAAAACAUUCUUAAGAUUCAAAAAAUGUUCGUGCUUUAAAAAAUUAUUUGCACUUCCAAAUUUGUUCAGGAUUUUUCAAAACUCUUCUCGGUUUCAAAACUUGUUCUAAAAAUUCAAAAAAAAAUCGUGUUUUAAAACUUUGUUCGUGUUCCCAAAAAUUUGUUUGCAGUAUUGAAUUUUGUUCUCAGUUUCAAAAUGUGUUCUCAAGAUUCAAAAAAUGUUCGUUCUUUAAAAAAUUGUUCGUGCUUCCAAAUUCGUUCAUCAUUUUUCAAAAUUGUUCUCGGUUUCGAAAUUCGUUCUUAAAAUUCAAAAAAUGUUCGUGCAUUGAAAAUUUCUUCGCGCUUUCAACUUUUUCGUUUUUUUUCAACAUUGUUCUCCUUUUAAAAUUUUGUUCUCAACAUUCAAAAAAAAUCUGUGUUUCAAAAAUUGUUCGUGCUUCCAAAUUUAUUAACGUUUUCAAGAUUGUUCUCGGUUUCAAAAAUAAUUAUCCAAAUUAAAAAAAUGGCCGUGCUUUAAAACAUGUUCACGCUUUCAAAAUUGUUCUCCUUCAAAGCUUUGUUCUUAAGAUUCAAAAAAUUUGCGUGCUUUAAAUGAAAUCGUGCUUCCAAAUUUGUUCACGUUAUUUUAAAUUUGUUCUCCGUUUCAAAAUUAGUUCCCAAAAUUCAAAAAAUGUUUGUGCUUUAAAAUUUUCUUUGCACUUUCAAUUUUGUUCGGAUUUUUUCAAAAUUGUUCUCCGUUUCAAAAUUUUGUUAUCAAAAUUCAAAAAAUUGUUCGCGCUUCCAAAUUUAUUCAUGGUUUUUUUUAAAUGUUUCUCAGUUUCAAAAUUUGUUAUCAAAUUUAUAAAAUGUUCGUUCUUUAAAAAUUUCUUUGCGCUUUCAAAUUUUUUUGGGGGUUUUCAAAAUGGUUCUCCUUUUCAAAAUUUUGUUACCAAGAUUCAAAAAAUGCUCAUACUUCCAAAUGUGUUCACGUUUUUUUAAAUAUUGUUCUUGGUUUCAAAAUUUGUUCUCAAAAUUGAAAAAUGUUUGUGUUUAGAAAAUUUGUUCGCGCUUUCAAAUUUGUNNNNNNNNNNNNNNNNNNNNNNNNNNNNNNNNNNNNNNNNNNNNNNNNNNNNNNNNNNNNNNNNNNNNNNNNNNNNNNNNNNNNNNNNNNNNNNNNNNNNNNNNNNNNNNNNNNNUUAGUUUUUCAAAAUUGUUCUCUACUUUUCAAAAUUUUGUUCUCAAGAUUUAAAAAAUUAUUCACGCUUUCAAAUUUAUUUACGUUUUUGUAAAAUUAUUUUUUAAAUUCAGAAAAAGUUUUUGUUUCAAAUAAAAAACGAACCAAAAAAUAAAAAUAAACAGAGAAGAAAAAAAGUAACAAAAAAAAGAAACUAAAGUGGGCUAACCCAGUCGGAGCGCCCCCUGUGCGGCGCAGGGGCUCCCUGGCGCUAUGAGCGACAGGUAGGAGCUCCCUGGCCUCAAGCCCUCAAACUUGGUACGGUUUGGGUCGGUGCGUUAAAGCUAAAUCCAUCAGGCACGCAGGGCCAGGUCGGCACGAUGGAAGCCCCCAAGAUUCAUGGGCCGGCAAACGCGAGGCCGGUUUAUCUUACUUGCAAAUCUUGAAAAGGAAAGGGUUAACCUCUCAAUCGUCGUGCAAUUUGAUUCAAUGGGUGCUCGUGAUGAUUCACCAGCUAAAUCUACCUACUCUAUGGUAAUUUGAUGAGGGAAAUUAUGACACUGAUUGAAAAAAAAGGUAGUUUACUACUACACUGAAGAUAGCAAGAUCACAAAAUAUGGUUUUUCGCUGUGUCGCUAAUCAUAUGCUCGGACAGAGCAUAGCAUAGUGGGUUGGUUACACCGUGCUUCUUCGUCCUUUUUAGUCAUCUUGUACUCCCUCUGUCCGGAAAUACUUGUCCUAAAAGUACAUGUAUCAAGACUUAUUUUAGUUAUAGGUACAUCCAUUUUAUUCAUUUCUAGGACAAAUAUUUCCAGACGGAGGAAGUAUAUAUUAGCAGACUGCAAACCUAUUGACAUAAAAUAAAACUCUUUCUUUUACUGUAAAAAAAAAAAAACUUACUUGCCAAGUGCGUGUACGCUCGCGGCUGGGNNNNNNNNNNNNNNNNNNNNNNNNNNNNNNNNNNNNNNNNNNNNNNNNNNNNNNNNNNNNNNNNNNNNNNNNNNNNNNNNNNNNNNNNNNNNNNNNNNNNGGAUGACUCAAUAGGAAAAUAAAUAGACAGGCCCUUCGCAGAGGGAAGCAUUGAUUUGCAGAGGUGCCAGAGCUCAAGCUUUGAAAACAGAGAUAAUAAUUUUGGCUGGCAUGCUUUCAUUGUCAACGCAAUGACCAAGAGUUCUCAAUAUCUUCCAUGCGACUCAUGCUAUAGGCGGUUCCCAAACAGAAAAGUAAAGUUUUAACUCCCUCACCACCAAUCAAUCACACUCCACAGCUAGCCAAAUCCUCGGGUACCAUUCAUACUAACAUCAAUCCGGCGGGAGUCUUGCUUUAUAGUUAUGUUUUCGAUUUAAGCGUGGAACUGGGCAUUCCAAUUACCGGCCCCUUUCUGGUGAAUGACAGUGAAUAAACACAUGUCGAGGAUAACACGCCUAACAUGGAAGAUAUCAAUAGCCCCCUGUCACCACAUGAGCGGUUCGGGCAUGCAAAACAAAUUAUUUCUUGAAGGUUUACAGAAUGGCACAUGCAAAUUUACUUGGAACGGCAGGUAGAUACGUGAUACGUCUCAAACGUAUCUAUAAUUUUUGAUGGUUUCAUGUUGUUAUCUUGUCAUCUUUGGAUGUUUUAUGUACCUUUUUUUAUCUUUUUUGGGACUAACUUAUCAAUUCAGUGCCAAGUGCCAGUUCCUGUUUUUCUCUGUUUUUCGCUCUUUUNNNNNNNNNNNNNNNNNNNNNNNNNNNNNNNNNNNNNNNNNNNNNNNNNNNNNNNNNNNNNNNNNNNNNNNNNNNNNNNNNNNNNNNNNNNNNNNNNNNNAUUUGGGAAUUUAUAGGCGCAAGAUCUAGGUCAGGGGACCUCCAGGGGGCCCACAAGCCUGCAUGGCACGGCCCCCCUGGCCGCAGGGUGGGGGCUUGUGGGGCCCGUGGAGCUCUUCCGACUUGCCCCCUAGCUCUCCGAUCUUCUUCCGUUCCAGAAAAAAUCUUUUCGGGGAUUUUCUUCCGUUUGGACUCCGUUUCAAAAUCUCCUCUGAAAGGGCUCAAAAACAUGGGAAAAAAUAGAGGAGCUGGCACUUGGCACUGAGGUAAUAGGUUAGUCCCAGAAAAUAAAUAAAAGGCAUGCAAAACAUCCAAAGUUUGACAAGAUAAUAACAUGAAACCAUCAAAAAUUAUAGAUACGUUGGAGUCGUAUCAAGCAUCCCCAAGCUUAACUCCUGCUCGUCCUCGAGUAGGGAAGUGAUAAAGAACGAAUUUUUGAUGUGGAAUGCUACCUAGCAUAGUUGUCCUUUGCAACUUCUUUCAUGUGACAUGAAUGUUCAGAUCAGUAAGAUUCAAAACAACAGUUUGCUAUUGACAUGAAAACAGUAAUACUUCAAGCAAACUAGCAAAGUAAUCAUGAACUUUCAAAAUAACAAGGCCAAAGAAAGGUAUCCCUACAAAAUCAUAUAGUCUGGCUAUGCUCCAUCAUCCUCACACAACUAAUGUAAAUCAUGAACAGCCCCAGAAUUGGCCAAGUAAUUGUUUUCGCACUCUUACUUUCUCAAACUUUUUNNNNNNNNNNCGUGGCAUGAAUAUUCAGAUCCGUACGAUUCAAAACAAUAGUUUGCUAUUGACAUGAAAACAGUAAUACUUUAAGCAAACUAGCAAAGUAAUCAUGAAGUUUCAAAAUAACAAGGCCAAAGAAAGUUAUCCCUCCAAAAUCAUAUAGUCUAGCUAUGCUCCAUCAUCCUCACACAACUAAUGUAAAUCAUGCACAACCCCGGAAUUGGCCAAGUAAUUGUUUUCGCACUCUUACUUUCUCAAACUUUUUAUAACUAUCACGCAAUACAUGAGCGCGAGCCAUGGAUAUAGCACUAUAAGUGGAAUAGAAUGUGGUGGUGGUUGUGAGACAAAAAGGAGGAGAUGGUCACAUUGACUCGGCGAAUCAAUAGGCUAUGGUAUGCCCAUUAAUAGAUAUCAAUGUGAAUGAGUAGGGAUUGCCAUACAAGAGAUGCACUAGAGCUAUAAGUAUGUGAAAGCUCAAGAGUAAAACUAGUGUGUGUGCAUCCAACUUGCUUGCUCAUGAAGACCUAGGGCAAUUUUGAGGAAGCCCAUCAUUGGAAUAUACAAGCCAAGUUAUAAAACGAAGAUUCCCACUAGCAUAAGGUACUGACAAAGCAAGAAGCUCUCAAUCAUGAAGAACAUGGUGCUAUUAUGAAGCACAAGUUUGGAAAAAGAUAGUAGCAUUGUCCCUUCUCUCUUUUUCUCUCAUUUCCUUUUUUUAUUUGGGCUCUUAGGCCUCUCUUUUUUUCUUUUCUUUUCUUUUCUCUUUUUUUUGUUGUUGGGUUCUUUGGCCUCUUUUUUUUUAUUUCCUCACAUGGGACAAUGCUCUAAUAAUGAUGAUCAUCACACUUUUUAGUUACUCAAAGCUCAAAGAUCACAAUGAUGAUGACUCCAUAGGAAAUGCCUUCGGCAGUGUACCGGGAUGUGCAACGAUCUAGUAUGAUCAUGCAAUGGCAAUAUGAGAGUGACAACACAAGUCAUUAGACGGAACGGUGGUAGUUACAUGGCAAUAUAUCUCGGAAUGGCUAUGAAAAUGCCAUAGUAGGUAGGUAUGGUGGCUGUUUUGAGGAAGGAAUUUGGUGGGUUUGAGUACCGGCGAGAAUUGCACGGCACUAGAGAGGCUAGCAAAGGUGGAAGGUGAAAGUGCAUCUAUACCAUGGACUCAACAUUAGUCAUAAAGAACUCACAUACUUGUUGCAAAAGUUUUUGUUAGUAAUCGAAACAAAGUGCUAAACGCAUACUCUGAGGGGAAGGGUUGGUAGGUGUAAACCAUCGCGCGAUUCCGACCUCAACACAAAGGAUUACAAUCAAUAGAUCAAUUAUGCUCCGACUUCCUAACAUAGCGGUUCACCAUACGUGCAUGCUACGGGAAUCACUAACUCCAACACAAGUAUUUCUAGAUUCACAACACCCUACUAACAUAACUCUCAAUAUUACCGAAUCUGUGUCUCAAAACUAAUUGAGAGGAAUCGAAACUUCUCUUUCUACUCAAUGCACAUGAAGAUGGAGGUUUUUGCAUCCUCUUUGGGUACCUAGAAUUUUUGGGACUACUUUCAUAGCAUAAGCCAACUACCAAAUGACGCACCACCGUGCUCUAAAGAUAUAAGUGAAGCACAAGAGCAAAAGUAUCUAGCUCAAAAGAUAUAAGUGAAGCACAAGAGUAAAAGUAUCUAGCUCAAAAGAUAUAAGUGAAGCACAAUGAGCAUUCUAGCAAAAUCACGAUGAGUGCAUGUCUCUGUCUCUAAAAAAAGGUGUGCAGCAAGGAUGAUUGUGACACAACAAAAAGAAAAGACUCCUAUGAUACAAGACGCUCCAAGCAAAACACAUAUCAUGUGGUGAAUAAAAAUAUAGCUCCAAGUAAUGUUACUGAUGGAUUGAAGACGAAAGAGGGGAUGCCUACCCGGGGCAUCCCCAAGCUUAGGCUUUUUGGUGUCCUUGAAUUUGGUUUGGGGUGCCUUGGGCAUCCCCAAGCUUGAGAUCUUUCCACUCCUUAUCUCUUUGUCCAUGAGAACGUCACCCAAAACUUGAAAACUUCACAACACAAAACUUAAACAGAAACUUGUGAUAACAUUAGUACAAGAAAACAAACUACCAGUUCUUUUGGUACUGUAGCAAACUUGAAUUCCAUCUAUAUUGAUGAUGGGCUACUGUAUUCUCACUUCUCCAUGGCUAGUACCCCCCGAUACUAACCAUAUUUUCAUCAAAACAAGCAACCAACUCAACAAAAACAGAAUCUGUCAAAAACAGACUAGUCUGUAGCAAUGUGUAUACUUCGUAUACUUCUGGUACCUCAAAAAAUCUGAAAAAUUAUGACGACCUGGGGAAUCAACAUAUCAAUCAACAGCAACAAUAAUCAACUCAAAAGCUCUUUCUGAAUAAAAAUGAAAAAUCAUCUCGUGAGCGAAAAGUUUCUGUCUUUUUCCAACAGGAUCAAACAACCAUUACCAAGACUAGUCAUAAAGGCUUUGCUUGGCUCAAACACAAAAGAAACACAAAAAUCACAAUCACAAAAGAAUUAUGAAAGUGUGGACGCAACAAAACAGAAAUAAAAAGAUAAAUUCAUUGGGUUGCCUCCCAACAAGCGCUAUUGUUUAACGCCCUUAGCUAGGCAUUGAUAAAUCAAUGAUGCUCACACAAAAGACAAGAAUUGAAGCACAACGAGAGCAUCAUAAAGCAUGUGAAAAUCACAUCUAAGUCUAACAUACUUCCUAUGCAUAGGCAUUUUAUAGGGGAACAAAUUGGCAAGACAACCAAUAGUUACCAAAUGCAAGGAAGAAGAAAGAGACAAGAGCAAUCUCAACAUAACGAGAGGUGAUUUAGUGAUAUGAAAGUUUCUACCACCAUAUUUUCCUCUCUCAUAAUAAUUACAUGUGGGAUCAUAUUCGAAUUCAACAAUGUAACUUUCACAUAGGAUAUUAUUUUCAUGAUCCACAUGCAUGCAAAGUUGACGCUCUUCAAAAAUAGUGGGAUUAUCAUCAACUAAAGUCAUGACUUCUCCAAACCCACUUUCAGUAUUAUUGCAAAUAUCAUUGCAACAAGUAGCGGACAUAGCAAAACUAGCAUCCCCAAGCUUAGGGUUUUGCAUAUUUUUAGCAUGAUUGUCACUAAUAGAAUUUAUAGUGAAACCAUUGCAAUNNNNNNNNNNNNNNNNNNNNNNNNNNNNNNNNNNNNNNNNNNNNNNNNNNNNNNNNNNNNNNNNNNNNNNNNNNNNNNNNNNNNNNNNNNNNNNNNNNNNACCAUAGUUUGAGGAGUUCAUGUGUUCACCAAGUGCUAAUGCGUUGUUUCGGUUUUUUUUAUUAAAAUGAGAACCUUAAUAUCCUGUAGUAUCCUUUUGGACCGCGCUGCCACGGGAGGGAUGGAAAAUAGAUGUCAUGCAAGUUCUUUUCCCUAAGCACGUAUGACGACACACGGAAUGCAUGCCUACAUCACAUUGACGAACGGGAGCUAGCCACAUAUCUCUCCGUGUUAUAACUGUUGCAUGAUGAAUGUCAUCCAAACAAAUCACCGACCCAUUGCCUACGAUUUUGUCCCACUGCUGUUGUUAGUUGUUUUGCUCUGCUGUUGUUACUUGUUUUGCUCUGCUGUUGUUACUACUGUUGCUGCUGCUGUUACUUGCUUUGCUCUGCUGUUACUUGCUAUUGUUGCUACUUGACUGUUGUCACUACUUCUGUUCCUUGCCACUGCUGUUACUCGUUACACUGCUGCUACCUGCUACAAUACUUUUUCUUGCACCGUUGCCGGGAAAUAAUAUUUCCCGUCCACGGGCAACUUCUGGCGCCAUUGAUACAACCGUUAGGAAUAGUCUGCCGUCAAUAGAUCGUUUCUGGCACCGUUGCUAUCAUACUACUUUGCUACUGAUACUUUGCUUGCAGACACUAAUCUUUCAGGUGUGGUUGAAUCUGACAUAUUCAGCUGCUAAUACAUAAGAAUAUCCUUUCACUUCUUGUCGGGCGAACCAACAAAUUUGGGUUGAAUACUCUACCCUCGAAAAUUGUCGCGAACCCACGCGCUGGUGGGCCAUUGCAAGACAAUUGCUAAUUGUUGAGCAACUGGGAGCAGUUCUGGCUCCGUUUCCGUGGAGGCAUCAAGUCAGGAACACGUCAACAACAUUUUUCUAGUGUCGUUGCUGGGGACUGCUAGCAGCAUUUUUCUGGCGCCGUUUCCGGGGAAGGGAUUGCUAUAUUCUCUGAGUCACUUGGGAUUUAUAUCUGCUGAUCACUAUGAAGAAUCUGAAAGAUCCAAAAACCAAAGUUUUGCCCUCAACUACGAGGGGAGGUAAGGAACUGCCAUGUAGCUCUGCACUUGAUUCACCUUCAGUUAUGAGUAAGUUUGCGACACCACCUCCUGCUAGAAAUCUUGAUAUGUCGCUUGUGCCUGAUACUGCUAGAGAUGCUAUGCCUGAUACUGCUAGAGAUGAUAUGCCUGAUACUGCUAUGCCUGAUACUGCUAUGCCUGAUAAUGCUAGAGAUGCUAUUUUGCCUGAUGAUGCUAUGCUUGAUACUGCUAGAGAUACUACUUUGCCUGAUAUGCCACUAGGGGUAUUCCUUGAUGCUCAUAUUGCUAGAGUUACUGCCAAUGCUCGUGAUGCUUCUGAAACUGCCGAUACUAUUGAGAUAGAACCUGCUUUUGCUCCUGCUAGAUCUAGCUCUCCUAGAUAUGAAUUGCCUGAUAUACCCGAGGGUUAUGUUAUGGAGGGAGAGAUAGCUGAGGAUUUUCUUGCAUGUAAGGAUGCCUAUGACGCUGAGAAAUUACUUCUCAAGUGGAAGGAAAAAUCUAUGAAAGCUAGGAUGAAAUACGACCCGAAGUUCGCCACUUCACCUAUCUUUAUCACCGAUACGGAUUAUGAAUUCUUUGUCAACCCUGAGAUAAUUUCUCUAGUCGAAUCUGAUCCUUUCCACGGUUAUGAUUCUGAGACAGUCGUAGCCCAUCUUACCAAACUACACGAUAUAGCCACCAUUUUCACUAGUGAGGAGAAGAUCCGCUACUACUAUAUCCUUAAGUUGUUUCCUUUCUCUCUAAAGGAUGACGCUAAAGCCUGGUUCGCUUCUCUUGCUCCUGGAUGUGUGAGUAGUCCCCAGGAUAUGGUCCAUUACUUCUGUGAGAAAUAUUUCCCUGCCGAUAAGAAGCAAGCUGCCUUGUAGGAAAUAUACAACUUUGUUCAACUCAAAGAAGAGAGUCUCCCACAAGCUUGGGGGAGGCUCAUCCAGCUACAGGAUGCUUUGCCUGAUCACCCUCUUAAGAAGAACGAGAUACUUGAUAUCUUCUAUAACGGACUUACCGAUGCUUCUAGAGACCACCUAGAUAGUUGUGCCGGUUGUGUUUUUAGGGAACAAACUGUAGAACAAGCUGAGAUUCUACUGAAUAACAUCUCUAUGAACGAUAAUGCUUGGACUAUUCCCGAACCACCUCCUAAGUCAACUCCUAAGAAAAUAGGUAUUCUAUUCCUCAGCCCCCAAGAUAUGCAAGAAGCCAAGAAAUCUAUGCAAGAGAAAGGCAUUAGAUCUGAAGAUGUCAAAAAUCUACCACUUAUCGAAGAGAUCUAUGGUCUCGAUAACCCGAUACAGGUAGUAGAAGUAAAUUCACUGCGUAGGUUUGAUGAGAGUGAUAUUCCUUUUGACAAACCUGCUAGCCUAUGCUUUGAUGAAUUUGACAACUUUGUUGCCAAACAACAGAGUUUCAAUGAUUAUGUUAGCAGACAUUUGGAACAAAGUACUCGUAUGCUUAGUCAUUUAAGUGCUUGUGUAGACAAAAAUGUCAAUGAUAUGAAGCUUCUGAGUAAACAUGCCUCUAUGAUUACUACUCAGGUAGAACAAGUACUUAAAUCUCAGAAUGACUUGCUCCAUGAAUUAAAUGACAACUCUGUCAGAGUCAUUACUAGAGGAGGCAAAAUGACUCAGGAACCUUUGUAUCUUGAAGGCCAUCCUAAGAGAAUUGAUCAAGAUUCUCAAGGAAUUAAUGCCGAUGCACCCAGUCAUCCUAAGAAGAAGAAGGAUGAUAGAAACCUACAUGUCAAUUCACCAAAUACUGUCACACCUGAAGAACCAAAUGAUAUUUCCGCGUCUGGUGCAGAAACACAAUCUAGUGAUGAACAUGAACCUGGUGACAAUAUGGACAACGAUGUUCAUAAUGAGGCUCAACCUAGCAAUGAUAAGGAUGUGGAGAUUGAACUACGGUUAAUCCUGAUAACCCACAACCUAAGAGAUACGAUAAGAAUGACUUCACUGCUAGGAAGCAAUGGUAAAGAAAGGGAGCCAUGGGUUCAGAGACCCAUGCCCUUUCCUCCUAAGCCAUCCAAGAAAAAGGAUGAUGAGGAUUUUGAGCGCUUCAUUGAGAUGAUAAGCCCGUCUUUCUGCAGAUGCGGUUAAUUGAUAUGCUCAAAAUGUCUCCAUAUGCCAAGUACAUGAAAGAUAUCGUGACUAAUAGAAGGAAGAUACCAGAUCUUGAGAUCUCCACCAUGCUUGCCAAUUACACUUUCAAAGGUGGAACUCCUAAAAAACUUGGUGAUCCCGGAGUGCCCACUAUACCUUGCUCCAUUAAAGGAAACUACGUAAGAACUGCCUUGUGUGACCUUGGAGUCGGUGUUAGUGUUAUGCCGCUCUCUCUUUAUCGUAGACUUGAACUAGAUAAGUUGACACCCACUGAAAUUUCUCUGCAAAUGGCCGACAAAUCAACUGCUUUCCCUAUCGGCAUUUGCGAGGAUGUGCCUGUUGUGGUUGCUAACACCACUAUCCUAACAGACUUUGUUAUCUUGGAUAUUCCCGAGGACGAUGUCAUGGCUAUCAUCCUCACAAGACCCUUUUUAAACACUGUAGGGGCUGUUAUAAAUUGCAAAAAAGGCAAUGUCACUUUCCACGUCAACGGUAAUGAGCAUACAGUGCACUUUCCGAAGAAACGAUAUCAAGUACAUUGCAUCAAUGCUAUCGAAAAAACUUCAUCGAUUCUUAUUGGGAGCUUUGAAUGCCCUAUUCAUCGUGUCAAGAUGAAGUAUGAUUUGCUUGUUGGGGAGAUACAUAUCCCCAUUGAGGUGACUUAGUGGCUAUUCUACAAUUCUCCUUUUCCUCUUGUGAUUCGAAAAGGCUUUGUCAUGAGGAUUUGAUCAACCCCAUUUACGGAUUUCUUUCGAUGACCAUGAAAUGGAUGAAUCAAAGAGUCACAUACCUCUGUUUUAAGCUUUCACUUCCUGUUGCUUAGAAGAAAAAUGAUAGAUUCAGUUUACUUUUUCCUGUUUUCUGUUUUAGCGUCCCGGAGAAAAAUACCCCGAAAAUAAAAGUUCUCCGAUGGUCCUGAAAAUCUAGUAUGAUUUUUUCUGGAAUUUUUGAAAAAUACGGGGACUAAGAGCUGGCCUGGGAGCCACACCAGUGGGCCACAAGCCCUGUAGCCGCCCCCUGGUGGCGGCUACCAAGCUUGUGGGGCCCACAGGGACCCCCUCCACUCAUUCCAGCUCCCAUCCUCUUCUCCUACCUCCAGAAAAAAUCGUUUCGCAGCUCAAACCCGUGUUCUUGCUCAUUUUGCUGAGAUUUACGAUCUCCUUGCUCAAAGCACCAUUCUCCAAACCGUUUUUGGGAAAUUACUCCUUGGUAAGUGACUCCUCCAUUGGUCCAAUUAGUUUUUGCUCUAGUGUUUUAUCCUUCGCGUAUUCUUGCUACCUUGGUGACCCUGUUCUUGAGCUUGAAAUGUUGAUUUUAGCUGGUCCCAAGUAGUUUUAGCACGUGAUACGGUCUUUAGGCACUAGUAGGAGUAAUUGCUACAAGGUGUGGUUGGUCUUCAUUCACUUUUCUCUUGAACUUCAAAAAUUUCAGCAACAUGAAAUUAUGUUCAGGAGGAAGUUUCUUGGUGGUUCCUCAAGUAAGAAGGGUCCCCGUCUUUCUUUUCGGGAGCCCGAACCUUAUCAACUAAGGGACGCACCGGUACAACCAUGUGAAUGGCCUUCCGAUGAGUUCAUGAUCGAAGCAGGCUUCAAGGAUGAGUUUGAUACACUUGUCCGCAAUGCCGGGUUAGAAAAAUUCCUCUCAAAAAAAUGUGAACAGUAUGCUAUGCUCACUGCCUCUUUCGCGCGUAGAUUUAAAUUUUCAGUUGGUCGUGACUCAUCCGUACUGUUUGAUGUGUAUGAUAAAUCCUACACCAUGGAUUUGGAGGAUUUCAAUAGGAUUUUCAAGAUACCCGAUGGGGGUAGUCUUAAUGAUCCUGCUAAGUCUUCGGUUAGAGAUUUUGUCUCUAGUAUAACUGUUGGAGAAACUAGAGACAUCACGCAAGCUACCAUAGGAAGCAUUCAUUUCCCUGUCUUGCACUACUUUGCCCUCUUCAUAGGUAGGUGCAUUAACGGCAAGGGUGCACAUUGUCACCUAUGCGCAUCCGACCUUAGUAUCCUUAAGAUCGCAGUAACAGGUGACAGUAGCUUCAACAUGGGAGCAAUAAUAGCAAGGAGGCUGAAUAAUAAUGCCAUUGAUGGGGAUUUCUUUGGUGGAAUUUAUGCUACGCGCUUAGCAAAUUUUCUUGGAGUACCCAUCCGCUCGGGAGACCCCCCCUCUCCGUACAGCCUACCUUGAUCGUGUCGCUCUAACACGCUACCAGUUCCUUGAGAGGGAUGAUGAAUCCCUCCUAUACCGUUUGAUAUUUAACCGGCAGUGUGUUUUCCAUGUUACCCUUCCUGCUCCUGCUUUCUUUGACUUUUAGGUAAAAUGGAGAUACUACAUAACCAUAGGAGAGGUAGAGGAGUAUGGGAGGGAGGCGACGGCUGCUCGUCUUCGUGAGGCAGUUAUUCAGGCAGUGGCUGCAGCACUCCCGUAUAACACCCAUUAUGAUUUUGGGUUUUGCCAGGACCUUACAUGGGAGUAGACCAAGCUAGGCCAAAAGCCUAAGCUUUGGGGAGUACGUGUUCUCACCAACCUUACAUUCAUGCUUAUGCUUUCACUUUGUUAGCCGGUGUUUACACUUUGCCACUGUAUUAUCCAUGCUAGUUUAUUUUCGUUUUCUUGUUUUCUUGUUUUGUGUCCUUUUGAGAAAACCCAAAAAGAUUUUCCUUUCUUCUUUUGCUUGUUUGGAUUUUUCCCAUGUAAAUAGUUUUCUUUUUCUUUGGGUCAAGGUAGAAGACCAUGGUUACAAUGUUUAGUGGCUCUUGCAUGCAUACCUGUUUAGCUUUCAAAGAGCCAUAUUACUUUGUCUUCUCCUUUGUGUUUGCCUGCAGAUUCAGCUUAGUCCAAUGCACGAGCACUCUUAUUAUUGUUCACAUCGUUCGNNNNNNNNNNNNNNNNNNNNNNNNNNNNNNNNNNNNNNNNNNNNNNNNNNNNNNNNNNNNNNNNNNNNNNNNNNNNNNNNNNNNNNNNNNNNNNNNNNNNAUAAUCUUCCAACAAAAUGCAUGAUGUUAGGUUGGGGUUCGACAUCUAGUGGAUUCGUUUGUUCACGGUCGACUUACAGCGGUACACGCUGUGUCUUAAAGAGUCCUUGUAGCUUGCUACGACUCGGGGACGCUUCGUAUGUCGGGUGCACUGCCUUGCACUUGAUGGCUACUGUAAAAUCGAGCCCGUGCGAUCUUGUCCACGAAAGUAUCGAACUGAAAUCUUUCUCAUGAGUUUGUUCUGGCUUCUUUCAUAAGCCUCAUCCUUUGUUUUGUUGAAUAUGGUAAUUAAAGUUGCUUCGAUGUCAAGUGGUGAUUUCCGAUCUUUCUAGUGGUGUUCUCAUAUUUUUAUGUGAAUGCUAAUUCUUUUGCUCAAAUCAGUUGUCUUAUCAAUUUUGUCAACCGGAGUCGCCAUAUCAAUUCUUUUUCAACCAGUGUGUUUCUCUCCAAGUGGAUUCAAUCCUCUCCAAUUUUUGCAAGAUCAUUCUCUCAUCUUAUUCCGGAGUUCAUCUCAUCCGUCACAAGUUGUCUUUGUUUUUCCCCGCCCUCCCGCCUUUUUUCUUCAAUGUUUGGAUUUCAUCCAAGCGUCUUCUUAUUCAGUGAUGCUUCCGCUAUCUCGUCUUCCUUUCAUAGCCGGUGAUUCAUUCUGAAGAUUCUCAGGAGCUUCGUGUUCAUCUUUGUUCAUUCUUGUCAUCCUUACCGGUGAAAUUAAUUCAGUUCUCCGUGUUCAUCAUAUUCCUUUCGUCCUUGUAAUUCUUUCCUGUGUUGGAAAUUCUUAUCUAGUAUUCUGUUGUCAUUUAUCUCUAUUCUUUCCGGAGCGUUGAAGAUAUCCCAGUAGUUUCUUGUUUUCAGAUCUUUCAUUAUUUCGAGGUGCCAACCUCAUCUAGUUCUCGUUAUACCGGUGCAANNNNNNNNNNNNNNNNNNNNNNNNNNNNNNNNNNNNNNNNNNNNNNNNNNNNNNNNNNNNNNNNNNNNNNNNNNNNNNNNNNNNNNNNNNNNNNNNNNNNUAUGACUAAUGUUGAGUCCAUGGUAUAGAUGCACUUUCACCUUCCACCAUUGCUAGCCUCUCUAGUGCCGCACAAUUCUCGCCGGUGCACAAACCCACCAAAUUCCUUCCUCAAAACAGCCACCAUAUCUACCUACUAUGGCAUUUUCAUAGCCAUUCCGAGAUAUAUUGCCAUGCAACUCCCACCGUUCCAUGAUUUUCAUGACUUGUGUCGUCACUCUCAUAUUGCCAUUGCAUGAUCGUAAGAUAGCUAGCAAGAUGUUUCAACGUCAUACGCCAUCCUAGAUCGUUGCACAUCCCGGUACACUGCCGGAGGCAUUUCUUAUGGAGUCAUCAUCAUUGUGAUCUUUGAGCUGUGAGUAAAUAAAAAGUGUGAUGAUCAUCAUUAUUAGAGCAUUGUCCCAUGUGAGGAAAUAAAAAAAAGGAAAAAAAGGUCAAAGAUCCCAAAAACAAAAGAAGAGAAAAAAGAGGCCUAAGAGCCCAAAUGAAAAAAAGAGAGAAAAGAGAGAAGGGACAAUGCUACUAUCCUUUUCCACACUUGUGCUUCAUGAUAGCACCAUGUUCUUCAUGAUUGAGAGCUUCUUGCUUUGUCACUACCAUAUGCUAGUGGGAAUCUUCAUUAUAUAACUUGGCUUGUAUAUUCCAAUGAUGCGCUUCCUCAAAAUUGCCUAGGUCUUCGUGAGCAAGCAAGUUGGAUGCACACCCACUAGUUUUCCUUUUGAGCUUUCACAUACUUAUAGCUCUAGUGCAUCUCUUGUAUGGCAAUCCCUACUCAUUCACAUUGAUAUCUAUUAAUGGGCAUCUCCAUAGCCUAUUGAAACGCUGAGUCGGUGUGACCAUCUCCUCCUUUUUGUCUCACAACCACCACCACACUCUAUUCCACCUAUAGUGCUAUAUCCAUGGCUCGCACUCAUGUAUUGCGUGAUAGUUAUAAAAAGUUUGAGAAAGUAAGAGUGCGAAAACAAUUACUUGGCCAAUUCNNNNNNNNNNNNNNNNNNNNNNNNNNNNNNNNNNNNNNNNNNNNNNNNNNNNNNNNNNNNNNNNNNNNNNNNNNNNNNNNNNNNNNNNNNNNNNNNNNNNAAGAUGCAAAUUAAGAGAGCACUCAUCAAUCUCGUUGAAGCCUAGAACAUCACAUAAAGACUUUGGAAUGGCGGAAACACUAGCACCCAAAUCACACAAAGCAUUGCAUUCAUAGUUUUUAAUCUUGAUUUUGAUAGUAGGUUCCCACUCAUCAUGAAGUUUUCUAGGAAUAGAUAUCUUCAACUCAAGUUUCUCUUCAAGAGAUAUCAUCAUAGCAUCAACGAUAUGAUCGGUAAAUGCCUUAUUUUGGCUAUAAGCGUGUGGAGAGUUUAGCAUGGAUUGCAUCAAGGAAAUACAUUCAAUCAAAGAGCAACUAUCAUAAUUGAAUUCCUUGAAAUCCAAAGUAGUAAUUUCAUCACGACUCAAAGUUUUGAUAUCCUCUACUCCACUUUCAGUGCUUUUAGCAUCAAGACAAAUAGACUCCGAAUCAUUGGGGCGUUUCUCAACCAAAGUGUAUGCAUAUCCAGACCCAUCACCAUUAGGUUUGACAUUAGAAAACAAGGAUUCAAUGGGAGUCACACCAAGCACUUUAAGAUCUUCGUGAUUCUCAUCACGAGAACAUGCCUUUUUAAGCCAUUCAUGUCUAGCACGAAUUUGGGCGGUUCUUUCUUUACUCUCAUUCAUGGAAACACGCAUAGCUUUCAAAGUUUCAUCCAUAUUAAUCUUGGGAGGAGCACAUCUCAAUUUCAAAGCAUCAAUAUCAAGAGACAUUCUAUCAAUGGUCCUAGCCAAGUCAUCAAUUUUGAGCAGUUUUUCUUCUACGGAUGCAUUGAAAAUCUUUUGCGAGUUGAUAAACUCUCUAAUAUUACUCUCAAGAUCAGAGGGUAAUUUAUUGUAAUUUCCAUGAGCAUUGUUGUAGGAAUUGCCAAAGUGAUUAGAGGGAUUACUAGGAAAAGGCCUAGGAAUAAAGUUACCUCUAUAAGCAUUUUUGUUGCCAAAAUUAUUCCUACCAACAAAAUUAACAUCCAAGAUCUCAUUGCUAUUCUCAAUCAAGGAAGACAAAGGCAUACCAUUUGGACCUAGAGGAGCACCUUUACUAGCAAACAAUUUCAUUAACUCAUCCAUCUUAGCACUGAACGAGUUAAUUUCUUCUAUAGCAUGCACUUUUUUACUAGUAGGUGACCUUUCAGUGUGCCAUUGAUAGUAGUUUGUCAUGAUAUUGUCUAGGAGUUUUGUGGCUUCUCCUAGUGUGAUUUCCAUGAAAGUUCCACCGGAGGCGGAAUCCAAGAUAUUUCUAGAAGCAAAAUUCAAACCAGCAUAUAAGAUUUGUAUAAUCAUUCAAAGACUCUNNNNNNNNNNNNNNNNNNNNNNNNNNNNNNNNNNNNNNNNNNNNNNNNNNNNNNNNNNNNNNNNNNNNNNNNNNNNNNNNNNNNNNNNNNNNNNNNNNNNGGCCUUGUUAUUUUGAAAGUUCAUGAUUACUUUGCUAGUUUGCUUGAAUUAUUAUUGUUUCCACGUCAAUAGCAAACUAUUGUUUUGAAUCUAAUGGAUCUGAACAUUCACGUCACAUAAGAGGAAUUACAAAGGACACCUAUGCUAGGUAGCAUGAAAGCAUCAAAAAUUCAUUCUUAUCACUUCCCUACUCGAGGACGAGCAGGAGUUAAGCUUGGGGAUGCUUGAUACGUCUCAAAUGUAUCUAUUAUUUUUGAUGAUUUCAUGCUGUUAUCUUGCCUUCUUUGUAUGUUUUAUGUACCUUUUUAUAUCUUUUUCGGGACUAACUUAUUGAUUCAGUGCCAAGUGCCAGUUCCUGUUUUUCCGUGUUUUUGACUCUUUUCAGAUCUGAUUUUGGAACGGAGUCCAAACGGAAGAAAAACACCGAAAUGAUUUUUUUCCCGAACGGAAGAAGUCCAGGGAGCCUUUGGGCCAGGCCAAGUGGGCUCCAGGGAGCCCACAAGCCCCCACUCNNNNNNNNNNNNNNNNNNNNNNNNNNNNNNNNNNNNNNNNNNNNNNNNNNNNNNNNNNNNNNNNNNNNNNNNNNNNNNNNNNNNNNNNNNNNNNNNNNNNAAUCGCCUAAGUAUUAACUUUCUCCGAGUGUGCACUAAACGUCGCACUUGGGGACUUACCUGCGAUCAAGAAUCGCCUAAGUAUUAACUUUCUCCGAGUGUGCACUAAACGUCGCACUCGGGGACUUAGAUGCGAUCACGAGUCGCCUAAGUAUUAACUUUCUUCGAGUGUGCACUUAACGUCGCACUCGGGGACUUAGCUGCGACCAAGAAUCGCCUAAGUACUAACUUCCUUCGAGUGUGCACUAAACGUCACACUCGGGGACUUAGAUGCGAUCAAGAGUCGCCUAAGUAUCAACUUUCUCCGAGCGUGCACUCGGGGGCUUAGCUGCGAUCCGGAAUCGCCUAAAUACAUGAGUAAUAGACCCUCAUUGAAGCUCAUGUGGAUGUCAAAACAACUGACAACUACAUGAGUAGCAGACCCUCAUUGAGGCUCAUGUGGAUGUCAAAACAACUGACAACUACAUGACUAACAAAUCGCACCGAGUGUGACCUCAUAGUCGCACUCGACAACAUAGCUGCGAUCCCGUAUCGCCCAAGUAUUUUUAGACCUUCGAGUGUGUCCUUCAGAUCCACUCGGACACUCACCGGACCCUCAUUGAGGCUCAUGUGGAUGUCAAGACCACUGACAAUUACAUGAGUACCAACUCGCUUCGAGUGAGGCCUGUCCGACGCACUCGACGACUUCGCUGCGAUCAUGAAUCGCCUAAGUACUAUAUUGCCCUCGAGUGUACCCUACAGAUCCACUCGGAGACCCCGCAAGACCCUCACAGAGGUUCAUGCAGAUGUCAAGACAACUGACACGUACAUGCUAUGCAUGUUUGCCAUUGGCUUCACCAAGAAACGCCAAGCAAAAACUCGAGGCAAAAUUGCAACACAAGAGCAAACGAUUUGAUUCAGAUUCAAAAGGUCAAACAAAGAUAGUACACUCGGUGCGGAUCAACCUUACCCGCACCGAUUCAAGAAUGUGACGGCCAACAGCAGUGGCCAAAGUUUCUUACAAAUCAACACUCGGCAUACCGAGGAUAAAUUUUUCUUACGCAUCAUCAGGAUUAGCGCCAGGGCUGGAGGGCUCUACGAACGUGUCCAGAUCGAUACCGUCGGUGAUGCGGGUGGCACUCUCAAGGAAGGUUUCCAUGAAGUCUUCGAAUCGAAGUUUCUUCGUGUUGGCGACCUUCAAUGCUUUCAGCUUCUCCUCGCGCACCUCCUUGCAAUGAACACGGACCAGGGACAGAGCAACAUCUGCACCACAACGAGCCACAGAUUUCUUCCAUGACUGCACUCGGUUCGAGAUCUCCUCCAGUCGAGUCAUCAAGUUUUCCAUCUCCUGCCGUGACUCAUCUUCAGGCCAAAGCUCCUUGUCGAUUCGGCCGACGACUUCUCUCAGUCGACCGAUGAAAGGGCCAACUUUGCCCACGCGGAUGUGCGCUCGGAGCAGAUCUCGAUUGGCGUCCUCGCCGAGUGGAAUGUUCUCGCGAAUCGGCCGCUCCACGUCAGCUGCUUCAGCUUCAGCGUCAAUGCAAAAAUCUGCAAUAACAGGACAAGCAAACAAUAAGCGCCGAGUGUGACGCACAUACCACAGGCACUCGGAAAAAACAAGACUUAUCAGCCAGACGCGUCAUCAUCUGCCGAGCCCAGUCGCUGNNNNNNNNNNNNNNNNNNNNNNNNNNNNNNNNNNNNNNNNNNNNNNNNNNNNNNNNNNNNNNNNNNNNNNNNNNNNNNNNNNNNNNNNNNNNNNNNNNNNGAUGUUCACUAGUGAUGUCUCUCUCCCAAAAGACGAUAAACAACUAUGAUUGGGUAAACAAAUUACAGCCGGGCAAUUGACAUAAUUAUGAACGCACCGCAAUGCUAAUUAUGCUACUUGAAAGUUAGAUGCUCAAUAGUAAUGGGCAGUACACUAAGACAAGUAGACCGUUUAUUCAUCAACAUCUACUCACUAAUCAUCCACCUUGAGAUAUCUAUCCAGAACAUCUCGCUGGUAUUAAGUUGCGAGCCCCACCCAAAGUGUAAACUCAAAGCAACGGACAAUUGCAUUAACGAACUAUGCGUAAGGUAAACAAUCCUUGCAACCGUGGUCACAAGCACCGUCGUUUUCUCCCAGCCGGCAACAGCACAUCCCCUAGUAUCAUGUUUCUGUCACUCAAGCUAGACAUCAGGGGGCAUGAACCCACAAUCAUGCAUAACGCUCGCUCUCGUAGUUACAAUCUACUACUCGUCCAAAGCAAUAAAAAGGCAACAAAGAACAUGCAUGAAUCACUAAAGAACAUAAUAUAAAAGGAUAGUUAAAUAUAUAACUCAUAACAAUCUGAACAUAAUCUCAUAAUCCAUCAGAUCCCAGCAAACCGAGCAUAGCAAUAGCAAGAAAAUCACAUAGAUGCCUUGAUCAUUUAGGGCAGCUCACAAGGGCUAAUCAUAGAAGCACAAGAUUGGAGAGAAGACAUCACAUAGCUACUGGUCAUGGACUCAUGGUCCAAGGAGGACUACUCACGGCACGUCCAAGAAGCGUCCAUGGCAGUGGAGAAACUCCCGGAGGUCAAUCCCCCUCCGGUAGGGUGCCGGUAAGAGGUCUCCUGACGCUCCCGAUCUCGGAAGCGNNNNNNNNNNNNNNNNNNNNNNNNNNNNNNNNNNNNNNNNNNNNNNNNNNNNNNNNNNNNNNNNNNNNNNNNNNNNNNNNNNNNNNNNNNNNNNNNNNNNUUGGUCAUGGCGGAAGCUGCGGAUCCGCGGGGAGGAAGGAUAAGGAAGGAGUGUAGGUGCGCUGGAGGUGGCGAGAAGGACGGAGCAAGCGAAGGCAAGAGAUUCGGCGAGCGUAACGAAAAACCCUCGCCGCUGAGAUUUAAGUAAGGUUCCGACUGGGUCGCUGGCAGGUGGCCCCGAAACCUUAUCCCCCGACCAACCGCAGAGAUAUUAGUGGAGAGGUUGAAGGCGCGAGAAUCGAGACGUCAGGCGCUACUCGAGCGCGAUGGCGUCAUCCCCGCUGAGGGCGCGGUAACCGAAAUUUGAGGAUCCCAGAAAAUUCGCCGCUGUCAGUUGACCGGUCACGUCAGAAGAUACCGCGGAAGCACUCGGUUUCCGACAGUUUGUUUCACAAAUACUUCCACUCGGAUCGUUGAUUACAAAAGAUAAAAUGGAUCGAGGGAAGCAACGCCAAAGUCACAUCCGUACCAGUCGGAUCCAAACUUCAAGCAUCGCUUCGUCGUUCCAACCCCAAUCCAUUCGGNNNNNNNNNNNNNNNNNNNNNNNNNNNNNNNNNNNNNNNNNNNNNNNNNNNNNNNNNNNNNNNNNNNNNNNNNNNNNNNNNNNNNNNNNNNNNNNNNNNNGGGCCGGCCCACACCCUCCCGCGCCACCGCCCCUUUGGAUCCGGCGAGAAGAGCCACCCUCCGUCAUCACCGCCGCCGAGGAUCGACCACCUCGAGCGCACCCCCUCGUCACUGCCCAGGAUCACCCUCCACCGGUUAGUCCCUUUUUUGUGAUUUUUGCGAGCUGUGUAGUAGAUUGACGCGCCGGUGUGUGUGUAGAUGGAGUUGACCCCGUGCGAGAAGUUCUUACUAUCCGAUUCGUCCGAUUCGGAUGACUCGGAUUUUGAGACCAUGCUUGCGAACUUUCGGCAAUAAACAUUAGUCAUGGCGCUUGCCGUGAAGGAGCAUGAAGACGAGCACCGGAAGAGGAGGCGAGGAUCGACUGUCGGGCGUUUGUCCAUUCCUCGGAAUCGCCAUCUUAGGAACGAGAUGUUGAUGCAAGACUAUUUCACAGAGAAUCCUACAUAUCCUCUGCACCUCUUCCGGAGAAGGUACCGAAUGCGCCGAUCCCUCUUUGUGAAACUUGUUCAAGCUAGCGAGGCAAAUUGUCGGUAUUUUACUCAAAGAAGGAAGGUCACGGGCUUAAAGGGAUUAAGUGCAUAUCAAAAAAUCUCCGCAGCUAUGCGGGUGAUUGCAUAUGGCGUUUCGGCUGACUAUGCCGAUGAGUAUCUUCGCAUUGGUGAAGAUAGCACAACUGAGUCUGUGCGUAGAUUUGCCAAAGUGAUCACCCGUGUCUUCGGUCCUGGGUAUCUUCGGGCACCCAAUGAAGAUGACACAAAGAAAUUGAUGGCAGCUAAUGAGAGUUGAGGUUGGCCUGGCAUGCUAGGUAGCAUUGAUUGUAUGCAUUAGAAUUGGAAAAUUUUCCCCAAGGCUUGGCAAGGAAUGUAUUGUGGCAAGUCUCGUGAUGCAACAAUUAUGCUAGAGGCCGUAGCAUACGAGGAUUUAUGGAUUUGGCAUUGCUUUUUUGGUAUGCCGGGCACUUUCAAUGAUAUCAAGGUGUUGCAACGGUCUCAUUUGUUUGCUAGGCUUGCUAGUGGUGAUGCUCCUGCUUGCAACUACACUAUCAAUGGGCAUGAAUACACAAAGGGAUACUAUCUUGCAGAUGGUAUAUAUCCUCCUUGAUGCAUAUUUAUCAAGAGCAUCAAAGAACCCAAAACAAAAAAACAAUGUGAAUUUGCAAGGAUGCAAGAGGCAGCCCGCAAAGACAUUGAAAGAGCAUUGUUUUGCAAUCUAGGUUUGCCAUUGUCCGUGGUCCUGCUCGUUUUUUUGGAUAAGAAAACAUUGAAGAACAUCAUGACAUGCUGUGUAAUCCUGCACAAUAUGAUUCUUGAAGAUGAGAGAUGAUUGAACUUAGAAUUCUUCUACGACAAUGUGGGUAGCCGUGUUCAACCAGCUAGAGACCCAAACCGCGUUAGAGCUUUUCUUCAGACGUACAAGGAGAUUGAAAAUGCAGACACCCACUUUCAAUUUCAAAAAGAUCUCAUUGAGCACCAUUGGCAAAGGGCUGGACAGUGACUUAUUUUUGUAUUCAUUUGUAUUUGUAUUCAUGACAAGUUUUGUAUUGCAUUAUUUAAGUUUGCUACGGUUAUUUGAAUAAUUAUUUGUAAUGCGGAUGAUUAUUGUAUUAAGUUUGAUUCGAAUAAUUCAGUUUGUUUUCGAUUGUUGAAUUAUGUUGUAUUUGAUAUUUGUGGGCUGAUGAUAUGCGGGAUGCAGCGGCGCAAAGAGAAGACCCCGCAAAGCCGACCCGUAAAAAAGUAUGUUCCGUGAAUAUACCUUUUUACNNNNNNNNNNNNNNNNNNNNNNNNNNNNNNNNNNNNNNNNNNNNNNNNNNNNNNNNNNNNNNNNNNNNNNNNNNNNNNNNNNNNNNNNNNNNNNNNNNNNNNNNNNNNNNNNNNNNNNNNNNNNNNNNNUGGGGGAUCUGCAUCUGUGCCAGCCCGGGCCAGCUCGCAAAAGCUGUUUUGCGCGAACUGCAAACGCGUUUGCGGGCCGGCGCGAUGCGGGGUCUGCUAUAGUUGCUCUAAGACCAUCUCCAACAGGCCCCCAAAAGCUACUCCGCGCGCUAAAAGAUCUUUUUUUUGGGCGCCGGACAGCUCCAAAGNNNNNNNNNNNNNNNNNNNNNNNNNNNNNNNNNNNNNNNNNNNNNNNNNNNNNNNNNNNNNNNNNNNNNNNNNNNNNNNNNNNNNNNNNNNNNNNNNNNNCCUCCAGCAAGUCUAUGUCGGUGACCCCCCUUCUGACGACAUCUACGAGUGCGUCGACCAGAGGCUUGAUGUCGUUCUUCUCCGCCUUCGUGAGCGCAAGCUGCUUAGGCAGAGCGGGCCGAUCUAAGCUAAAGGGAGGCAACCCUGUCGUGGCAUUCGGGCAGGCAACGUCCUGGCAGUAGAACCACGUCGACUGCCAGUUCCUGACCGACUCACUCAGCUGAAGGGCAGGAUAACUACUCCGACUCUUUUUCUGGAAACCUAAGCCUCCGCAGAGCUGGAGAAGAUGUGUCUUAUCGUCCGACUGGCUGAGUUGUUUGAUGGUUUGAGAUCUAGAAGAGAAUAUGUGCUUGAACAGCCCCCAAUGGGGAGGACAGCCAAUGAAGCACUCGCACAGAACUAUGAAAGCAGAAAGAUAGGCAAUAGCGUUCGGGGGAAAGUGGUGAAGCUAUGCCCCGAAGUGAUUCAUAAUGCCCUUGAAGAAAGGAUGCGGGGGCAAGGAGAAACCUCGAUAGACAUGGCUGAGCAGCAGGACGCGCUCCCCCUCCCGGGGCGCCGGCUCGACCUCAUUCUCCGUCGGCAGCCUCCAAGAUUUGUGCACGAUCAUCCCGUGCUCCACCAGCUGCAGCAGAUCCCCCUCCGUCACCGUGGAGGGGAGGAAGUCGCCUUGAAUACACCCCGCCAGCAGCGGUCGCUGCCGCCGCUGAGCAGGAGCCGCCGCCUUCCCCUUCUUCUUCCUUGCCUCCAUCUUGCUGGUCUGACCCUUGGUCAUGGCGGAAGCUGCGGAUCCGCGGGGAGGAAGGNNNNNNNNNNNNNNNNNNNNNNNNNNNNNNNNNNNNNNNNNNNNNNNNNNNNNNNNNNNNNNNNNNNNNNNNNNNNNNNNNNNNNNNNNNNNNNNNNNNNACCAUAGUUUGAGGAGUUCAUGUGUUCACCAAGUGCUAAUGCGUUGUUCCGGUUCUUUAUUAAAAGGAGAACCUUAAUAUCUCGUAGUAUCCUUUUGGACCCCUCUGCCACGGGAGGGAUGGACAAUAGAUGUCAUGUAAUUUCUUUUCCCUAAGCACGUAUGACGACACACGGAAUGCAUGCCUACAUAACAUUGACGAACGGGAGCUAGCCACAUAUCUCUUCGUGUUAUAACUGUUGCAUGAUGAAUGUCAUCCAAACAAAUCACCGACCCAUUGCCUACGAGUUUGUCCCACUGCUGUUGUUAGUUGUUUUGCUUUGUUGCUGUUACUUGUUUUGCUCUGCUGCUGUUACUACUGUUGUUGCUGCUGUUACUUGCUUUGCUCUGAUGUUACUUGCUACUGUUGCUACUUGCUACUGCUGUCACUACUAUUGUUCCUUCCCACUAUUGUUACUCGUUACACUGCUGCUACCUGCUACAAUACUUUUUCUCGCACCGUUGCCGGGAAAGAAUAUUUCCCGUCCACAGGCAACUUCUGGCGCCAUUGAUACAACCGUUAGGAAUAGUCUGCCGUUAACAUAUCAUUUCUGGCACCGUUGCUAUCAUACUACUUUGCUACUGAUACUUUGCUUGCACACACUAAUCUUUCAGGUGUGGUUGAAUCUGACACAUUCAGCUGCUAAUACUUGAGAAUAUCCUUUCACUUCCUGUCGGGCGAACCAACAAAUUUGGGUUGAAUACUCUACCCUCGAAAACUGCCGUGAACCCACGCACUGGUGGGCCAUUGCAAGACAAUUGCUAAUUGUUGAGCAACUGGGAGCAGUCACCGCACGGUAUGAACCCAAAACCAAGCACUUCUCCCAUUGCAAGAAUCAUAUAUCUAGUUGUCCAAACAAAACCCACAACUCGAAGAGAAUUAUAAGGAUAUGAAAUCAUGCAUAAGAGAGAUCAGAAGAAACUCAAAUAUGAUUCGUAGAUAAUCUGAUAAUAAAUCCACAAUUCAUCAGAUCUCGACAAACACAACGCAAAAGAAGAUUACAUCGGAUAGAUCUCCAUGAAGAUCAUGGAGAACUUUGUAUUGAAGAUCCAAGAGAGAGAAGAAGCCAUCUAGCUACUAGCUAUGGACCCGUAGGUCUAUGGUGAACUACUCACGCAUCAUCAGAGAGGUCAUGGUGUUGAUGAAGAAGCCCUCCGUGUCCGAAUCCCCCCUUCGGCAGGGCACUAGGACGUGCCCCAGAUGUGAUCUUGCGGAGACAGAAGCUUGCGGCGGCGGAAAAGCGAUUGCGAUGUUCUCCUGCUUUUUCUGGAAUAUAUGGGAAUAUAUAGGCGAAAGACAUAGGGCAAAGGGCGUCCAGGGGGCCCACAAGCCUGGAUGGNNNNNNNNNNNNNNNNNNNNNNNNNNNNNNNNNNNNNNNNNNNNNNNNNNNNNNNNNNNNNNNNNNNNNNNNNNNNNNNNNNNNNNNNNNNNNNNNNNNNUGUUAUGGGGACCCCCUUGAUAAUUCGUUUUAGAUUAAAGCUGGUCUGGCAAGGCCCAACAUUGGUUUUACAUUUGCCCAACAUAAUAAUUUUGAUAAUACUGAAAUGCAUAGGGAGUUAGCGCUACCCGAGGAGUAAUUUUACAUAAACAGGAGGGGCCAGUGCUGAUGGUGUUGGUCCCAAACGGUCUGCCUGCGAGGCCACCGCGAGGAAACUCGAGGUUUGGCACUCGUAGCUAGUUCCAUCCGUCGUGUCCUGAGAACGAGAUACGCGGCUCCUAUCGGGUACGUCGACACGUCGGGCGGCCUUGCUGGAUUAGUUUUACCUUUGACGAGAUAUCUUGUGCAUCGGGAUUCCGGUGAUGCUUUGGGUAAUCUCAGAGUUGAGGUUUUCCACUAGGGAAAUCGACGAGAUCGCGAGCUUCGUGAUUGAGGAUUUCUACGCGGCUUGUGGUAAUUUGUGAUGGACUAGUUGGAGCACCCCUGCAGGGUUAAAUCUUUCAGAAAGCCGUGCCCGCGGUUAUGUGGCAACGUGGAUACUUUGUUUAACACUGGUUCUAGAUAACUUGAAGUUAACUUAAUUAAAAUAUGCCAACUGUGUACGUAACCGUGACUGUCUCUUUCGUGAGUUCCUUCUCCGAUCGAGGACACGGUGGGGUUAUGUCUGACGUAGGUAGGUGUUCAGGAUCAUUCAUUUGAUCAUCUGUAGAUCACGACCGUUAUGCGUAGAUCUUCCCCCUCUUAUUCCUGGUACUCGUAAGUUAGCCACCAAAUAUAUGCUUAGUCGCUGCUGCAACCUCACCACUUAACCAUACCUCACCCAUUAAGCUUUGCUAGUCUUGAUACCUUUGGAAAUGAGAUUGCUGAGUCCCCUGUGGCUCACAGAUUACUACAACACCAGUUGCAGGUACGGGUAAAGGUUACUUAACGUGAGCGCGUUGAUUGUUCAUUUGGAGAUGCUUCUUCUUCUUCUUCUUCUUCUUCGAUCUAGGAUGGGUUCCAGGCCGGCAGCCUGGGAUAACAAGGAUGGACGUCGUUCUUCUUUUGUCGUUUGUUUUCGUCCGUAGUCGGACCCUGCUCUUACUCUUGAUGAUUAUGUAAUGUACUGAUGUGACUCUGAUGUAGCUUGUGGCGAGUGUAAGCCAACNNNNNNNNNNNNNNNNNNNNNNNNNNNNNNNNNNNNNNNNNNNNNNNNNNNNNNNNNNNNNNNNNNNNNNNNNNNNNNNNNNNNNNNNNNNNNNNNNNNNUAAGAGCAGGGUCCGACUACGGACGAAAACAAACGACAAAAGAAGAACAACGUCCAUCCUUGCUAUCCCAGGCUGCCGGCCUGGAACCCAUCCUAGAUCGAUGAAGAAGAAGAAGAAGAAGAAGCAACUCCAAAUGAACAAUCAACGCGCUCACGUUAAGUAACCUUUACCCGUANNNNNNNNNNNNNNNNNNNNNNNNNNNNNNNNNNNNUGAAGAAGAAGAAGAAGAAGAAGCAACUCCAAAUGAACAAUCAACACGCUCGCGUUAAGUAACCUUUACACGUACCUGCAACUGGUGUUGUAGUAAUCUGUGAGCCACAGGGGACUCAGCAAUCUCAUUUCCAAAGGUAUGAAGACUAGCAAAGCUUAAAUGGGUGAGGGAAGGUUAAGUGGUGAGGAUGCAGCAGCGACUAAGCAUAUAUUUGGUGGCUAAACUUACGAGUACAAGAAGUAAGAGGGGGAAGAUCUACGCAUAACGGACGUGAACUACUGAUGAUCAAAUGAAUGAUCCUGAACACCUACCUACGUCAGACAUAACCCCACCGUGUCCUCGAUCGGAGAAAGAACUCAAGAAAGAGACAGUCACGGUUACGCACACAGUUGGCAUGUUUUAAUUAAGUUAACUUCAAGUUAUCUAGAACCAGUGUUAAACAAAGUUUCCACGUUGCCACAUAACCGCGGGCACGGCUUUCCGAAAGAUUUAACCCUGCAGGGGUGCUCCAACUAGUCCAUCACAAAUUACCACAAGCCGCNNNNNNNNNNNNNNNNNNNNNNNNNNNNNNNNNNNNNNNNNNNNNNNNNNNNNNNNNNNNNNNNNNNNNNNNNNNNNNNNNNNNNNNNNNNNNNNNNNNNUAGGAAGCUGAGCUCACCCAAUUCCUCCGUGAGAACUGGGACAUCUUCGCAUGGAAACCCUCUGACAUGCCAGGUGUACCCAGGGAGUUGGCUGAGCACCGACUACAUGUGGACCCCGUCGCCCGGCCCGUCCGAGAGCGCCUGCGCCGGUCUGCCGCGCACAAGAGGAAGGCAAUCGGGGAGGAGGUGGCGAAGCUGCUGGCAGCCAACUUCAUUCGCGAGGUUCACCACUCCGAGUGGCUCGCCAAUGUUGUCAUGGUGCCCAAGAAGGACAAGUCGCUCCGAAUGUGCAUCGACUUCAAGCAUCUCAAUAAGGUCUGCCCGAAAGACCAUUUUCCGCUCCCCCGCAUAGAUCAAAUUGUCGAUUCGACUGCGGNNNNNNNNNNNNNNNNNNNNNNNNNNNNNNNNNNNNNNNNNNNNNNNNNNNNNNNNNNNNNNNNNNNNNNNNNNNNNNNNNNNNNNNNNNNNNNNNNNNNNNNNNNNNNNNNNNNNNNNNNNNNCGAGCAUUUGUCAUUUCUUGAUGCCUACUCGGGCUAUCCUCAGAUCCGUCUGUAUGGCCCCGAUGAAUUAAAGACAGCCUUCAUCACCCCAUUCGGGUGCUUCUGCUACAUCACUAUGCCAUUUGGUUUGAAGAAUGCAGGAGCUACCUUUAUGCGCAUGAUCCAAAAAUGCCUUCUCGACCAGAUCGGUUGGAAUGUGGAGGCAUAUAUGGAUGAUAUCGUAGUCAAGUCACGCAAAGGUUUCGACCUGCUGACUGACUUGGCAGAAACAUUCGCCAACCUUCGUAUAUACGAUAUCAAGCUCAACCCCGCCAAAUGUUCAUUCGGCGUUCCCAGCGGGAAGUUACUCGAUUUCUUCGUUUCCGAACGAGGGAUCGAUGUCAACCCCGAAAAGAUCGGGACCAUCGUCCGAAUGGAGAGGCCAGUCAGAAUACACGAUGUUCAACGGCUCACAGGUUGCCUAGCGGCUUUGAGCAGGUUCAUCAGUCGACUCGGCGAGAAAGUACUUCCUCUGUACCGACUCAUGAAGAAAUCAGAUACUUUCGAGUGGACAGACGAAGCCCAAGUCGCAUUCGACGACCUCAAAGUCCUACUUUCCACCCAGACAGUUCUUACUGCUCCGCUCAGUAAAUAGCCCCUUCUUCUGUAUAUCGCGGCUACAAAUCAAGUCGUCAGUACUGUUCUUACAGUCGAACGAGAAGAAGAAGGCAAAGCAUACAAAGUGCAGCGGCUAGUGUACCACGUCUCCGAGGUCCUGACUCCUUCCAAGCAGAGGUAUCCCCACUAUCAAAAACUUAUCUACGGGAUUUAGAUGACUGCGAAGAAGGUGGCCCAUUAUUUCCAAGACCACUCGGUGUCUGUCGUUUCUGAUGCUCCGUUGUCGGAAAUUCUCCACAAUCGAGACGCGUCAGGCCAUGUGGCGAAGUGGGCAAUGGAGAUGCUGUACUGCGAUAUCAAGUUCGAGGCCAAGAAAGCUAUUAAGUCUCAAGCUCUGGCUGACUUCAUAGCAGAAUGGGUAGAACAACAGCAACCGACCCACAUCUACUCGGCCCAUUGGACAAUGUUCUUCGAUGGGUCCAAGAUGUUGAAUGGCUCCGGCGCUGGCGUUGUGAUCAUAUCGCCAAAGGGCGACAAACUCAAGUACGCGCUAUAGAUACACUUCAAUUCCUCCAACAACGAGGCAGAGUAUGAAGCUCUCCUCUACGGAUUGCGCAUGGCCAUCUCACUCGGCGUCCGUCGCCUGANNNNNNNNNNNNNNNNNNNNNNNNNNNNNNNNNNNNNNNNNNNNNNNNNNNNNNNNNNNNNNNNNNNNNNNNNNNNNNNNNNNNNNNNNNNNNNNNNNNNAGAUGUCGAACCCCAACCUAACAUCAUGCAUUUUGUUGGAAGAUUAUCCUAUAAGCAACUACUUGAAUUCCCACCUAAGAAUUCCCGAAAUAUCUGGUCAUGCAAUCUGGUACACGGAUACAAGGAGUAAAAACACACAACUCCUAUACUAAUCCGUCACCUGUAUCACAUCCGUCCACACACAACCAAAAUCUCGGACCUUCAUCUACAACAGACCCUCGUGAUCACAACGGUACAAAGUAUGGCAGUACUCCCGAACAAUCUGCACCAGUACUGGGGACAUCGGGGUUAUGUCGCCACUACUAGUAUUGAAGCAAUUACGAACAUCCUUUGUCCUGAGAUACUAAGAAAUCUGAAUGAUAGCGAUGUGCUCGAGAAUCCCCUGGAGCUCAACUCCCCGGAAGAAAAUCAAGUCGGACAGGAGGCACCAAGACAGAACUCCGUCACAUCGGCAUCAUAUAGAUCUCAAAAAUAUCCGCGUGAUCCUAAAAAAAAUUUGAGUGAGAAGAGGAGUAGAAUUAAAAUAUUACGUCAAGAUUCCUCACCAGAGCAUAGAAGAGGAGAAAAAAGAAUCCUACUCUCCGAUAUGUAACUAAGACUCAAAUAGUUUUUUCACUAGACUCCACUCGGCGAAGUUCGAUCAAUCAAGGGGGCUCCUAGGUCGGUCCUUGCUCUGAUACCAACUUGUCACGCCCAAGAAGCGACCCUAUCCUCAAUUUGGCACGAAGGCCUCGUCAGGGAUAGAAGCNNNNNNNNNNNNNNNNNNNNNNNNNNNNNNNNNNNNNNNNNNNNNNNNNNNNNNNNNNNNNNNNNNNNNNNNNNNNNNNNNNNNNNNNNNNNNNNNNNNNCCCCCAGGGUCUACUCCACACCAUAUUUUCAGCCUUACACUUUUUACUUCGUUGCACUUUCCGCCUUCAGAUCUCACUUUGCAAACAAUCUUGAAGGGAUUGACAACCCCUUUGGAACAUUGGUUGCAAGCUUGUUUGUGUUUGCGCGGGUACUCUAGACUUGACGAGACCCUCCUUCUGGAUCGAUACCUUGGUUCUCAAACUAAGGGAAAUACUUACUGCUCCUGUGCUGCAUCACCCUUUCCUCUUCAAGGGAAGAACCAACGCAAGCCCAGCCUCUGUCAACGUGUCAAUUUCUGGCGUCGUUGUCUGUGGGAUAGGAAAAGAAUUUAUGGCGCCGUUGCCGGGGAGGAAGAUCAAGUCAAGAACUCAUCCAAGUAGGUGUCGCAAACUCAUCUCAUGCAUUUACUUUGUUUGCCACUUGCCUCUCGUUUUCCUCUCCCCCACUUCACCAAUUUGCCUUUUUCGUUCGCCUUCUUGUUCGCCCUUUUUCUCGCCUGCUCUUUGUUUGCUUGUGUGCUUGCUUGCCUGCUAAAGCCCGAAUGGCCCCACUAAGGGAUUUUGAUGCUCACUUUGCGAAGUUAGAAGAGAUUGAAACUAGUGUUAAAGGCUUCAUGUCUACACAGUUUGAAUAUAAUAGUUACUUCCGUAGAGAGCUGAAGGAGCAAAAUUCUUUUCUGGCUUUUAUGAGUAGAGAAGUUGAUGAUAUGGCCAAAGAAUUCCUUGCGCUGAAUUCUCAGUUUGCUCGUCUUGAAAAGCUAGUGGGCCAGAUUUCUUAUAAGCAAGCUACUUUAGUCAAUAAAAUGGCUGCUAAACCCAAAACUCGUGAUGAGAAUCACAAAGAUCUUAAAGUGCUUGGUGUGACUCCCAUUUAAUCUUUGUUUUCUUGUGUCAAACCUAAUGAUUAUGGGGCUGGAUAUGAAUCCACUUUGGUUGAAAAGUGCCCCAAUGAUUCAGAGUCCAUCUAUCUUAAUGCUAAAACCAUUAAAAGUGGAAUAGAAGAUGUUAAAACUUUGAGUAGUAAUGAAAUUACUAUACCGUGGAUUUCAAGGAAUUCAAUUAUGAUAGUUGCUCCUUGAUUGAAUGCAUUUCUUUGAUGCAAUCCAUGUUGAGCUCUCCACACGCUUAUAGCCAAAACAAAGCCUUUACCGAUCAUAUCGUCGAAGCUAUGAUAAAAUCUCUUGAGGAGAAACUUCAAUUGGAAGUCUCUAUCCCUAGAAAGCUUCAUGAUGAGUGGGAACCUACCAUCAAAAUCAAAAUCAAAAACUAUGAGUGCAAUGCCUUGGGUGAUUUGGGUGCUAGUGUUUCUGUGAUUCCAAAGUCUUUAUGUGAUGUUCUGGGUUUUAAUGAGAUUGAAGAGUGUUCUCUUAAUUUGCAUCUUGCUGAUUCUACGGUCAUGAAACCCAUGGGAAGGAUCAAUGAUGUUCUAAAUAUUGCAAGUAGGAACUAUGUACCCGUGGAUUUCACUGUGCUUGACAUUGAUUGCAAUCCUACUUGUCCUAUUAUUCUUGGUAGACCUUUCCUAAGGACUAUCGGUGCUAUCAUCGAUAUGAAGGAAGGGAAUAUUAGAUUUCAAUUUCCUUUAAGGAAGGGCAUGGAACACUUUCAUAGAAAGAAAAUAAGAUUGCCUUAUGAAUCCAUGAUGAGGGCCACUUAUGGUUUGAGCACCAAAGACGACGAUACGUGAUUCUAUCGCUUCUAUGCCUAGCUAAGGGCGUUAAACAAUAGCGCUUGUUGGGAGGCAACCCAAUGAAUUUAUCUUUUGCUUUCUGUUUUGUUGCGUCCACGCUUUCACAAUUAUGUUGUGAUUGUGUUUUUUGUGUUUCUUUUUGUGUUUGAGCCAAGCAAAACCUUUAUGACUAGUCUUGGUAAUGGUUGUUUGAUCCUGCUGGAAAAAGACAGCAACUUUUCGCUCACGAGAUGAUUUUUCAUUUUUAUUCAGAAAGAGCUUUUGAGUUGAUUAUUUUUGCUGCUGAUUGAUAUGAUUUUUUUCCAGGCCGUCGUAAUUGUUCAGAUUUUUUGAGGUAACAGAAGUAUACGAAGUAUACAGAUUGCUACAGACUCGUCUCUUUUUGACAGAUUCUGUUUUUGUUGAGUUGGUUGCUUGUUUUGAUGAANNNNNNNNNNNNNNNNNNNNNNNNNNNNNNNNNNNNNNNNNNNNNNNNNNNNNNNNNNNNNNNNNNNNNNNNNNNNNNNNNNNNNNNNNNNNNNNNNNNNUUUUCAGAUCUGAUUUUGGAACGGAGUCCAAACGGAAUAAAAUCCCCGAAAUGAUAUUUUCCCGAACAGAAGAAGAUCAGGGGGCUUGUGGGCAGGCUUGUGGCCUACCUGGCACCCCCUGACCUAGAUCCUGCGCCUAUAUAUUCCCUAAAAUACAGAAAAAAAUCAAGGGAUCCACGAAAAUACUUUUCCGCCGCUGCAAGCUUCCGUUGCCGCGAGAUCUCAUCUGGAGACCCUUCCCGGUGCCGUGCCGGAGGGGACUUUGGAGUUGGAGGGCUUCUACAUCAACACCAUCGCCCCUCCAAUGACUCGUGAGUAGUUCACUUCAGACCUACGGGUCCGUAGUUAGUAGCUAGAUGGCUUCUUAUCUCUCUUGGAUCUUCAAUACAAAGUUCUCCAUGAUCUUCAUGGAGAUNNNNNNNNNNNNNNNNNNNNNNNNNNNNNNNNNNNNNNNNNNNNNNNNNNNNNNNNNNNNNNNNNNNNNNNNNNNNNNNNNNNNNNNNNNNNNNNNNNNNNNNNNNNNNNNNNNNNNNNNNNNNNNNNNNNNNNNNNNNNNNNNNNGGUGUGUUUGUCGAGAUUCGAUGAAUCGUGGACUUGUGAUCAGAUUAUCUAUGAUAUAUAUUUGAGUCUUUGCUGAUUUCUUAUAUGCAUGAUUUGAUAUCCUUGNNNNNNNNNNCUCUUUGGCGGUGUGUUUGUCGAGAUCCGAUGAAUUGUGGAUUUGUGAUCAGAUUAUCUAUGAAAUAUAUUUGAGUCUUUGCUGAUUUCUUAUUUGCAUGAUUUGAUAUCCUUGUAAGUCUCUCUGAGUCUUGGGUUUUGUUUGGCCAACUAGAUCUAUGAUUCUUGCAAUGGGAGAAGUGCUUGGUUUUGGGUUCAUACCGUGUGAUGACCUUUCCCAGUGACAGAAGGGGCAGCAAGGCACGCAUCGUGUUGUUGCCAUCAAGGGUAACAAGAUGGGCUUUCAUCGUAGAUAUGAGAUUGUCCAUCUACAUCAUGUCAUCUUGCUUAAGGCAUUACUCUGUUCUUUUGAACUUAAUACACUAGAUGCAUGCUGGAUAGCGGUCGAUGUGUGGAGUAAUAGUAGUAGAUGCAGAAAGUAUUGGUCUAAUUGUUUUGGACGUGAUGCCUAUAGAUAUAAUCAUUGCCUUAGAUAACGUCACGACUUUGCGCGGUUCUAUCAAUUGCUCGACAGUAAUUCGUUCACCCACCGUCUAUUUGCUUUCAUGAGAGAAGCCACUAGUGAACACUAUGGCCCCCGGGUCUAUUCACAACUAUCGUUUCCACUUUCACUUUUACUUUGCUUUGUUUACUCUUUGCUUUUAGUUCUCACUUUGCAAACAAUCUAUAAGGGAUUGACAACCCCUUCACAGCAUUGGGUGCAAGCUCGUUGUGUUUGUGCAGGUACUUGCGACUUGAACGCUCCCCCUACUGGAUUGAUACCUUGGUUCUCAAACUGAGGGAAAUACUUACCGCCACUGUGCUACAUCACCCUUUCCUCUUCAAGGGAACACCAACGCAAGGCUCCAAGGCCGCGGGGAAAUCCUUUGCAUAUUUGCUAAGGAAGUCCCUAUAGGCGUAGUCGUAGAAGCAGGAUUCCUGGCGCCGUUGCCAGGGAAGGUCUGUUGUCGCAGUAGCAGAAGGAUUUCUGGCGCCGUUGCCGGGGAGGAGGAUCAAGUCAAGAAUAAGUCUCCCGUCAAAGUGCCGAUUUCGGGCGCCGUUGCAAGGGAGGAGAUCUAGCCAAGUAGGUGUCCCAAACUCAUCUCUUGCAUUUACCUUUUUUGCCAGUUGCCUCUCGUUUUCCUCUCCCCCACUUCACAUUUGUCGUUUUCAUUUGCCUUUCUCCCUUGCCGUUUUCAUUUGCCUUUUUGCCUUUUUCGUUUGCCUUUUUACGUUUGCCUUUUUCGUUCGCCCUUUCCUCUUGCUUGCUUUCUAUUUGCUUGUGUGCCAUGUGCCUUCAAUAUGCUUGCAUCUUCGCUUGCUGAAAAUCUAGUGAUAUGGAUCCUCAUCCACUUGCUAAUCUCUUUAAGAGAUCCAAUUAUGUUGAUCCAAUUGCUAGUGAGUUGAGUGCACUUGACUAUCUUUAUGGAGUUUUGCUUGAGAUGCGUGAAUCUGAAAACUGUGAGGAAGAAAAUUAUGAAGUGAUUCACGAGGGCUCCUUGGAUAAAAAGCAUGAUUGCAAUGGUUUCACUAUAAAUUCUAUUAGUGACAAUCAUGCUAAAACUAUGCAAAACCCUAAGCUUGGGGAUGCUAGUUUUGCUACUUGUUGCAAUGAUCGUGAUUGGGGUGACAAUUUUUCUUAUGAUCUUGAAAUUUUGUUUAAGCCUCAUGAUGAUUAUGAUAUUUGCAACAAUAUUGAAAGUGGGAUUGGAGAAGUCAUGACUUUAUUUGAUGAUAAUCCCACUAUUUUUGAAGAGCGACAACUUUGCAUGCAUGUGGAUCAUGAAAAGAAUAUCCUAUGUGAUAGCUACAUUGUUGAAUUCGAAUAUGAUCCCACAUGUAAUUGCUAUGAGAGAGGAAAAUAUGGUGGUAGAAACUUUCAUAUCACUAAAUCANNNNNNNNNNAUUGUCUCUUUCUUCUUCCUUGCAUUUGGUAACUAUUGGUUGUCUUUCCAAUUUGUUUUCCUAUAAAAUGCCUAUGCAUAGGAAGUAUGUAAGACUUAGAUGUGAUUUUCACAUGCUUUAUGAUGCUCUCGUUGUGCUUCAACUCUUGUCUUUUGUGUGAGCAUCAUUGAUGCCUAGCUAAGGGCGUUAAACAAUAGCGCUUGUUGGGAGGCAACCCAACGAAUCUAUCCUUUUUCUUUUUGUUUUGUGUUUUUCACACUUUCAUAAUUCUGUUAUGAUUGUGUUUUUUGUGUUUCUUUUUGUGCUUGUGCCAAGCAAAACCGUUAUGAUUACUCUUGGGGAUGAUCGUUUGGUCAUGCUGGAAAAGACAGAAACUUUCUGCUCACGAAAAUAAUUUUCCUUUUUUUCUGUAAGAGAUUUUGAGUUGAUUAUUUUUGCUGCUGAUUUCUACGCAAAUUCUUCAGACUGUCGUAAUUUUUUCAGAAUUUUUGAAGUACAAAAGUAUACGAAGUAUACAGAUUGCUACAGACUGGUCUGCUGUUAACAGAUUCUGUUUUUGUUGAGUUGGUUGCUUAUUUUGAUGAAACUAUGGAUAAUAUCAGGGGGUAUUAGCCAUGGAAGAUUGAAAAUACAGUAACCCAACAUCAACAUUAGUAUAAUUUAAGUUUUCUACAGUACCUAAGGAAGUGGUGGUUUGCUUUCUUAUACUAAUGUUAUCACGAGUUUCUGUUUAAGUUUCGUGUUGUGAAGUAUUCAAGUUUUGGGUGAAGUUCUUAUGGACAAAGAGAUAAAGAGUGGCAAGAGCUCAAGCUUGGGGAUGCCCAAGGCACCCCAAGUUGAUUCAAGGAUGUUGUAAAAGCCUAAGCUUGGGGAUGCCCCGGGAAGGCAUCCCCUCUUUCGUCUUCAAUCCAUCGGUAACGUUACUUGGGGCUAUAUUUUUAUUCACCACAUGUUAUGUGUUUUGCUUCGAGCGUCUUGUAUCGUAGGAGUCUUUUAUUUUUGUUGUGUCGCAAUCUUCCUUGCUACACACCUAGAGAGAGAGACAUGCACUCACCGUGAUUUUGUCGAGCUUCACUUAUAUCCUUUGGUUAGACAAUUCAGCUCACUUGUGCUUCACUUAUAUCUUUUGAGCUAGUUGCUUUUGCUAUAUGUGCUUCACUUGUAUAUUUUAGAGCACGGAAGCACGUGGCUUGGUAGUUGAUCUAUGCUAUGAUAGUAGUCUCAAAAGGGAUAGUUAUCCAAAGGGAUAUGAAAACUUCCACCUUCAUGUCCAUUGAAUAGUUAGAGAAGUUUGAUUCAUCUCAAUUAGUUUUGAGUUGUGGUUGUGGUAAUAUUGAAGUUAUAUUAGUAAGGUGUUGUGGAUCUAGAAAUACUUGUGUUGAAGUUAGUGAUUCCCGUAGCAUGCACGUNNNNNNNNNNNNNNNNNNNNNNNNNNNNNNNNNNNNNNNNNNNNNNNNNNNNNNNNNNNNNNNNNNNNNNNNNNNNNNNNNNNNNNNNNNNNNNNNNNNNUUAAAGAUAAUGACCAAUAUGGUGUAGAUCUUGUAGUAAUAGAAAACAUAGUCUGACUAUUGUCAGUAGAUGUUUAUAAUUCUAUUACCUUAUGUUAUGCUAAAUGUAUGAAAUCACUUUGAAGGCAAUCAUUUGUCAAAGUGACAUAUGUAGACCUUGCAGUAAUAGUGAUAGUCUGUAAUUUUUUUUUUACAGUAGAUGCCAAUAUUACCUUAUGAUAUCUAGAGGUAGUCAUAUAUUAAUAUUUGGAAGGGCACUUUGAAGGUAAUCAUCUUGUAAAACACAAGAUGUAGACCUCAUAGUAGUGAUGAAUAAUCUACGAAUUGUGCAGUAGAUGUCAUCAGUACCUUGUAAUUCACAAAUAAAAAUUUAGAUGCCGCCAUAUCAAGUAUGAGACUACGUAAUCCUUGUUUGGAAUUACAAUAAGAUUUGCAAAAAUUAAAAUUAAUUGCAAAAAUAUAGUUGUUCUCCAAAAACACAUGCCUUAGGGAAUGUUAGGGGCAAAGACAUAUAUUGUCUUAAAUUCCGAAGGAAUAAAUGCACGUAAAACAUUCUUUUGCAUUUAUAUUAGUAUUACUGUGGUAAUACGUAUAGAUGCAAAACUUAAUAAUUUACAUAUUUAUGUAAUAUAUGAAGACAUGAGGCUUCACAUGAUAUUUUACAAGAUGUAAAAUGCUGCAUAAUUAUAUUUUAUGCAGUCUUGAAAGCCAUAAAGGUCUAACAUGAGGGGAAAGGGAAUAUCUUAUGCACAAAUGGAAUGCAGUCAGAGGACUAGCUGCAAAACUGUGAAGAAUAAGAUUCCUCAUCGUUUUCGUUCUUGUGCUUGGAUAGAACUGAAAUCGGAAAGUAGCACCUUGAUUCUUGUACGUAGCAAUUAGAUCCAGGCUUUCGUAUUUGCUUCGGUUGCUUGUUAACUCCGAUUUCUCUCUUUCAUGAUUCCAUCCAUGAUCCAUCAGGCCAGGAAUUUGCAUGUAUGCAGAAAAUGAAGAUCACCAGAGCCCAGAGACUGGUAUGGGACCGCCCGAAUUGCUGCCUCUAUUGUUUGAUGAAGUUGCAGUGCGUCGGUCGUUCCCACAAGCGUUGGACGGAUCUGUCGUACAACGAAGGCUAUCGUUGCUCCAUGGCCAUGGUCGUCCGUAAGCGCCAUGUCGAUGAUGGCCUAGUCGUUCUGUCGGGACGGAGUCAUGUACUGGCUGGAUGUCCUGGGCCGUGGGUACGAUGUCCUGGGCUGAGCGCCCCUGCCAGGGGGCAUCAGCGUUUCAUGCACCGGAGGUUGAUCCUUCUUUCAUGUGUGUGCAGAUCCGAUGAAGAGAUUCAUNNNNNNNNNNNNNNNNNNNNNNNNNNNNNNNNNNNNNNNNNNNNNNNNNNNNNNNNNNNNNNNNNNNNNNNNNNNNNNNNNNNNNNNNNNNNNNNNNNNNNNNNNNNNNNNNNNNNNNNNNNNNNNNNNNNNNGUCUGUGUGCAGCAACGUACAAAUCUACACACAGGUCGAUCACGAACUCUGUAGCAUAACUAAAGUUAGCCAAUCAUGAACCUAGACGAACAGCUCGAGNNNNNNNNNNNNNNNNNNNNNNNNNNNNNNNNNNNNNNNNNNNNNNNNNNNNNNNNNNNNNNNNNNNNNNNNNNNNNNNNNNNNNNNNNNNNNNNNNNNNGGGACGUGAGGACGUUCCACUACAUCAACCGCGUUCUCUAACGCUUCUGCUGUACGAUCUACAAGGGUACGUAGAUCACUCAUCCCCGCUCGUAGAUGCACAUCACCAUGAUAGGUCUUCGUGCGCGUAGGAAAUUUUUUGUUUCCCAUGCGACGUUCCCCAACAGAGAACUCUUCUACCUCUCUGUCUCUCUUGCUGGAUCAAGAAGGCCGAGAUCAUCGUCGAGCUGUACGUUUGCUGAACGCGGAGGUGCCGUCCGUUCGGUACUAGAUCGUGGGACUGAUCGCGGGAUUGUUCGCGGGGCGGAUCGAGGGACGUGAGGACGUUCCACUACAUCAACCGCGUUCUCUAACGCUUCUGCUGUACGGUCUACGAGGGUAUGUAGAUCACUCAUCCCCUCUCGUAGAUGGACAUCAGCAUGAUAGGUCUUCGUGCGCGUAGGAAAAUUUUUGUUUCCCAUGCGACGUUCCCCAACAGUGGCAUCAUGAGCUAGGUUCAUGCGUAGAUGUCUUCUCGAGUAGAACACAAAAGUUUUUGUGGGCGGUGAUGUGCGUUUUGCUGCCCUCCUUAGUCUUUUCUUGAUUCCACGGUAUUGUUGGAUUGAAGCGGCUUGGACCGACAUUACUCGUACGCUUACGGGAGACUGGUUUGAUCGUUACGAGUAACCCCCUUUGCUCAAAGAUGACUGGCAAGUGACGGUUUCUCCAACUUUAGUUGAAUCGGAUUUGACCGAGGAGGUCCUUGGAUGAGGUUAAAUAGCAACUCAUAUAUCUCCGUUGUGGUGUUUGCGUAAGUAAGAUGCGAUCCUACUAGAUACCCUUGGUCACCACGUAAAACUUGCAACAACAAAAUUAGAGGACGUCUAACUUGUUUAUGCAGGGUAGGAUUGUGAUGUGAUAUGGCCAACGAUGUGAUGUGAUAUAUUGGAUGUAUGAGAUGGUCAUGUUGUAAUAGAAAUAUCGACUUGCACGUCGAUGGUACGGCAACCGGCAGGAGCCAUAGGGUUGUCUUUAUACUAACGUUUGUGCUUGCAGAUGCGUUUACUAUUUUGCUAGGAUGUAGUUUUAGUAGUAAUAGCAUAAGUAGCACGACAACCCCGAUGGCAACACGUUGAUGGAUGAUCAUGGUGUGGCGCCGGUGACAAGAAGAUCGUGCCGGUGCUUUGGUGAUGGAGAUCAAGAAGCACGUGAUGAUGGCCAUAUCAUGUCACUUAUGAAUUGCAUGUGAUGUUAAUCCUUUUAUGCACCUUAUUUUGCUUAGAACGACGGUAGCAUUAUGAGGUGAUCUCUCACUAAAAUUUCAAGACGAAAUUGUGUUCUCCCCGACUGUGCACCGUUGCUACAGUUCGUCGUUUCGAGACACCACGUGAUGAUCGGGUGUGAUAGACUCAACGUUCACAUACAACGGGUGCAAAACAGUUGCGCACGCGGAACACUCGGGUUAAGCUUGACGAGCCUAGCAUGUGCAGACAUGGCCUCGGAACACAUGAGACCGAAAGGUCGAUCGUGAAUCAUAUAGUUGAUAUGAUUAGCAUAGGGAUGCUUACCACUGAAACUAUACCCAACUCACGUGAUGUUCGGACUUGGGAUAGUGUAAGUGGAUCAUGAACCACUCAAAUGACUAGAGAGAUGUACUUUUUGAGUGGGAGUUUAGCAUAUAAUUUGAUUAAGUUGAACUCUAAUUAUCUUGAACAUAGUCUAAGUCCACUUUGAAUAUAUUUGUGUUGUAGAUCAUGGCUCACGCAAGUGUCAUCCUGAAUUUUAAUACGUUCCUAGAGAAAGCUAAGUUGAAAGAUGAUGGAAGCAACUUUGUAGACUGGGCUCGUAAUCUUAAGCUAAUCUUACAAGCUGGGAAGAAGGAUUAUGUCCUUAAUGCUGCGCUAGGAGAUGAACCACCCGCUACGGCUGAUCAGGAUGUUAAGAAUGCUUGGUUAGCGCGUAAGGAGGACUACUUAAUAGUUCAAUGUGCAGUCUUGUAUGGCUUAGAACCGGGACUUCAACGUCGCUUUGAGCGUCAUGGAGCAUUUGAGAUGUUCCAGGAGUUGGAGUUUAUCUUUCAGAAGAACGCCCGGAUCGAGAGGUAUGAGACCUCCGAUAAAUUCUAUGCUUGCAAGAUGGAGGAAAACUCGUCUGUCAGUGAACAUGUGCUCAAAAUGUCUGGGUACUCAAACCGUCUAGCUGAGCUGGGGAUUGAACUCCCGCAAGAAGCUAUCACUGACAGAAUCCUUCAAUCACUGCCGCCAAGCUAUAAAGGCUUUGUGUUGAACUACAACAUGCAAGGGAUGAACAAGUCUCCCGGCGAGUUGUUUGCGAUGCUGAAAGUCGCAGAGUCAGAACUCCGUAAAGAGCAUCAAGUGUUGAUGGUGAUCAAGACCACUAGUUUCAAGAGAAACGGCAAAGGAAAGAAGGGCAAUUCGAAGAAGAGCGGCAAGCCUGUUGCCAAUCCGCCGAAGAAACCCAAAGCUGGACCUAAGCCUGAAACGGAGUGUUUCUAUUGCAAGGGUUUGGGUCACUGAAAGCGCAAUUGCCCCAAGUAUCUGGCAGAUAAGAAGGCGGGCAAAGAAAAAUCAGGUAUAUUUGAUAUACAUGUUAUUGAUGUGUACUUAACCGGCUCUCGUAGUAGUGCCUGGGUAUUCGAUACCGGUUCUGUUGCUCAUAUUUGCAACUCGAAACAGGAACUGUGGAAUAGGCGAAGGCUGGCGAAAGAUGAAGUGACGAUGCGCGUAGGAAAUGGUUCCAAGGUUGAUGCAAUCGCCGUCGGCACAGUGUCACUUCAGCUACCGUCGGGAUUAGUGGUGAACUUAAAUCAUUGUUAUUUAGUGCCUGCGUUGAGCAUGAACAUUAUAUCUGGAUCUUGUUUAUUGCGAGACGGUUACUCUUUUAAGUCUGAGAAUAAUGGUUGUUCUAUUUCUAUGAGUAACAUCUUUUAUGGUCAUGCACCGAAUGUGAGAGGAUUGUUCAUAUUGAAUCUUGAUAGCGAUACGCAUAUACAUAACAUUGAGACCAAAAGAGUUAGAGUAAACAAUGAUAGCGCCAUAUUUUUGUGGCACUGCCGCUUGGGUCAUAUCGGUGUAAAGCGCAUGAAGAAACUCCAUGCUGAUGGGCUUUUGGAGUCACUUGACUUUGAUUCACUUGACACGUGCGAACCAUGCCUCAUGGGCAAGAUGACUAAGACUCCGUUCUCCGGAACAAUGGAGCGUGCAAGUGACUUGUUGGAAAUCAUACAUACCGAUGUGUGUGGUCCGAUGAGCGUAGAGGCACGCGGCGGAUAUCGUUAUUUUCUCACCUUCACUCACGAUUUAAGUAGAUAUGGCUAUGUCUACUUGAUGAAGCACAAGUCUGAAACAUUUGAAAAGUUCAUGCAAUUUCAGAGUGAAGUGGAAAAUCAUCGUACCAAGAAGAUCAAGUUCCUACGGUCUGAUCGUGGGGGUGAAUAUCUGAGUUUCGAGUUUGGUGCUCACUUAAGACAAUGUGGAAUUGUUUCUCAGUUAACACCGCCUGGAACACCACAGCGUAAUGGUGUGUCCGAACGUCGUAAUCGUACUUUGUUAGAGAUGGUGCGAUCUAUGAUGUCUCUUACUGAUUUGCCAUUAUAAUUUUGGGGUUAUGCAUUAGAAACAGCUGCAUUCACUUUAAAUAGGGCACCAUCAAAAUCCGUUGAGACGACACCAUACGAACUAUGGUAUGGCAAAAGGCCAAAGUUGUCGUUUCUUAAAGUUUGGGGAUGUGAUGCUUAUGUCAAAAAGCUUCAGCCUGAAAAGCUGGAACCCAAAGCGGAAAAGGGGGUCUUCAUAGGUUACCCAAAAGAGACAGUUGGGUACACCUUCUAUCUCAAAUCCGAGGGCAAAGUGUUUGUUGCUGAAAAUGGAGCUUUUCUCGAGAAGGAGUUCCUCUCGAGAGAAUUGAGUGGGAGGAAGAUAGAACUUGACGAGGUUGUCGAACCUCUCAUCCCUCUGGAUGGUGGCGCAGGGCAAGGGGAAACCUCUGUCGUUGCAACGCCGGUUGAGGAGGAAGUUAAUGAUGAUGAUCAUGAAACUCCAGUUCAAGUUUCUGUUGAACCACGCAGGUCGACGAGAUCACGCGCUGCUCCAGAGUGGUACGGUAAUCCCGUCUUCGCAAUCAUGUUCUUAGACAACAAUGAACCUGCAAAUUAUGAAGAAGCAAUGGUGGGCCCAGAUUCCAACAAAUGGCUAGAAGCCAUGAAAUCCGAGAUAGGAUCCAUGUAUGAGAACAAAGUGUGGACUUUGGAGAUACUACCUGAGGGCCACAAGGCUAUUCAGAACAAAUGGAUCUUUAAGAAGAAGACGGACGCUGACGGCAAUGUGACCGUUUAUAAAGCUCGACUUGUGGCAAAGGGUUUUUCACAAGUUCCAGGAGUUGACUACGAUGAGACUUUCUCACCCGUAGCGAUGCUUAAGUCCGUCAGAAUCAUGUUAGCAAUAGCUGCAUUUUUCGAUUAUGAAAUCUGGCAGAUGGAUGUCAAAACGGCGUUCCUUAACGGUUUCCUUAAGGAAGAGUUGUAUAUGAUGCAACCCGAAGGUUUUGUCGAUCCUAAAAAUGCUGACAAGGUGUGCAAGCUCCAGCGAUCCAUUUAUGGACUGGUGCAAGCAUCUCGGAGUUGGAACAAACGCUUUGAUGAGGUGAUCAAAGCAUUUGGGUUUAUACAAGUGGUUGGAGAAUCUUGCUUUUACAAGAAAGUGAGUGGGAGCUCUGUGGCGUUUCUAAUAUUAUAUGUGGAUGACAUAUUACUGAUUGGAAACAAUGUAGAGCUUUUGGAGAGCAUAAAAGGUUACUUGAAUAAAAGUUUCUCUAUGAAGGACCUAGGAGAAGCUGCUUACAUUCUAGGCAUUAAGAUCUAUAGGGAUAGAUCGCCUGAUAGGACUUUCACAAAGCACAUACCUUGAUAAAGUUUUGAAGUGGUUCCAAAUGGAACAGUCCAAGAAAGGGUUCUUGCCAGUUUUACAAGGUACGAGAUUGAGUAAGACUCAGUGCCCAGCAACUGAUGAAGAUUGAGAGCAUAUGCGCUCCGUCCCCUAUGCUUCAGCCAUAGGUUCUAUCAUGUAUGCGAUGUUGUGCACUAGACCGGAUGUUAGCCUGGCCAUAAGUAUGGCAGGUAGGUUCCAGAGUAAUCCAGGAGUGGAUCACUGGACAGCGGUCAAGAAUAUCCUGAAGUACCUGAAAAGGACUAAGGAGAUGUUUCUCGUGUAUGGAGGUGAUGAAGAGCUCGCCGUAAAAGGUUACGUCGAUGCAAGCUUUGACACAGAUCCGGACGACUCUAAGUCGCAAACCGGAUACGUAUUUAUUCUUAAUGGGGGUGCAAUAAGCUGGUGCAGUUUCCAAGCAAAGCGUCGUAGCAGAUUCUACAUGUGAAGCGGAGUACAUGGCUGCCUCGGAGGCGGCUAAGGAGGGUGUCUGGAUGAAGCAGUUCAUGACGGAUCUUGGAGUGGUGCCAAGCGCACUGAAUCCAAUAACCUUGUUCUGUGACAACACUGGUGCCAUUGCCUUAGCAAAGGAACCAAGGUUUCACAAGAAGACCAGACACAUCAAACGACGCUUCAACCUCAUCCGCGACUACGUCGAGGAAGAGGACGUAAAUAUAUGCAAAGUGCACACGGAUCUGAAUGUAGCAGACCCGCUGACUAAACCUCUUCCACGGCCAAAACAUGAUCGACACCAGAACUGUAUGGGUGUUAGAUUUAUUACAAUGUAAUUCACAUGGUGAUGUGAGGGCUAGAUUAUUGACUCUAGUGCAAGUGGGAGACUGUUGGAAUUGUGCCCUAGAGGCAAUAAUAAAUGUAUAGUUAUUAUUAUAAUUCCUGUAUCAAGAUAAUAGUUUAUUAUCCAUGCUAUAAUUGUAUUGAAUGAAGACUCAUUUACAUGUGUGGAUACAUAGACAAAACACCGUCCCUAGCAUGCCUCUAGUUGGCUAGCCAGUUGAUCGAUGAUAGUCAGUGUCUUCUGAUUAUGAACAAGGUGUUGUUGCUUGAUAACUGGAUCACGUCAUUAGGAGAAUCACGUGAUGGACUAGACCCAAACUAAUAGACGUAGCAUGUUGAUCGUGUCAUUUUGUUGCUACUGUUUUCUGCGUGUCAAGUAUUUAUUCCUAUGACCAUGAGAUCAUAUAACUCACUGACACCGGAGGAAUGCUUUGUGUGUAUCAAACGUCGCAACGUAACUGGGUGACUAUAAAGAUGCUCUACAGGUAUCUCCGAAGGUGUUAGUUGAGUUAGUAUGGAUCAAGACUGGGAUUUGUCACUCCGUGUGACGGAGAGGUAUCUCGGGGCCCACUCGGUAAUACAACAUCACACACAAGCCUUGCAAGCAAUGUAACUUAGUGUAAGUUGCGGGAUCUUGUAUUACGGAACGAGUAAAGAGACUUGCCGGUAAACGAGAUUGAAAUAGGUAUGCGGAUACUGACGAUCGAAUCUCGGGCAAGUAACAUACCGAAGGACAAAGGGAAUGACAUACGGGAUUAUAUGAAUCCUUGGCACUGAGGUUCAAACGAUAAGAUCUUCGUAGAAUAUGUAGGAUCCAAUAUGGGCAUCCAGGUCCCGCUAUUGGAUAUUGACCGAGGAGUCUCUCGGGUCAUGUCUACAUAGUUCUCGAACCCGCAGGGUCUGCACACUUAAGGUUCGACGUUGUUUUAUGCGUAUUUGAGUUAUAUGGUUGGUUAACGAAUGUUGUUCGGAUUCCCGGAUGAGAUCACGGACGUCACGAGGGUUUCCGGAAUGGUCCGGAAACGAAGAUUGAUAUAUAGGAUGACCUCAUUUGAUUACCGGAAGGUUUUUGGAGUUACCGGGAAUGUACCGGGAAUGACGAAUGGGAUCCGGGAGUUCACCGGGGGGGUCAACCCACCCCGGGGAAGCCCAUAGGCCAUGAGGGUGGCGCACCAGCCCUUAGUGGGCUGGUGGGACAACCCAAAAGGGCCCUNNNNNNNNNNNNNNNNNNNNNNNNNNNNNNNNNNNNNNNNNNNNNNNNNNNNNNNNNNNNNNNNNNNNNNNNNNNNNNNNNNNNNNNNNNNNNNNNNNNNCGACGGCGAGCGCGGCUGUGACGAGGGAGGCGGCGUACUUGUGGUAGAUCGGGGAGGCGGCUGACUGGACAACGAACGCGCCGCCGUGGUAGUAGACGACGACGGGGAACUUCCUUCUCGGCUCCGCCGCGGUGGCGGCAGGGAGGUAGAGCCGGGCGGAGAUGCUGGCCGCGAGGUCGAGGACGACGUCCUUGGAGGCGACGCCGUUGGCGGGGUCGCCGGAGGGGGAGGGCGGGACGGUCUCGGUGCCUCGCAAGCGCUCCACCCGGCCGCUCUUGUGGAUGCGUAUGAAACCGGGCAUGUCGUACACGAUCUCGGAGCUUGGGUCCAUGACGGCGGACGGCGGACGGCGGCCUUUGGCUUCGCGGCGUAGUGAGAGAGCUUCCCAGGUUCUGUGAUGGGUUAUCGUAGCAGAGCUGCAGCUUGCUCGAUGGGUUACGAUAUACUACUCCGUUUUGGUGCACCGGUACCGAUCAAACACGUCAGCUCGCAGUCUGGACGAACCAUUUUAUAAGGAGUAAUCACACCAUCCGAUAGUUAUUUAAUUUAUCUGCAGAUAAAUCUUCUUUGCAGUGGUGGACUUUUGGUAUCAAUCACACCUUGCACUGAACAGGACAGCGCGGGCCAAGACAGCGAGCGAAGCACAGCGGAAGGC
rnacentral:lncRNA from 1 species